AUGAUGAAGGUCAAUUAAUAAUUUAUUAGGUUGAUCUUCAUCCAAUGAUAAUCGGUCACUGGUGAGAAGAGAGUUAUUUUUUUUUCUCUUGACCAUUCAAUCCUCUUUAUAUCUCUCAUUUUUUUUUAUUGUUGACUAAAUAAUGUAGUUUAAUUAAAAACAAAUAAUGAAAAAGAAGGCAAAAAGUAGUUGGUAUUGUCAUGCCACUUGUUUUCCCAAAAUUUCCUAACCUUAAAACACUUCGCAUAAACUCAUUUAUCUAAAACCUUUUCCAAAGCAUCGUUUGUGACAGACGACAUAGGCUUGCAAGAUCAAUGGAUGAGGUGAGCGCGAAAUGAGUGCAACAUCAUUUAACUCUGACUCUUGAUCGUGAAAGCGUCGCAUUAUAUGUGCCACUGUAACAUGGAGGCUCAUUUAUGACCUCUUAGACAGAAAAAAGGAAAUAGUUUUAUGGCUAUGAACUAUUCAAGGUAGAUAACCAUGGAGGUUUGUAAGCUUCAUAUGUAACAUUAAUGUGAAAUUUAAAAUAAAAAAAUCCUUUUAUGUCUGCAGGUAACAUGAGAAAAGGUUGCGAGUUCUUUGAGUGGUAUAAUUUACUACUAAAUGUUUGUGACAAAAAGAAUUGUCACAACAUUGUUGAUGGAAGCAGAUGGAUUGAAGCUUAGGGAAAAUGAAUUGAUCACAAAGCUAAGUGAGAUGAAAAGGAGGGAGCGAUUUUUAGGGAUUUGUUUGGUAUUUAUAGGAAGGCAUAAAAAAGUAUCCAUUUUGAUUUGAAGUAAGUUUUCUUUGUUUGUCCUUUUUAAAGAGAAAAAAUUGUUCAUUGGGGCAUUAUCAUUAAACGUCUUUCAACAAUUGAUCAUUUUAAUUAGAUAAAGCAAUUUGUUAUGUGUAUCUCUCCUUUCUCAUAUAGAAAAUCUUGUAGUAGUGAGGCAUAUUUAUUUUUAUUAGAAAGUACGUUGUUGUUCCUUUUCUUGCAAGUAGGCGUGUAUUUUAUGAGUUGGGUAGAUUGUACUCUCCUGACCUUGUUUUUUGAACUUUUCGAGCGUACUCUCUAGACAUAGGAUAAUAAGUACUUCUUGUUAAGCCUACAUACUAUACAACAUAUAAAAUUAAUGUGUUGCUUUUUGCUAUCGUAUCAUAUGACCAUCAUAUCAAGACAUCGUUUUACUUAUAAAAGACAUGCAUUUUAAUCAUAUUGUUUUGAAAACUUGAUAUUUGUUUGUUUAAAUCAAGCAUUGAGUGAUCUUAAUUCAUCCUUUUGUGUAACGAUCUACUGUCGUUACAUGUCAAUGUCAAGUAAAUAUCUUACUUGCAGACAGAUUCAAUUUUAAAUAAAACUUAUUAAUUUAAUUGUGAAAUUUGGAUGUAAACAUUUCUUUUAGAAGAGGGAAACUUAUAGAAUCCACAUUAUCGACCAUCGGGAAAAGCUGUUAAUUGGUCUAUGGAAAUGAAUGAGUGACUUUGUCAGAAUAGACAUAUAGACAUAUUUUGGUACUGACUUACCAUGACAACAAGGAUUGCAUAUUACCUUGACCUCAACCUCAGUGUGCAAUUGUCAUCCAUCUUAUGUUUUAGACUUUUAAAUAUUAUGUAUAAAUCUGACCUUCUUUGUGAUGCAUGCAGAAAUAGAAAGUAAAACAAGGUAAGCUCCCUUACCUUGAAGAUCCUAAAGUUUUUGAAGGUUUAGAAGCCGAAAAAAGAACGAAAAUAAUUGAAGCUUAAAAAAAACAUCCACUACAUAGAAAGUAGUAUCCGUCACCACCAUGUUUUUACAAAAGAAAAAGGGAAAUAGAAGAUUAGAGAUUACAUGAGAAGGUAUGGGGGAAGAUCUUUAAACAUAGGUUUCUUGAUGUUCUCGGAAGAGUGGGAACAAAACAAAAAUAUGAGAGAAAGAGAGAGGAAUUAGUUUUUUUUGUAACAAGGGAUAAUAGUAGAAGGUUAGAUUUAUACAAAAUAUUGAGUUGAAAAAAAUAAAACAUUUUUCUUAAGUUCUUCCUUAUUUCAAAAAUAUAAUUUUUUAUUUUAAAUAAUAAAAAUCUCACAUUCAAUACUACAAUUUAAAUAAUUUAUUAUAAAUUUAAAAUAUAAUUUAUAUAUUAUAAAUUGUAUAUAUUAAAAAAUAUUUUUUACUAUGAAUUUUAGUUUUGAAAAAAUAAAAAUUAUAGUUAAUAAUGAAAAAGGAAAAAUUAAUAAUUGAAUUUAAUAUCCAUGUAAUAUCAGUGAAAAAAAUAUAUUAUACUAUUCACCAAUCAAGAACUAUAAUCGGUAUUCUAUGAAAAUAAUUACUACUAUUAUUCCCCAUCUACUAAUUGAGAGUAGAAACAAAAAGAAAAAAAACAUUGUAAGCGCUGUAACAGCAGGUUUCGGAGGCUUUUGGGGUAGCCGACGAGACACAGUGGAUUCCUUAAUUCUCCAUGGAUAUGGUGCUCUCUUCUGUACCCAUUAUCUCUCUUUUCCUUUUUGGUUUAUUAAUGUGCCUUGGAUUUGAUUUUUGAUAAGUACAGGAGAUGAAAGAAGGUGAAGCCCCCGUGUUGUGGUUCGAAACCUCUGACUCUGUCUGUCGUCGACACCAGUUUGAACCCGAUGGUCAACUCUCCGUAUGUUACUAAAAAAUGUCUAUUUUUUUGUUUUCUACUCUCCGUAUGUAACAAACACGUUAUGGCCUAAACCCUCAUAACUGUGUCAUUGAUUAGCUGACCUUGUGUAUUUAGGAAUUUGUUCAACCUCAGUUCGCUUCAGAUGUUAAAGUUUAUAACUUUGAUGUUAGCACAAGUUGCAAUGCUGUUGGUUUCUUCCUGUUGUUUCAGCUCUUUGACUCUUAAAACUCAAAAUUUGGGAUAUGUUAUGUUUUGUAAUGAAGCAACCUUUAUUUAGUGUUCCAAAAUUGAUUGAGUUUUAUUCCAAGUGUGUGUUUGUGUGGCUUUUUUCGCCCUAACCAGUGUUUUUGGUUUCUCUGCAGGUAGUGAUUGUCGAUGAUUCCAGGCCCUUAUACCAAAGGGUGGCUGGAUCUUUCAUGAAUAAAUUUUUCCCCUCGGGAUAUCCGUACAGGUUUUUUUGCUUUUUCCUGAAAAUAUGUUAUACUUAUAGUUUAUGGUGUAGAGACUAGAGAAACUUGUUCAGUGACUUACAUUUUCCGUGUUUUUCUUGCAGUGUGAAUGAAGGCUAUCUUAGAUACACGCAGUUUCGAGCUGUGCAACACGUUACCAGUGCAGCAUUAUCAGUUCUAUCAACUCAGGUCUUCUUCUGGUAACAUGUAAAACUCAGUAAAGGAUGUAACCAGAAAAAAGUUCUUGUCUUUGACAUUGGAAAAUUAAACUUGCUUUCUUGGCAACUGAGAUUUAAAAUACUCUUUAUUCAUGUUUGAUUAUUUUUUGUUAAGUGCAAUUAUGUAAUAAUUUUUUUUUUGAAAUAAUUAAGUGGGUGUCCUUGGUCUCUAUGCUUAUUUUUCUGCAGUCCUUGCUAUUUGCUGCAGGGUUGAGGCCCACUCCUGCGCAAGCAACUGCUGUUAGUUGGGUAAUUUCAAAUGACAAUUUCUCAAACCAGUAAUAGUGGCAUCUGUCUAAUGCAUAACUUUUUUGUCCUGCUUACGUCCAGAUUUUAAAGGAUGGAAUGCAACAUGUAGGGAAGCUAAUAUGUAGCAAUUGGGGAGCUAGAAUGGAUUCUGAACCUAAACGUUGGAGACUAUUAGGUUUGCAUUUGGGCUGGUGCUUUUCUUCACCGCCUUCUCUUCUUGUUAUAUUAGCUCUUAGUUGCUAAGUUCUCAAGUUGUCUAACCGUGAUUAGCUUUACAUUUGUUGCAGCUGAUGCGCUCUAUGAUAUAGGCACUGGCUUGGAAGUGCUUUCUCCAUUAUGCCCACAUCUUUUUCUUGAAAUGGCAGGCUUAGGAAAUUUUGCAAAGGUUUAUAUGUUUUUGAUUUUUUUUAAAUAAUUACACAUUUUGGUAUAUGUGUGCAGUAUAAAGUUGAUUCAGUGCUCGUAGUUCAUUCAACCAUGUGUUUGUCAUGUUUCUUAGCAUCCUAUACUAGAUUUCCAGUAAAAGUAACGUUUAUUUUAGACUAUUAACUUCUCUUUCUGUUAUUAUGGAGUUAUCAGGGGAUGGCAGUUGUUGCAGCAAGAGCAACAAGGUUGCCUAUAUAUUCUUCAUUUGCCAAAGAAGGAAAUCUCAGUGACCUAUUUGCUAAAGGAGAGGCUUUUUCAACUCUCUUUAAUGUUAUUGGAAUUGGAGUUGGAAUUCAAUUAGCAUCUACCAUCUGUGCAUCAAUGCAGGGAAAGGUAUAGAGUUUUUAUUUGUUUGUUCUUGGGCUCUAGUGUUCAAUUAAAUUUUCAGGUUCUGACUCUUACAAUUACUUUGCGCUAACAAUAUAUGAAAUGUUCUUGGGGAUGUGGUUGUUACUGAAAUGCUUGAGAAUUGAAAGAAUUUACAUUAUGUGAAAACUUGUGAAGUUGGUUUCAAUGUUACAUGCCAAUCCACUCCCCCAAAAAAGAAAGUACGUUAUUUCAAUAGAAUGGGUAAGAAUAGGGGACAAAAUGCACUUUUAGGGAGAGAUCUUCCAUGAAAUUGGACUAUUUAUGACCUUUCCAAAGAACUCAAUGAAAUUGGACUAUUUUCAGCUCAAGGCUAAGUCUUCCUGUAAUCUUCUUAAGAAAACAAGUUUGUAGAAUUUGGUUUAUUAAUUCUUGGGCUUUGUCUAAAUUAUUAGGAUAAAUUAUGCUUUACCCCUUGUAGCUUAACUAUUUCCAAAUAACCCUCCUCAACAUUUUUGUGUAUCAUUUAGUCACUUUCAAUUUUGUUUAACCUGAAAAUGUUAGCUUAAUCCUCAAAAGCUUGAAAAUGUGUAAAAUAAACAGUAACUUUAAGGGAAUAGAUUGAAAAUUGUUAAAUUGCUCUGGUUAAUGUGUAGAAUAAAUAGUACUAGUAGUAACUGGUGUUAAAGUUAACUGAAAAGUUAACAUUCUCAAUUUAAACCAAAAGUUAUGGUGGGUGGCAAGAUUAUAAACCAAACGGUGAUGGAAUCAUUAUAGGUCGUAUAUAUUCUUUAUUUGCAAUCAGAAGCAUUACGUAAAAUAUGAAAGGAAGCACUUUCUAGAGGUAAGUAUCCAUUUUAUUGGUUAUUCCCAACGGAUGAUUAUGAAACUUUUUUGGUAAGUUGGUUGUGGGUUCUCUCUCCUUUCAAUCACUGGUCGUAUAUAUAUUGUUUACAUGCACUCAGAAUCAUUACUCAUAAUGUGAAAGGAACUAGGAAGCAAGUAUUUUUUUUUCCCUUGUUUGUCUUGUAGAGAUAUAUAUAAUUGAUCAUGCUGCACAUCUUAAUGAUGAAUAUAUUUGUAUUGAUGAUUCCAACUGAUGGAUUAUGAAUCAUUUUUUGUCAGUUAGUUGCGGGUCCUCUCCUUUCAAUAAUACAUUUAUACAGUGUGUCUGAAGAAAUGAGAGCAACUCCUAUCAAUACGUUGAAUCCACGAAGAACUGCAAUGGUUGUGGCUGAUUUUCUCAAGGUCUAGUUUUAACUAUUGUAAUAAAUAAAAAAUCUCUCGGUUUCUGUUCAUUAUUUGAAAAAAUAACAAAUGAAAUUCUGUCUAACUGUUUGUUGAAUUCCAACGCAGGCAGGAAUUGUAUCAAGCCCUGCUGAUCUAAGAUAUAGAGAAAAUCUGCUGUUCAAUGUGCAUGUCAAAGAAGAUGCUGGAAAUGUAAGAGUGGGGAAGGAUGUGCACAAGGUCAUUAAGCCUUCCAGGCUUCUUGAAUUAAAACAAGUGUUCCCUGAGGAGAAGUUUCUCUUAAAUUUUGGAAAUAAAUGCAUUGACAUGGUAUUGGAACAAGAUGCUAGUGGUGAAGAUGCAUUGAGGGGGUGGCUAGUUGCUGCAUAUGCUGCACAAACACAUAGUUUCUCUCAUGAGCUCAGUGCUACUAGUGUCCUGCAUGAGGCUUAUGAGAAAAUGAAUGGUGUCUUUCCUGUAUUCUUAAGGGAAUUGCAGAACAAAGGGUGGCACACUGAUAGGUUUUUGGAUGGAACUGGGAGCCGUUUUGCAUUCUAGAUAAAUUUCAUGUUGAUUUAAGUAGGUUUUUAUCCAUUCUUUGAGAGAAAUUUUGAUGUGCUAUGGGUGGAGUAAACUGUAUAUUUUAUCUAUUAUUUUUUAAAAAGUAAUGUUAGGACAUACCUUUCUUCAAAAAACAUGAAGAUGGAGGAAGGUAUGAUAAGGACUUUGUGGCUUGUUUGAGGGAUGCGGAUUGAAGCUUCUUGAUGGCCAAAUCUGGUCUUAUUUUCAGCACGAGGAGAGGUCAAUACUAUUUUGCAGACAAUAAUUUGGCUUUCACAGCACCACAGAGUUAAUGUUGUUUUUGAAUCAGAUUGUUGAUCAUAUAUACAAUAAAGGGGAAGAUAUUACAGAUUGUGGGAUAUUUCUUAACCAUAAUUUAGAGAGAUCCUGAGAUUAAAUCCUUCUUAUUCAAUUAAAUUUGUUAGAAGACAGGGUAUGACUGAAAGUAUCUGAUUCGUCUUUGUGAGAAUAUUUUCAAUGUUAUUCGUCUUUGUAUCCAGCAUAUUAUAUCAAUGAAAAAUGUCUGAUUCUGUCUGCCUUAAAAAAGACAUGAAAUCUUAUAGAGAAUGGACUAAAUCCACAUUUUUUUUAGCUCGAGGAUUUAAGUUCAUUGGUGAGAAAAUAGACUUUGACUAUGAAUGACUGAAAGUAUAAAUACAAAAGCCAUACUAUUUAUUUUUUAUAAAUUUUUUAUCUCAUUAUAUAUUUAGAAAUCAUCUUUUAUCUUAUAUUUAAAACUCUUAACACUUUCACACUAUCGUUAAAUAGUAUCUUUUUGUUAUAUAAAACCAUAAAAACUACCAUAUAUUAAUCUAUAUUAUCUCAUUUCAUUUCAUAGGCAUAUUUAUAAAUGAGAAUAAGAUUAAAAAAAAUAGAAUCCUAAUUUUUAAAGCAAAUUUAAAUAUAAAAGUGAUAAAUAUUUGAAAAUAUUUUUUUUCUAAAUUUUAACUUUAUGACUAAAUGUAUAUUUUUGUCAUUAUUUAUAUAUAUAUAUAUAUAUAUAUAUAUAUAUAUAUAUAUAUAUAUAUAUUAAUUACUCCAACAUUUAAUUUUAUCAAAUACUUUUAAUUUGAUUAGUUAGUUUAUCAGUUUUUUUUUUACUUUUAAUUUUUAAUUUUUUUUUGUCUAGAUCAUGGAAAAAAAAACAAAACCACACCUGUAACCUUUGCAAAAGUCAUUUCGGUUAAUUUAAACUUAUUUGCUCACUAACCGGAGAUCCUUAAUUCCUCAUCGUCUCUGCCAGCUUGACAUUUCAAAAUAUUGUUAUUGACAAAUCCCUUGCUUGUUUUUCUCUAGUUUGCACCGACUAAUAUUCUCAAAGGUUAAUUAACGCUUAAUCAGGUAUAGGAUAAACUUAUAAUUAAGGUUAGAAGAUGCUCACGUUGGGGUCAAACUAAGAAGUAGUGACACAUGAGAACCCAAAUUCACGUGAUAGUAAAUUUAAGUAACGGGAGAUAUAAAAAAGAACUAAAAAGAUGCACCAUGCCCAAAAUGUUAGUAGACUAGUGUAAGAUUUUGCUGACAUUGAAACUCUAAAGCACGGGGACCUAAAGAAUGGAGACCGCAAAUGAUCAUUGAGAUAAUGCACAAAAGUAAGAUCGUUUAUCUAAUAUUAUUCACUUGUUUUUUUUUUUUUUUUUUAAUUUAACUUAUUACAAGUUUCUUCUUAAGGUGCUAACUGCCUAGUGGUCUAAAUUUUGCUGAAUUAAAUAAUAUUAAAUUUUGCUACUUUAAACUUUAAAGCCAUUCAAUCCACUUUUUUGGAGCUUUUGUAUAAAAUAUAUGAGGCGUGUGGGUUUCUCAAACAUCAUAUAUAACAUCAUGAGUCGAAGAAAAUUAUUAGAAAAUAGUAUCAAAAUUAUUACUUGGCUUAGAAUUCAAGUUAAAAACUCACUUUCAAUAAUCAAAACAGUCAAAAGUCCGGUUGAAAAAAUUUGUCCGUGACAGUUUUUUCCUCCCCUUCGUAGAGUAACUAGGUAUACAUGUUUAUUUUACUUGUUGAAUGUUAAGGUAGUGGGGUUCGACAUGUUAUGCAUAUUGAAAUCAUUGGAUCAUAUUAUUCAUGGAGCUAGAUCACGAAAUCAGGGUCAAUUAUGUAUUACAUGUAUACAAUUUAAAAUUUGGUUAAUGUGCUGGACACAACUGAUAAACAGUUUGAAAAUUGGUUUCAAUGUUAUGAAAUGUGCUGGAAUUAAAACUUAAAUUAUUUGAAUGUUAAGAAAUUUGAUCUUUCUUGAAAGCAAUUUUUUAUUAGGUUUUAUUUUAGGUCAGUCCAAGUCUUUUGUUUUAGGCCUACUAAAAAAUAAAUUUUUUGCUAUUAAUAUAUGUAUAUUAAAUAUAGAUGCUGUCAAGGACCACGACUUAAUUAUAACACUCCACAUUAUUUUGCGUGAAGUCCUGUGAUCGAUCAUGCGUAUCAAAUUCUGAAUCAAUCAUAGUCAUCUUUUUUUGAUACACUAGAGAAUUAUGAAAAUAAAACGAAUGAUGGUGUUAAACACUUAAAAGUGAAAUUUUUCAGUGUUCUUUUUUGUUCCAAAAAUAAAAUAAAAAAACUCCCUUUAUGUACACUUACAUCUGGAUAGAAAAUUAAGGGAACUAAAAUUCCUUUCAACAACAACUUUCAACUGGUACUGCUAGAUAUUAUGCAGUAGGUGAUGGGGUCAUAUUAUUGAGCUGCAAAAUAAAAACGUAUACCAGCAGAGCUACGUGAAAACUAUAUGGUUGGCUCACUUGGAUUUUUUGUGGUCGAAUUAUGUUUUGCGACUUACUUAAUAUAUAGUUGCUUUUGAUAUUUUCGGUACUCCUGCAGGUAGCUUAUGUUUUCAAUAAAAGUUGUUUGUUAAUUUGGCUGAUAAAAAAAUAAACGUCUCUCAUGAGGCUAAUUGCUAAACAAGGCGUUCGACGUCAUGUUUCCAAUGUGUUAUACGUAGCUACCCGUGGCUAUGAUAUCAUUAUUCUAAAUCACAUAAAUUUUAAUUUUUUAAAUGAAAAUUUUGUUAAUUUAUUUAUGAAAAAUGAGAGUGACUUUUUUACGAUAUAUAUUUACAAAACAACAUACAAAUACUUAAAUAAAUAUAUAUAGAUAUAUUAACUAGUAUACAUAAUUCACAUUAUGGAAGGUAAAUUAGUUCAUACAUAUAAUUAAAUCUAUAAUUUACGUUCUUAAUUAAAAAAAAAUUAUAGAACCAACUAUGGAGUUGAUUAACAAAAAUUAACUUUCUCCUAAAAUAAUUCCAACGUCAUUGUGUCGGUUUGGCGGCUCCGACAAAAAAAUUUCACUCCACAUAAUUUACUGUUGCUCAUCUACUCCCACGAACGAAGGUUCGCGAUCAUCACAUAUACCAACCACAUGGUACAAAAAUUGCAAGGGUGAAUUUAUUACAAAAGAAACCAACAAUUAUAAAAUAACCAUAAUUGGCAAGAGAAACAAUAACAAGUAUCAUGCUCAUACACAAUUAUCAAUCAAUAUAACAUAUACUUAAUAACUAUUCAUCAACUUUCCACAAUUUCAAACCAAUCAUGCUCAGUAUGAUGCAUGCAUCUGACUUUUACUCUCAAAUGUAAUGUGGUAUCAUUCGUCAGGAAAUAGGCUAAGCAUGUCAAUGCGACAUUCUCACUUAGAAAAACUAGAUAACAAGUGUUGAGGUCACCUUGUUGUGCACAAGCAACUCCCCCCAUGGUAAUACGUCUGAGUCUUAAGGGAGUUCCAAACAGAGUGAUAUGCCCCCAAGUACAAGUAUUUCCCCUCAUGAGAAACUAUAAAUACUUACUGACAAAGUUUAUACUAUUUUCAUGCAAUAUAAAAUAUGAAACAUGAGCAUGAUCAAUGCAUUGACCGUAGAUAAUUAAAGAUUCUAAGUCAUCCCCCUCGAGAGAUACUUAAAACUCUUUAACCACUCUGUUUUUCCCACCAAGGAUAUCCAUCAUGGUCACUGCACCCCCCAUGUAUAUACAUAACAUACAUCAUCACAAUGACAUUUUCAACAUCAACAUCAUCUCAUCUCAAUGUCAUUUUUAACAUCAACAUCAUUUCAUCUCAAUGGCAUUAUCAUCAUCAACAUCAUCUUAUCUCAAUGACAUUACCAAUAUCAACAUCAUCUCAUUUCAAUAUUAUCAUCAAUAAGAACAUCACCUCAUGUCACAUUAUCAUCAAUAACAACAUCAUUCUCAUAUUGAUAUUAUCACAACGUAGACCAUGAAAGGAUGACGAUAAAAAAGAUAAAAAGAGAUCUUCCAAAAAGGAAAAUUGGGAGAGUCGCUACCAACGUUUAUUUAAGGAAAACGUCGAGAAAACAAAAAAGGAUAAGGAAUGGUCUAUGAUUUGAGAAAAAGGAUUCAGAAGUCAUUUACGCGCGGGAAAAGUGUUAGCAUCCCAUGUGCCCUUCAUGAAGAUGACAACCUUUCAUCAAGUGUACUAAAAAUAAAGUGACUUUUUAAUUAUAUUUUUUCCCUCGAGAACUUGAGUUAUGUUUGUUAUAAAUUUUUUGUAUAUUUAUAAAAAGAAAGUGAAUUUUUAUUUUUUAGAAGAAAAAAAGGGAGUUUUAUGUUUUUUUUUUAGUUUUUUAGGUUGACAAGGGGUUUGCUCUUGCUCUUAUAUAUCCCCAGGUGCAAUGAGAAAAUCAGACUUAUGUAGUUCUUUGGGUAGAAAAUAGUUUGUGUGUUGAGUUGAUUUUUUUUUUUUGAAAAAUUUGUUUUAAUUGCGUGACAAAGAGUUAUUAAGGCGUUGGACCUUAAAACGAUAUUGAAUUUUAAGAAAACAACGGAGAGAAUCACUUAAGGCAUUGGAUCUUGAAGCGAUCUCGAGUAAUGUGCAAUUUUUGUGGAGAAAAAAAAAGGAAAAUUGAGUGAUUAUUUGUUUGUGGAGAAAAGAGAGAAUCUCAAGUAUACUUUGUAAAGUCAAGCAAGUCGGAGACCCAACAUGGAGGACACAUAAUGUAAAAAAAAAAAUUUUGGGUUUGCGGUAGACUUUGCGAAGUCAAGCAAGUCGGAGACACAUCAUGACAUUCACUAAAUUUAUCCACACAUUUAUUAAAACACCAUCAAGUAAGUCGAAAACCCAGAAUGGAGUGCACGAAAUGUGAAAAAGAUUUCGAGUUUGCAGUAAACUUUGCGAAGUCAAGCAAGUCGGAGAUUCAACGUGACAUUCGCUAAAUUUCCCACACGUUUAUUAAAACACCGCCAAACAAGUCGGAGAUUCAACAUGGAGUGCAAGAAAUGUAAGUGUAUACUAAAGAAUACUAACAUAGAAUUUCAAAAUAAUUAACGUAAUGUUAAGUAAUCAAUAGAUGAGACAUGCACAAAUAAAUUGAAUGAGAAUAGAAAGGGAUAGAACAGAAGUGGAGAAUACACUUAGUAAUUAAGGGUGUGGGGUUAAAACAUGGAAAAAAUAAAUAAGUGAAAGAAUAUUUAUAAUACAUUAUAAACUAACUAGACAAUGCUAAAUUAAAAAAAGAAUAAUAAAGCAAAAUAAAAAAAAAGGUUGUUUAAAUAACAACUUUUACUUCAUUUGAGCUAUGCUCGAAAGAAGUGCGAGUGUGCAUGUAAAUGGAGGUGUGACUAAUGACAUUUAUUUUUUAUGUAUAAUUAUUUUUUGAAAAAUAAAGGGUCAGAUCCGAAAUGAAAGAAAAUAUUGUAUAUGUGAAAAAAUUGAUGUUAAUAGCAAUUUUUUUCAUUUUUUUCCUUCUUCUUUUUUGCUUUUUUAUUAUAUAUAAAAAGAAGAUGGACAACAAAUAUUUAUAAAAGAAAAAUUCUAAGAAUCUCACUAAUGACCAAGGGUUCACUAACAAGUUGGAACGAAUCAAGCAGGAGACUCGAAAAAAGAGAAGAAGGAAGGGAAGAAAGAGAAAAAAGAAAUAUAUAUAUAUAUAUAUAUAUAUAUAUAUAUAGAGAGAGAGAGAGAGAGAGAGAGAGAGAGAGAGAGAGAGAGAGAGAGAGAGAGAGAGAGAGAGAGAGAGAGAGAGAGAGAGAGAGAGAGAGAGAGAGAGAGAGAGAGAGAGAGAGAGAGAGAGAGAGAGAGAGAGAGAAUGAUAAAAAUAAUUAUUGGCUACUUGCUUAAGAAACCUUAGUACAUCCAUUAAGAUAUAGGUCAAAUCACUUAAUAAGAACGUAGCCUAACUUACACUGGAACAGAUCAAUUUUUUUUAGAAAAUAAACCAUGUCAAAAAUUUUAUUCAGUUAAAAAUGUUAUGUUCUAAGUUAUUUAAAAAAUCUUUUAAACCUAGCAACUCAACCUAUUUAAAUAAUAAUCAUAAUAAUAAUAAUAAUAAUAAUAAUAAUAUUACAUUAGAUCUUGCAUUUAUUUUGUCACUUUAAAUUAUUUACAUAAAAAAUCAAUUUAAAGCUUAUAAUUAACUUUAUUGAAAAGAUAAAUUUAUAUCUCAUUUAAAAUUUUUAUUAUAUUUUAAAUAAGUUAUCCUAAAUGUUAUAUUAAACAUGGAAAACAAGUUUAUAUAGUAUAAACAAGUUAUAUUCAACUAUGAUAAGGUCUAACAUACAUAUUUUUAAGGUUUAAUUAAAUUUUUCAUACUUGAAAUAUAGAUCGUUUUUAGAUUAUUACCUAACAUUUAUUUUUUUUACCCAAGUAUAUGAAAAAAUUUCAGUUUCAUUUUACUAUCUGUCGUUAAUCAUUUUUCGUUAAGUAAUGACGUGACAGGGAAAAUGUCACAUCAUCACGCCUUGUCAUGAACACUUCAUUGUCAUGUCAUUACUUUCAAUGCCAUGGCAAUGACAUGUCAUUGAUUGAGUGUGAAUACAUGACACUCCAUUUACCACAUCAUGAUUUAAUGAAAGAGAAUUAAUGAUAGAUGGUAAAAUGAAAUUAUUUUUUUUAUGUAAGUAUUUGAUAAAAAAUGAUUUUUUAAGUAUCAAUCUGAAAAUGACAUAUUUUUUCAAGUAUAAAAAACUUAUUUAAGCCAAUCUGAAAAAUUAAUUUUUUAGUUAACAAAUGAUAAGAAGGAGUUUUAUCAAAAUAAAUAAUUUAAUUUCAGAUAAAAUGAUAAAUGAUAAAUUUUAUUAAAAAUAAAAAUAAAAAUGGUAAUCAUUAAUUUAAGUAAUUUUAAAAGAAAAUCUUAUAAGUCAAUAAGAAAAAAUCAUUUUUCAAAUACUUUUAUUUGAUCAAAUAUUUGUAAACUUAUAAAAAAAACUAAAAAUUAAUUAAAAUAACUUGAUGAACAUAUAUGUAAUUUACUUUUAUAUAGACUUUAAGAAACUUUAUCCUAUUUAUUUUAUUAAUAUAAUUUCUCAUUCAAAAUAAGAAAUACAUUAAAUUAAUAAGAUUUUUUUAUUGGUAGGAAUAAAAAAGUACUAUUUGAAAUUUUCAAAUAACUCGCCUAUUAAUUUAUCAUGUUUAAUCAACUGAAUUAGAUUAAUAAGAUAAUAUUAAAGGUACAAUUAAAUAGUUUAGAUGUGUAUAUUUAAUGUUUGAACAAAUUUAAAAGAAAAUCCAACAAGAUCAAAUUGUGAGAUAUAUAUUUUGGGUCUAGAGAAUAGUGAAGGAAGAGUGAGGAAAGACAUAACAUGUUAUAUAUGUACAUUGGACAUAAAUCACAAAACACUAAUUAUAUAUGGUUUAAAUAAGUUUUUCAUGUCAUAUAUUAAAUAAAUUUUUUAUAUCUGAAAAAUAGGUCAUUUUUAGAUUACUACCUAAAAAUUCAUUUUUUGUCAAAUACCUACUUAUAAAAAAUUUAGUUUCAUUUUACUACUUGUCGUUUGUCGCCUUCUGUUAAGUGAUGACGUAGUAGACGAAGUGUCAUAUCAUCAUGUUCAAUUAUUGACACGUCAGUGCUACAUCAUUGAAGAUGAUGAAAUGAUAAUGGGGUGUUUGUGGUAAGGCUUGAUAAUGUGACAUUCCGUUUGUUACGUUAUCACUUAACAGAAGAUGACUAACGACAAGUAGCAACAUGAAACGAUUUUUUUUUUUUUGGUACUUGGUUGAGAAAAAUAAAUGUUAGGUAAUAAUUUGAAAACGACCUAUAUUAAAAGUAUGGAAAAUUUAAUUAAGUCUAUUUUUAAUAUUAAAUGAUCACAAAGUAGAUCCUUAAACAUGUUUGUAGGUUAAAUCAGAUUUUUUUCAUAUAUGACAAACCAACUCCUUAAGAAAGAUCUUUUAACAGAUAAAUAAAUCAGACUCAACCAUAUAUUUUUAAUUAAGGGUCAAACUCAAACCUAUCAAAACUUAACCCGACACAAUGCAUUUCUACUCCUAAUCAUUAGUUUAAUUUUAUUCAUUAUUAGUGUUAAAAAAAUUGCAUUAUCAAGUAGUUAAAAAAUAUUAUAAAUAUAUUUUUUAAAAUAAUUAUUAUAAAAGUAGUGCAACGAAUAAGGGCAAAAAUUAAGAAGGAAAGAUUGAGUUCAAACUUCAGGCGAAAGAGAAUUGCUGACUUGGAUAAAGCUGUAGAUUCCAGUUGAAAGGUUUGUCAACUUUGGUUGCCAAAGUCUAUUAGCUUUGACUAGUUUCUCUUUACUUCACUCACUCCCUCAAAAUUGCCCAAAUUAUUACAAGAAAUAAUGCCUCUAAGUCAUUCAUUCAUUCAUUUAAAGAAAUAAUUGGGCUGCCGACUUGAUUGCCACAAGUAGCUAGCACAAGCCUCUUUGUUUGACUCCUUUUUACAGGCUGAUAACCCACUAGCAUACCCCGUUUGAGUAAUUUGUCUUCUACUACUUCCAACAGUAAUAUAUAUUUACGUUAUGUUAGAAAAUUUUCAAAAUAUAAUAGUUUAACAGUGCUUCAUCUGAUCUUCCAAUCUGCUGUUGCCAUUUUUCUUAUCUUAGAUAUAUCCCAACAAAAAUGUCCCUAAUUAUCAUGAAAAAUAAUUGUCGAAAUUAAUGUAUGAAUUUGCCAUGAUGUUAUACUAAACGUGUCGUGAUAAGUAAGCUACUUUAGGUAUGUUUAGGUAUAGUUGGUUGAGGAAAGUCUUAACCCGAUUCAUUAUGAUAAAAUGAGGAUCUGCUUAAGCUUUUUUUCACAUUUGUACAGAGAGAGGUUUUCAAAAUCCACAACAAAGACUAUUAUUCAUCUACCAGCUGAUCAAAGCAAAACGCAUUAUAAUGCUGACCCAAACUUUCAAACAAAUGGUCAAGCGCAUGUGCAGUUUUUCGUUUGAAAAGUACCAAAUCAUAAUACGCCAGACUAUCAUCAAAUGAAGUGGAAGGAGAGAAUGUUAGGCCUUGCCUCUUGUACUCUGAAUUUCCUUUCAGUUUUAUUUCUUGAGUAUUUUUUUAUAACCGAAAAUCAAUUUAGCACAAAUUUCUUCUUCUAAAUCUUCAUCAUAAUUGCAUACCAUCAAACUUGAAUUUGAGACACUUAUUAAAUUGAAAUGAUUUCACAUCACAUGCUUGCCAAUAGCUUUAUUUCUUGAGUAAAAUCAUUUAUGUGAAUCUCUAAUAGCCACACUAAUUGAAUUUAAUUAGUAACUUAGUAAUUAAUUUUAUCAAAUUAAUUCUUCAAAGCCUUAAUUUUAGCCUCGAUCUCAAAGUUUGUUUUACUUAUUAUUCACCCACUUUUUUUAAAAUACAAAAAAAGAUUUAAUUGGACUUUGUAAUUGUGUUAUUUUAAUUUUUAUAUUUCAAUUGUGUUAACCGGAUCUCCAAGUAUCAUUGUGCGAUUUUAAUCUCUCAAGUAUAUAUAUAUAUAUAUAUAUAUAUAUAUAUAUAUAUAUAUAUAUAUAUAUAUAUAUAUAAUACUUAAAAGAGAUCAAAAAUAAGAUUAAGCCCGUAUGAAAGUUAAAACUUAUUAAAGCAAGAUGAUGUAAUAUUUUUAAAUUACUAUUAAACUAAAAUAAAAAAUAAGUUGUCUUUCGUACUAUAAAAUAGUAAAAUAUAAUAUAAAAUGAGAGAAAUAAAAUAGAGUACGUACAUGCAUCAACAAUGAACAAGUUUUAGAAAUUAAAAACAAAACUCUAUGUACACAGAAUAUUAUUAAUCUUAAAAUGGACAUUAACAACACAACACAUGUAGUAUUAAAUUUAUCAUUUAUAUUUUUGCUAAUUAUAAAAAAAUAUAUAAAAAAAAAUGAGGCCAGUGAGGCCCAACCCAUGUAUCAAUGGAUGCUAACUAAUUAGAUAUAAUAAACUACUAGUAUAUGUCUGAUAUUUUUAUAGUGAUCCUUGCUUAUUUCCCAUAGCUCUAUUAAUUGUUAUGCCCGGUGGUCCGGUAAUUAGGUCAAAGGAUCGAACAGGUAGCUUCUAACUUUGGUUUUACAGUAGGUAACUGGAUCAAGGUUGGAUAAGUACGUCGAGCCUUGACCUUAAACCAUUGUCGAAUGGCGAAUUGGGAGUAUGCACGUCGAGAUCUAGCUAGUAAAUAAUCUUAAAUGAUAUAAACGUUGGAUAAUAUAUUCUUAAUGCGUGUUUAACUACCUUAUUCCAAAAAAGAUAAAAAUUGUCAUAGCUUUUGAUAAAAAAAAAUAGUUAUUUCUUAAUUAAAAAAAAAAAAGGUUCCCGGCCGCCCAAAAGGUCCAAAACAAUGCACUUAGUAUUGUCCACGUCUCUUCAAGAAGGUCAGAACUCAGAAGUACUAUACUCAAGCGUACGUGUGGAUGCAAAUUGCAAUAUAUAUGUAUAUGAUAUGAUAUGAACGUGACUUGUAUGUAUAUCUUGGAUUAAUACGAUUAUAAUUUUCAUUUGUCAACUGAACUAUAUAUGUCAACAGUAGAACCUCUUGUCUCGUGGCUCUUUUUAGAACUCGUAUUUUUCAAUUAUGGCGAGGUUAAGACAAAACAUUUCCCCGGCAACCAUAUAUAUGCAAGCAUACAAAAAAGAAUAUGCAGUUGCCGACAACAUAUAGUUUCACACUGUACACGUGCCUUUAUAGUUUCUUUUUGAGCUACUAUUCACUAUGACCCUUGUCAUCAUUAAUUGGGGAUCGAUAUUCGUCAACCCAAUAUGCAAGUCUAUUUUUUCCUUCUACAAUUUGUUAAAAAAUAAAGAAAUUUUUUCUCCAGUUUCAAAAUGAGGUGCUAAGUGAAUGAUAAAAAAAAAAAAGAGAAGUGAAGUGUUAAAGAACACAUUCUGUGAGAGAUUCCUUCAAAAACUCUUUUAUUAGUUAAAAUUUAUUUCAAAUUAUAUUAUUAAAAUAAAGAAUCAUUAAAUAUGAUAUAAAAUUUAUUUUUUAUUAUUUUUAAAAAAAUCUCAACCUACAUGAAUAUGUGUUCAAAAUAGUAUAACAAAGAACAUUUGCAUUUGUCAUACUUUGCACAUGUUAAUUAUAUAUAUUAAUUUUAAAAUAAAAGAUAAUAUCGUAUUUAUAUUAUUAGAAUUUUAGAAGAUCAUUAUAAAAUAUUAAUAAUUACCAGUAACACAUUACGUUAGAUUAUCAACAAGAAUUUUAGGAAUAUUUGGAUUUAUAAUGAUUGAUCAAACAAACGCAACGAAAUAUGAAUCUGUAGGUAAUCGGUGGCUUUAUAGUUCUUCCUCAAUCGAAAUCUCUUUAUUCCUUGAUUAGACCUUCUUAACUCUUCAGAAGAUGGAGAGAAGAGAAAUUAUAUGUGAUGACUCGAUGCAUUUGAGAGCAUAGUCUUCUCAUAGUAUGUUAACCUAAUAGUUCAUAUCAUCUGAUUUAAUUGUCUAGCGAAUUAACUUAAUUUGAUCACAUAAAAUAAAACUCACUGAUGAUAAAUAACUAAUAUAAUUGUCUUAUAAUAUUAGUUCACAUUAAUUAUUGAAAUAGAAAAUUUCAACAUAUAUUCCUUCAAUGAAAUUCAAAAUUUAUUUUAACCCUUUAUUUUUCUUCUGAUGUUAAAAUUGUAAACCCUAAUUCUUUAUAAUUAUAUCGUCUAGCAUCUUCAAUUUCAUAACUGUGUCAGUGUCAUUGCAAGAUCAUUCUUGAAUUUUACUAAUCAACUUAAAUUAUUAAAAGUACAAUUAAUUAGUCAUUAACAUAUUCAUCUUUAAAAAUAGUGUAAAUAGUGAGUCCAAAUAUGGAUACUUGGAUACUUACACAAUAGAGGAUGAACAUUAUAUUGAAUGUGGAUAUAAGUUCGGGAGAUAGGUAUUUUUGGUUUUUACAUACAGCUAUGGGAACAUACAUUCUAUUUCCGUAUCGAAACCUGACCUUAAUUCUAAUAUAAUGACUUUCAUGUGUGCUUAUUGAAAUAUUACACUAGCAUAAUGAACUUUAAAAGAAAGAAAAUUGUAAGAUGUUACAGCAUGUUUAUGCUGCAGGUGAUAUUGGUUCCAUAAUGCAUGCUUCACUUUCUUUCUUUCUUUGGUUUGUAGGCAGGGCCUCAUUUUUUGUUAUUUUUAUUUUUAUUUUUUAUUUUUUUUGUAUCAGGAGCUUUGAAUUCCACCAACUUCAGCACACCUUAUGCUGAGUUGGUCAUUAAUAAAAAAAAGAAGCACGAUGAACUUAAUUUAUUCUAAAAGGUCAAAAAUAAAUAACCAGUGCUGUAACUGUUUUAGUGAUGUUCACAAAUUCAGCAUAAUGAACUGUUUCAGUAUUAUAAAUAUCAAUGUUUUGAGCCAGUCAACUUUGAGAUGAAAAACUAUAUGAAUAUACAAUUGCUACCCGGCCCCAUAUAUCAUAGAUAUUUGUUCAGAACUAGCUAAUAAAAAAUAUAGUGAUGUUCUCAACCAUGUAGCUCAUGGCUGUAAUUUUUAUUUUCUUCUUCUUUUGAAUAAGGUUUAUGUAGCUACUUACCACGUUGAAUACCGAAAUACUUUAGGACUAAGGACAGUCAGACAAAGUAGGAGUACAAAUGAUCAAAGUUCAAAGUUAUAAAAGCACUUUAGUUCAAUGUCAUACUGUUGUACAGCCAAAUAUAUUAGGCAAACCCCCACGCUUUUAUUUGACUAUAUUAUAAUCGUGUGAAAGAGACGUACACUUAUACAGGUCGAUGAGGAGAGCCACAAAAUAUUUAGAAAGAAAAAAAAAUAAUGGGCAAAGUAACAUUAUUUAUUAUUAAUUAUUUAAUAUAAUUUGGGCUUUGGUGUUUUGUACUGUUAUGUACAACUCAGUUCCCCACUCGUGCUAAUAUAAAAGAGCAACUAUUCCUCGUGUGAGAUUUGAAUCCACUUGGUGUAUAUAUAAACAAGAGUUUCAACAUCCAAAACAACAGAUAGUUUUUGGGUUUAGAAGUUGAAGGAGUAGUCUAAGUCAUCAAAAUGGGGAGAGCUCCAUGCUGCGAGAAAAUGGGGUUGAAGAGAGGGCCAUGGACUCCAGAAGAAGAUCAAAUUCUCAUCAAUUAUAUCAACACUUAUGACCAUGCUAAUUGGCGUGCAUUGCCCAAACUAGCUGGUACGUGUGAAGGAGUAUAAUUAAUUAACCCAAUUCUGCUGAACUAAUUACUUGAAGAAAAUAACAUAUAUAGGAAUUCAAUUAUGGUACGUUUCAUGAAUUAUAAUUAAACAAAAGUUUCUAUAUAUCUCUUUUUGAUCAACAGGGCUGUUAAGGUGUGGAAAGAGUUGCAGACUCCGGUGGAUAAAUUAUCUGAGACCGGACAUCAAACGGGGCAACUUUACCAGAGAAGAAGAGGACACCAUAAUCAGUUUGCAUGAAAUGUUGGGAAACAGGUAAUCAAACAUUUUCCCUAGCUAGCUAGCAUAACAUUUCACAUUAUUUCGUUAAAGAUAGAUGAUUUAGUCCAACUUAAUGGAAAGAAAUUAAUCCUUAAUGAAAGAGGUUAAUUGAAAAGCCAAGACUCCACAAGGGAUAGUCUCAAUAAUACAUAUAAUUCCAUAUGUAGUACUCAGGCUCGAACAGUGAAGCAGAUUAAUUAAGAUUCCCAGAAUAUCUUCAUUUCUAUAUGUUGGGUCCUCUUCUAUUCUGUUCCAUGAAACUGAUGGAGGAGAUGCAUGUGACUUCAUAAACUUCAACUCUCGGUAGUAUAUACAAAUUCAUAUCAAAUUCUUUCUCGACAGCCUCGUGUUUUCUUUUAUUAUUAUUUUAAAGAAAGUGAAUAGUUUAGUUACUGCUCUUUUUUCAGAUAAUGGUUUCGGCCCAUGAGCACUUUUGUUUUUUUUUUUCUUAGUUUUUAAGGCAAGCAAAAUCAUAAUCAGUUGGAUUAUGUCGGUCUGCAAAGAUUCUCUCUUUCGCUGCAACAUUUUCACGUGCUUUUUUUAACAUAACAUUUAAGCACAUCAAUCAAUAUCCCACAACAUUAUUACUACUGUAUCAUUAUUGUGACCUUGGAGCAGCAAGCCAUGCCCUAUUUUAUUAAUUAAUUUGUGCACUAAUCUUGUGAUAAUUACACAAUUGCGUGCAGAUGGUCGGCUAUAGCGGCAAGGUUGCCAGGGAGAACAGACAACGAGAUAAAAAACGUGUGGCACACCCACUUGAAGAAGAGGCUGCCACAAAAUUAUAAACAAAGCCACGACCAGAAAAAACGAAGCAAAAAACAACCAAAGUUAGAUGUGGACGCCUCCAAAUCAAACCAAGACGCCAAACUAGAACAACAACAAGAGCCCGUGAAUAAUAAUUUUCCCUUUCAUGCAUCGAACUCAGAGGACAUGAUGCCACUAUCUCCUCCACAAUGUUCUAGCCACAUGUCCUCCUCCUCCCUCACCACUAGUGACAACAACGGUAGCAUUAACAAUAACCAUGACAUGUCCUUAAAUGUUAAUGAUGAUAUCGACACGCCGGAGAAUAAUCUUGCAUUGGACGAGGAUUUCUGGUCGGAAGUGUUGUCGUCUGAUAAUUCCGGUGAGACAACAAGCGGAUUUCCGACCAUUGACUAUGAUCAUCAGUUUCUACCGAUGUCUCCUCUAAUGACCGAAGAAGGGGUCCUUAUAGAUGCUAGUUCGUCGAGUGUGUGCGACGACGGCAUGGACUUUUGGUGCAAUGUUUAUGCCAGAGCUGAGGAAUUUACGCAGUUAUUGGAAUUGUGAUGUUAGUUAAUGUUGCUCUUAAUUAGUAGAGACCAAGUCCUUCAUUCAACGGAAAACAAAAGAUCAUGUCAUUGUUCUUCUAUUGUUUGGACUUGAAUUAAUUUCCUAGAUAGAAAUUAAUAAAGUGUGUCCAUUACGACUGUUACUCGAUGUGAUUAUAAUAAAGUGUGUGUGUUCAUUACUACUGUUACUCCACGUGAUUAUCUUUAUAUUACGUGAGAAUAGGUCAGGGUUGGCCUAUAAGGACCUACAACUUCUCUUAUAUAAAAUCUGAUCUGAAUUGACUUAUCUAAUAAAAAUGUUAGACUCGGAUUUUAAAAAGUCUAUUAAAUUAAAUAAAUCAGAUUUAUGUUUAUUAAAAAGCCUUAUAAACAUGAUAGAUCGGCCUAUAUAUAUAUAUACUUAUAUUAUUUUUUUAGGUACCAAUACAUAUGUGUCAUUGCAUUCAACAGAACACACUGUAUGAUUAAUAUUUUUUUUAAAACUAUCAGACUUUGAUUACACACUAGUGCUUUAUAACUUUCAUUCUUAUAAUCAAAUAAAACUUUAAUUACAAUUUAAGUGGCGUAAGUCGUCAUGUGCUGACUGCAGUUUCAUUCUUUUUACCAAUUUUAAGAUAUUCACUUCAUUCCCUUUAUAUUCCUUAGUAUUUUAUUUUUAUUUUCUUAUUUUCCUAUUCCAUUUAAUGUUUCCUUUUCCUAUUAGGUUGUUUCUCUCUGUUGAAGUAAAAUAGAGAACACAACUAAACAAAUUACAGAGCAAACAAACAUCGUAUCCUUUUCACUUCAAGCUUUGAUAGAGGUAAAACUUCAAAACCUUGUCAUUUUUUCUUUCAUCUCCUUAUUCCUUUAACAAGUUUCAUUAUGAUUCUUGAUUUAGGCAUGUUCACGUUGGUUUUUUUUUUUUUUUUUCACUUGGUGAUAUAUGAUUUCUAUCAAUAAUUCCUUAAGUGCUUUGAACGGGUGGAGGAACAAUAGCAUCAAACAUAAAAUAUUGUCUAAGAUGGUUGCUGAUAUACUAGUUAUUCCAAUUUCAAUUGUGGCAUCAGAGUCCACAUUUAGUGUUGGAGGUAGAGUAAUUGAUGAAUUUUGCUCUAAAUUAAACGAAGAAUCUAUUGAAGCUCUAAUUUAUGGUGGAGAUUGAUUUCGUCAAAUAUAAUGUGAAGAAAAAAUCAAAGGUUAAUAUUACUUAUUAUAAUUUUUAUAAGUAAUAUUUAAUCAUUUUUUAGCAACUUGUUCAUUUAUUUAUGUAGUGUUUUUCAGUCCAAUAACUAACAUAUAUGUAUUUUUCUUCUUAUUUUGAAGGCUGAAAAAGGAGAGAUACAAAUCACAUUGAAGUUUUGAUUGUCUUGUCUGGUUAGAAAGCUUGCAUGGUGUAUUGAAAUUCUCAUGGUGAUUGUGUAUGACCUGGAGGAGCUAACUAUGGAAUGGAGAUGUAGGUUUUAUUUUUUGUUUGUAAUAGUUAAUAUAUUGGUUUGAUAGACUUGGAUGAUGCUACCUCAAGUAUGAAGUUCUCUUUUGUUUUGGAUUAUUUUAUAUCAUUUGGUGAUUUCAGUUUAUAUUAUUAAUAUAUUCGUAAGACUACCAACUAAAUUAAAGUUAUAUUAAAAAUUAAGCCAAAUUAUAUAUUAAAGUUAUAUUAAAAACAACUAUCAAAGGAAUAUUAAAGGUUUAAUGUGAAAAAGACUUUUAAAAGGACUAUCAGGCCAGACUAGGUUUUUAAAAAGGUCAGAUCGAGUCAAAAUAAAAACCUUAGGCUAUAGGCCAAACUCAGAUCUAAGAAAUUUAUCUUAGGCUAGACUCAGACCUUUUAAAGCCUGAUCUGUCUUAUUCUCAUCCCCAAUCAAAAGCAUCAUUUGUAGCAAAUAUUUGUUUUCUAGAGUAUAUUUAACAAAAUUAAUUAAAAAGUUAGCUGGAAGCUGAAAAUUUAAUUGAAAGUUAAAAAAUUAGUUAGUAAAUGAAAGUUAAAAACUAGCUUAUUAAAUUAAAUAUUUGAUAAAACUAAUUGUUGAAAUAACUAAAAAUAAUAAUAAAAUCAUGAUUUAUUUUAAAAAAUAUAAUAAAAAAUGAAUAAAUAUACAGAGGAUAAAAGUGAAAAAAUAUAUAUAAAAAAUUAAAAGUUAUCAUUUUAAAAAAUAUUACUUUAAGUAUCAUUUCAACGGAACAUUUAAAUGAAUUUUUCAAUUAGUAAAAAAAAUUAAAAACUAAUAUAUUAUGAAUGUUUAAAUAGUCUUAGGUUCAUUAAAAAAUGAGACUCAUACAUUAUCCAACUUUAGUUUCUUUUAUGAUGAGUUAUAUAAAAAAAAUGUUUGAUAAAUAGUUAUAAUGCUAUCCAACAUUCACCUAACCCAAGAGGAAAAAAAUAUAAAUAUAAUAAGAUUUCUAAAUAAUAAUAAGAAAGAUAGAAAUAAAUGAUAAAUAUUUAUGAAAUAAUAAAGUAUUUAUGUAUCAUUUUUCUUAUGUAAAAUAGUUGUUUUUUAAUGAUUAUAUAUUUUUUUUGAAAUAGUUGUUUUUUAAUGAUUAUAUAAUUUUUUUGUAAGAUAAUCCUACUUUGAGUAAAAUUAUUAUAUGUGAUAAAACUUUUUUUUCUAGUAAAUACAUACCUAUACCUAAAUUCGAGAUCCGUUAUUCGACAUCAAUAGUAAUGAAACUUUAAAAUUUUCUGUAUAACGGGUCUAACGUAACAUAUAAAUGGUAUAAUUGGGAAACAUUGAUUGUAUCCUUCUCCAUUAAUAUGUAAUUUUUUUUUAUCAAUACUGAUGUGAAAUAAUACAAUUUUCAUCAAGUAUAUAUAGAAACUUUCUGUAUAGAUAUACAUAUAAAUACUUUUUAAUAUUUACCAUAUAUAUUUAUAAUUUUCUCUCUCUUAUCUCUUAUUUCUGUGAGUGUCAAAUAACAUAACAGUAUCGGUUAAUAAUUUUUUUCAUCAGCAUAUUCAAAUUUAUACUCACCUAUUCUCUUUUUCUAUCCAGAACUUGUAGGCUGUAGCUUCUGUGUAAUAAUAAUAAAAAAAUUCAAACUCUUCAUUUUCCCUUCUUUUUUUAUUUUUCCGAUUAUAAUCACGCCGCCCGCCAUUUUUUUUAACAUAGUUCAUAAUCAUAUGUUACGAAGAUUUGGAGUUAGGAUCUAUCCGAUUAAAAAACUCUGAUAGGCUUAUCAUAUAUAAGAAGUAAUGUUAUUUUUUUGACAGCAGAAAAAAGUAAUGUUAUUAGACAUAUAAAAAGAGAAUUAAAAGUGACAACAAAACGAUCAAUGGUCUUUAUGUGUGCAUUGUCUCACUUGUUAGUCUUUUAUACCGAUUAAGGCUGUGAGUAACAUUAAAAUCGCUUGUUUUGUUUUGAUUUUUUUUUAUUGGGUGAACUAUUAUUUUAAUCGCGAAAAAUAUACUGUGCUAUUAUGUUAGUUAUUGAAAUUCAGAAAAUUUAAAAUAAGUUUAUAUAAAUACAGUCAGUGAAUAACAUUCGUCCAAACUCUAAGAAAAAAAAACUUAAGUGAUCAAAAUAAUAAUGAGUGAUUAAGUUUAUUUGUUUUUAUUUAUUUAUUUUAGAGACAAAUAUAACAACACAUUACACUCUUAUAGGCAAAAGACGUUUUUAUAACUUGUUAAAACAGUACACUUUUUUAUUUGAUGUCAAAAACAGUACACUAUUGCUUAACAAAAAGCCGAAAAGGUGCAAUGCCAGAUUUUUAAUUUUUGUUCAUCAAUAGGGUGCAACGAUAUUUUUUUCACUUUUUUUUUUCCAGUGUUGCAAAGAAAAACAAAUAACGAACAAAAACGCUGUCUACAAUUAGCCCAAAGUCCACAAUCUUUAUAAAGCCCACACAAAUGAGCUUUGAAGGCCACAUGCCCAAUCUGAACCUACUGACUCCACACACACUGAAUGAUCGUGCUGGGUCAAAGCCAAAUGCAAGUUGAGUAUGAUCUUGCUGGUAGAAUUAUUAAGGGCCAGGAAAGAUAUGCAUUCUAAAUCUUUAUAGUGCAGCAUUUGCAACUUGCAUGCGUUUUUUUUUAGUUUCAGUUUUAAGGAUCUGCCUUAUGGUUAUUGCUCUUUUCCAAGAUGAUAGAUUUAGUUGUUAUUUAUCUGAUGUUUCCAACAGGAAGCAGCACUCCCCAGGAGUAACUAUGAAGAAAAAGUUUACAUUAACAUCCACACGACUGUUUGGGCUUAUACUGGAAUGAUAACCAAUGGGGCUAUAAGUGCUGCAAGCAGACAAUUCGUAAUAGCUAUUGCACUGGUGCUGCUGGAAUUUUUUGUUGGUGUCAUUCUUUGUGUCUUAUUGUACACCCUGUGGAUUUAAUCAUAUUUUUGUGCCAAUAACUUUGUUGACCUAAUUAAUUACCAAGGUCUAUAUAUAUAUAUAUAUAUAUAUAUAUAUAUAUAUAUAUAUAUAUAUAUAUAUUUAAUUAUACUUGAAUGUUGAAAGUACGGACCCUUGAUAUUAGUGUUACAUGCCCCCUGACAUUAGUUGUUUGGGCUUGAAGUGUGGACAAAAGCUCAUUUUAUUUUACAUGCAUGUGUUGUUUCGUAUUUUUGUUUUUGUUCUGCAUCACACAACCAGAUGAAAUUGCAUAGAAGAAUUAGAUUCUAGAUUCGGGUUUUGAGCUUUUGUAACCAAUCAAACAGAAUAUUAGAUCUGGUCUUAGAAGUUCAUUCCACCUGGAGUUUAUUAUUCAAUACAUUGGUCAUGUGAAGGGAUUUUAAUGAAUUUGGGAUGUUAGCAUCAUUUAGUUCCAUGGAUGUAUAUUGACAUUGUUCUUGAACCACUUCAUUUAGGCUUAGCCAUAUUGUUCUAAUGAUGUGUAGUAUAGGGACUCUGAUCUCUGUUACUCCAAACUAUUUUUGUCGGAAUUGCAAGUACAUUUUAACUAUAUUGCCAUGGGGGGCACCGGUUCUGUAAGGAUUUCUAAGUAUUGAAAAAUCAUGCACACAUUUGAUUUGAAUAAGUAAUUGUCUUUUCGUGCUUUGAUUAUAGGCACUGAGGUAUUAGUUUUUUUAAUCAGUUAUCUUUCAUGUCAUAGUCGUAAAUUAAGAAAAUCAAAGCUUUAAUUUGUUUCUACCAAAACUUUUAAAUUUUAAAAGAAAAACCCUCAAAUAACUUCUGCGUAUCCUUAAAGCUUUUAAGUUCAAACUUGUUAAGUUAAAAAAAAUGGGUUAAACAUAGUUGUCUUAACUCUGUUUUCUAGCUUAAAGCAAUGAGCAUGGGACACAUUUCAGCAAACACAUUAGUAUCUAUCAUGUCUUUACUCCUUAGCAACACAACUUUUUUGGAGGCAAGUUCUUUCGUGCCAAUAACGGAAAGAGAGAAAAAAAUCAUAUCAGAACUCAUGAUAAUGCAUAGUGUAUUUUUGUCUUAUAGAGUUUUAGAAAUAUUAUUCACCUCUUUCUAUUUUCUUUACUAUCUCAAUGAAUGGGAAAAUAACAAACAAAACAAGUUGAUAGAGUAUCCACACAUACUAGUCAUCAACAAGCUAAAAAGAUGUAUACUUGACAGUUAUUACACUACAACUUUACUAAGAUUCUGGACUUUAGCAACUAUAGCAUAGUGAAACAUGUCUUGCUAAAAAUUUCUUGCUAUCAUCUCUUGCUCCGCCAUCUCUUGUCUGAAUCUAGUGAUGAACUCCUCUGCUCGUUCAUCUAUUCCUUGCAUUUGAGGUGAAGCUAAAGCCAAAGAUUCCCACAUGCCAUCUGAUUCUGAAGUGCAAGAUCCACCACCCUUUGUUGUUCCUUCUCCCCCAGAGAGCCUUUCAGUUCGUGGUUUUUGUGCUGUCUGUGGCUUCAAAUGCCCCACCAAGUCACAUGAAGGCUCUCUAAAGAGCUUGUCAAUAUACACAGGUGCAGGCUUCUUGUGGAACCCGAAGAUGAAGCUUCUCACUGUGGCUAAGGCUAAUCUUUUGCGACGAAAACGUUUGGUAGCAAGGAACUUAGGAGGGGCCUUGGUAACCUUUUUAGUGGUGGUUUUUGAAUAAUGCUUUCUGGGUUUCUUCAUGGCUUUGGAUUUGGACCUAUGAAGUUUACCAAGGGUGGAAGUGAUGCUCUUCCAUGCCUUUUUAGCAGGUGGAAGACUUAGCCUUAGCUUUAGGCUUAUGCAGGAUUUCAUUGAUAGGAGAAGAGAGCAAUGCUUCAAAUAGAAGAGGAGGAUAUAGUAAUAGGUGGGUUAAAAGUUAAAGUCAAGUUCAAAUGGAAACUUGGGUCCUUUAUAACAUACAUGGUAGCAUGUGUUAGAUUCUCUUUUUUCUGUGUCAUGUUGUGGAAUAGUAUAUUACUGCAUUCAUAUUUGGUGGUUUUGCUGCGAGGGGUGGCGUAGUUAUUAAGGGCUGAAUAUUGUUGACAAUAAGAGCAUAAAGCUGGAGUAGGUAAAGCCUGCCAAAUUCUCCAGCACCAACAAACUACCUUGCUUAAUUAUUAAGCUGGCAUCAACUUAAGUCUAGAAUCUACCUCUUUUUUUUAUUUUACUCGAUAAUUUGUUAAUGGUUUACACUAUUUGUUUAGUAAGAGACAAGAGUUAGUCUAUUUCAGAAAACAUGUGAUAGGCGUAGUAAUACAUGAAUCAGCUUUUUCUGUUAAAUGAAACUGAGAUAUAUUCUAUGGUUGCGUGGAAUAUUUUCGAGUCCACACCACAAUAUGUACAGAAUAUAAUUGUUGUGACACAGGGUUUGAGAAAUUUGUAUGAAGUUGUAAUCAAGUUAAAAAUCCACUCUAAAAAAAAAAGUUAAAAAUCCCACGAUAUAUUGCACCCUUUGUUCUAGCUACGGUUUUAAUUUCCUUCCUCCCCCUCGUAAUCAUGUGAUGUAUUACUAUGAUAAAAGGCUAAAGUAUUGAUCUAAAUGCGAAUUUCAUUUUUCUUUUUGUUAAAUAUAUUAAAAUGAAUAGUAAAAAAAAGAGUUUUUAAAAAUAAAUUAUAACUAUAUGAUUAUCAAAGGUAAAGUAGUGUUUGAAGAUUGUAAAUAAAAAAUAUUGUCAGUGACAGACUUGCAUACAAAUGAGCAAAUCAAUUAGGCGUAAAACAACUAAAGAUUUAAGUAAGAUUUAGUUUUGGAUCCAGAAUUAAUUUCAUAAUCAACUAAAAUAUCAAAAUUUAUAAAAAUAUCUCACAAUCUCACCAAAAAAUCAAACAUCUUAAUUAUAAUUAUAGUGAUUAAAAAGAAACUAAAGCUUAAGUUUUGAACUUACUAAUAAAGUAAUAAAGAUCAUAUAUGUUAAUAAAAAGAUUUUUAAAAAAAUACUUAAAUUUCACUCAUUGUUUAGUGGAUCUAGAGGGUGGAAAUGCAUGUGAUAAAAUUACAAGUAAAUAUCUUGAAUUUUUAUAUUUUAUCCUAUUUAUUUUUAUAUAUUUGAACGCAUCGAUUCUAAGUUUUUCAUUCUUCUGGCAUGUUUAUUAUUAUUAUUUUAUUUAGCAUUUUGAUUUUAAAAUUAGAUUUUAUAUUUUCUCCAUAUAUAUGAUAUUAGAUUUAUGAUUUUAAAAUUUAUAUCUUUAUCUUUAUAUGUGAUAAUAAUAAUUAUUAAUUUUAAAAUAAAUUAACUGACUCAUUGUCAUGAAUAUGCCGUUAAUUAGUGCUUACUAUUUUAAAUAAUUUGUUGGUAACUAAUUUUUUUGAAAAAACAUAAUUCACUAUAAUAGUAAUUUAUAUCUCUAUUAUUGUUGUAUAACAAUCAUGUAAAUAAUCCAUUCACUACCCACAUCAUCAUCAAUGAAUAUGAUAGUAUUAUUAUAUUUAAUUUUUUUUAAUAAAUUGUGUUUUUAAUUCAUCAUAAAUUUAUUUGAUAUCAACACCUAAUUUGAACAAAUAAAAAAUUAAAAAAAAAAGUGAUUGUUCCCGUCAAAUUUCUUAAUGACAUGACAAAUAAUUAGUAUGCUAACUAGAGUAUUACAUCAUCAAUUAGCAUUGUUAAUCGAUAAAAAAAAAGGAUUAAAACUGUUAAAAAAAAAAGCAUAGGACCGAAAAUGUUUUAAAAAUUCAAUGACUAAAGGUGAAAUUUGAAAAAAAAAAUAAUUACAGAUAUAGAUAUAAUUAACUCUUCUUAGUUUUACAAAACUCACUUUAAUAUCUAUCUUUUCAAAAUGUCUCUCUGUUUAAUUUUUUUCAGCAAAACAUUUCCUUGAAUUCUUAGUGUUAGUGGAAAACAUAGUUAAAAAAGAGUAGAGUGAAUGGCAGGUUGUAAGGUAGUACUAAAUAAAGAUUUUAUAAAGUUAAACACUAAAUUAAUCCGGACCUAAUCAUAAUCUCAAAAACAAGUGACGGUUUACUCAAGUUAUUCUCUUUUUAUAACAUAUUUUCUUAGAACUCUUUUUUUAAUCUAUUUUCUUCAUGACCCUCAUUUUGUCUGACAUUUACAUUUCCCUUUGUUUUCUUCGCAUCUCUCUACUGCUAUAAAACACGAACAGAAAGUACUGUUCAUGAGGAAUUUUUUUUAAAGAAAUAGCAUUUUCGUAUAUUAUUUUUCUCUACUUUAAUUCAAUUUUAUUUUUAUUUUUUUAUCAAUUUUCGCUAUUCAUUUCUCUUCCAGAUAAACCAAACUCUGCCUUCAAAGUUGGACACCGCAAUUCGCAAAUGUAUACAUAUCACACAAUAACCGAAAGCUAAUCCACCCAUCACUUUAUAAAUACAUCAACAAGCAUGGAUACUACUGAUAAGAACAAAGAAGAUUAAAGACAAAUUAAAAAGUAUGGUGGCGAAGAACACAAAUACAAAAUCAGUACUAAUUUAAUUUCCUCCAUUCCAAGGGUUCCCACCAUAUCAACAAUCACCCUUUCCAAUAUUCCAAAAUCACGUCACAAUGUAGUGAUUCGAGUCUAUCCAAGAAAAAACGCACAAAAAGAUCAAUGUAAAAAAGGGUAAAGCGAGUGGGACUUACCCAAUAACACAACUAAAACAUUACUGGAUCAUCAUCAUGAGUAUAUACUAUAUAAUAUACCAAUACUGCUAUAUAUAUAUGAUGACAAAGUUCUUGACUUGAGAUUAGAUUAGGAUUUAGGAGCAAGCCUGAUUAGCCAACAAGAAGUUAUUGGCUUGAGAAGCAGCUUCAGCGUGUGAAACCAGCGCUUUUAUGAGCAAAGUCUUAACCUGCCAAGGCUUGAAAGGGAAACCCUCUCUGGCAUAAGAGUUAAGCAACGCUGCGGUUCCCUCUUUGACCAAUCCUCCGAAAGGGUUACUCUCCUCGUCGUUCCUCGCAGUUGCUUCCAACAAUGUCAGAUCCGAUCUGUACCGUUCGUACACUCUUGAACCGAACACGUUCGACACCGUCGAUGUCUCCGGCACCAUCCUCGGCCACGCCUCCCUCCUCCCGCUCCAAAACCUAACCACAUCGAUUAGAAAUAAUGUCAAAAUAAAAUAUAUAAAUAUGAGACAAUUCUCACUCUAUAAACCAACUUUAUAGAGUAGAGUUAAGUCAACGACAUCGUAAGAAACAGAAACAUAUGGUGACAUCAUUAACAAGGGAAUAGAAGUAUGUUUCUUACUGUGCCGUGCAUCUGCCUCUGCUCCGAGUGUAGAGGAAGCCGGGUAUACCAUGUCUCUCUGCCUCUGCAACAAAGUGGGAAGAUAAGGUUAGGAGGAGGAGGAGACAAAAGAGAAGCGUGGUGCACAGUGAAGCCAUUCUUGUCUUCUUCUUCUUCUUCUAACUCUGCUGGUUUUUUCAGCUUGUUUGCUAAAGAAAAUAAAUUUAUGUGGUGAGAGGGAUCUGAGCACUCUGAUAUUUCUUCGGAUUUGGUCUAUGCUAGUUUGAACGUUACACUUGCACUGUGGAUCUCUGCUUUCGAGGAACACGUGAGGUCGUUUCGAAUUCGACAGUGGGAUCAAGACAAAGUUACCCUUACUAGUUAGACUAAGCUUAUUCUUCAAAUAAAUUUUAAAUCUUCCGGUAAUAAAUUCUUUCAUUUAUUUAAAAACAAAUGUUUAAGACAUUAAUAAUCAGUUUUGUUUAAACUUACUUAUUAAAAUAAAUAAUCAGUUUUUGUUUUUAAAAAAAUAUUCAUAUAAAAAAUAUUUAUUUCAAAAUUAUUUUUUUUAGUUUAAGCAAACUCGUCCUACAUAUAUUUCUAUAGAAAAGGGAAAUUAUCAACCGCCUGUGAUAAAAUAUAUAUAUAUAUAUAUAUAUAUAUAUAUAUAUAUAUAUAUAUAUAUAUAUAUAUAUUAUUGUUCAUUUCUCUAUCUCUAUUUUAAUAAAAAUAUUUUUACUUAUUCGUUUGAUUAAAUAUUUAAAAUAAUAUUAAUAUUGUUUCUGUAAGUUCUUGUGUUUUUACAUAUUUUAAGACAAUAUAGUAAUAAAGUUAAAAUAAUUUUAAUAUAACUAAAAUAUAAAGUCAAAUUUCUUAAUCUAACAAACAAACAAAAAACGUUAAGACUAAGUCCAACCAUGGCUUAUUUUUUUGGAAAAAUGACCUAAAAAUAUUUGAAGUUUAUGGUGGCUGCCCACCCACAUUCAAACCAAAUGUACUCCUAUCAGUUCGCUUUAAGAUUGGGACUCCACCUAGAUAAAUACCGGUAAUUGCCAUUUGCAUUAUCUUUUUUAUUUAUACUUUUUUCUUUUCAUUUUUUAAAAAAUAACCUUUUUUCUUUCUUUCUAAAAGUACCCUUUUCCAAAUAGAUAGGUUGUAAAUUAAGUGAAAACGGAGCGUUAUGUACUUAUAUCAACGAUGACUACAUGACAAAUGUGAAAAUAACAUCACUAGGGUUUACAAUAUUUUGUUGUCUCAGACUCAAGGUUUUUCUUAUUUAAGUUUGGCAUGUUUCAACAAUGAGUCUCAAAUGAGUCCAACAUAAUUUUUUUCUUUGACCAUAAUAUAUUUGACAUUGUGCUGUAAAUAUAAUUACAAGUUUUAAACUUUGAAGGAGCCAAACCCACCACAGAAGACUGCUAAUUUACAAGACAAACAAGUAGCACUAUCGGUAUGAAUUAACUAGAGAUUAUAGUUGGAUAAUCUGACAAGGCAAUUGAAAGUCACCGAAAAAUUAGAAUUGUGUUGUAUAGAGCCUUCAAUUGUAUCUGUCAUCAAACUCCAAGCUUAAAUAGGGGAGCAAAACUAGAUAUUGGGAAAGUAGAAAGAAGGUUAGAGGAAUGCCUUAUCCAUGUCUAUGUAAUGAUAAAACCACAAUCAACACAACAUAUUAACUUAAGAUCCCAAUAUGAAAACAAGAACCUGUAAAAUGUCAUACCAUUUCUUAAGAACCGGAUAUAAAAAAAUAUGACUUCUCAAUGUAAUUUUUAAAAUAUACUAUUGUUGAAAUUUCUCUCAACUGCAAUCCUGGCGUAUAGUUGGUUGUCAAAUCACCCUAUUUAUUCACUUCUGAAGGAAAUAAGCAUUUCACCUAUUUGUCAUGUGUGUGACAGAGGCCACACUGUUUGCGUUCAUGCUCCAGUGUGGCACGUAAAUGUCACUCUGUAAAACCAGACAAUUAAUUAACACCCUAACAAAAACUAAUAAUACCAAAGAUGAAUAAAAAAAAUUCAAUUUUCAAAGAAUAUAUAUUUGUGUGACCUUGUAAAGUUUAACCAAUUGGGCGCUGAGACGGAGCAAUUUGAGAACUGGGAGGGUUAAGCUGUUGAUGGCGCGCAGUCGACCGGCUCUUGGGUUGAAUAUGUCUGCGUGUGAAGGGUCAGCGAUAUUCUCGUGUAGCUUCAAAGUGCACAAGCUUUCUUCCAACACAUUACUACCUUCACCACGUUCCUUAUAUCUCUCUCGUGAUUCUUCUUUUCCAUCUUGUUGUCCUUUAUGUUCAUGCCACUCGCGGCGAAGGUAGUAAUGUGUUCUAGUUUUCUCUUCGCAUUCUCCACAUCCCUCGUGUUCUCCUUUGAGGUGCUUGCGCUUUCUGAUUUCUUUUUCUUCUACCACCUCUUCUUUCUUCUCGGGUCUUGGGUUUUUCUUCUACUUUGCUUCUCUAAUUUCGUGUUCCAAGGGUGGCCUGAUAAUUCUAAGACCUCUUUCCACCUUUAUGAUUUGGUCCCCUGCAUGUGACUGAAGCUUCUUUGUGAUCCCCACCUUCACGUUGGAUGCUUCUGCCAAGAAACGUGGAUCGAAGCCACCGAACAUGUUUCUAUUGUUACCUUCUUCUUGCUUGCACCCACCACUACCAGGGUGCUCUUCUUUUGGGUUCCCAGGAAGAUAACUCUGCAACAUGCCACCAAAUUAAACGAGUAUAAUAAUAAAAAAAAGGUUUAAUAUGCAUCACGAAAUAUAUGAUGACCAUGUUAAGUUUGUUGGGUUUUUUUGGACUGGGUUUUUUUGGACUCCUUUCUAAUAUGGAGUAAAAGUCCAAAAUGAGAAGAGAAUAUAUUUCACUUAUUUAAAUUGAGAGGAGUUAGAUUAAAAAGAGAUAUAGUGAGAGAAACUCUUUUAAAAAAGAAAAAUAAUUACAAAUUAUUAAGAGAGAAAGAAUAAAAUGAAAAAUUAUUGUGAUGGGAUCAAGAAAAACAUUCUGAUCGAAAAAAAGAUAUCUAUAGAAAGAUAUUAGUGUUUGGUAUUGUACUCUUUAUAUUUUAGAGUUUUAUCUUCUUGUCUCUAUUAUUAAUUGUGGGGUUUGUUUUGAUUUGAUUAUUUGUAACAUAUUAGUAUAUUUAUUGGAGGUUCUCUUGUAUCUUUAUUGAUUAUAAUGAAAUUAUUUAUUUGAUCUGAUUUUUAUUCUUAUAUUGAGAAAUUUUUCAUGUUAAACAAAUUAUAUUUCUAUUUUUUUUUUAUUUUAUUCUUUAUGUUUCUCACAUAUCCUUAUAAGUUUAGAAGAAUUUAUUUAUGUUUUUUAUUAGUUGUUAUAGAGUUUGUUGUUGUGUUGGUGUAUUUCUGCGUUAAAGUUGACAAUGAAUUUCUUACUCUGGCAACUCGAUCAAGCUGGUUUGCCGAAUUGGCAGUGUGAAGGAGUUACAACAAGGGAAACAUUUGCGUAGUUGUAGGUCCAGUAAGGAAUUCCAGGUGGAACAGCGAAUAUGUCACCCUGCCUCAGGUAACGAACCUUCUGGUGGCGAUCAUGUUCCUGUUCCUGCUCAUGCUCACUCUCCGGUUGUGGCUCUUCAUAAGUCUCGUCACAACCAGGAAUUACAAUUCCCAACACUCCCUCUCCUAUGGAAAUAAUUAAGUUGAUGGAUAAGAAGACUAAUAAAUUGAUGAGGAGGAAUGGAUUGUGUUGUGUGCAUAUAUAUCAAGUUGUUGAACAACCUUGGAGUACGAAAUGGAGUUCGGGGUAAUUAACGUAGGAUGGCAAGUGAAGGCAUUGGGGUUGAUAAAAGCAACGCCAGUGCAACAUAGCUCAUGUUGGGAAUUGAGGGGAGUAAUCAAUCACAUAAGGGAAUCGCAAACACACACUUUAACCUAAAAUCAUAAACCUCAUGUUGGUAAGUCUUUUUUCGGGUGUUUAAUUUUUUCAUUUUCACACUUGUAUUUUAAGAUAUGAUGCCACCUUGGGAUUCGAUGGGAUUGUGAGGGUUCAGUGCAUGGAUGAUAUCGAGUUGGGACUGCUGCUUGAACUGGCAUUGAUCACGAGCUAAGCACCUGCACGUGAACUAGAGCAGAAAGCAGAGGAGCGCAGAAUGCUUGAGCAUACUGAACUGAACAGUAGUUGCGAGGGAUAUAGCUAGCAAAGGAGGAAUUGCUACGUGCUGAUUAAUUUAUAGAUUAGAGAGACACGUCACUGGACCCUGCAUGUAUUCCAAACCCUGAUUUCUUACCCCUUAUCAACUUUAUUGGCCUUGCGGUGCCUCUUCACAGAAUCAUCCAACAAUCACCCAAAUUCUUUUUCUGUUUCCUCAUUCAUAAUUAAUUUCUGCUACCUUAACCUGUGCUUUAUCAAGACCAACGAAAUUUAGAUAUCUUCUGAGCCCUACCUAGUACCUACUGUUUCUAUGCUCUAUAUCUUGUAACUGUGCAAGAUAAUAGUGUAUAUUGUUCCUUUUUAAUUGGUAUUUUGAGCCUCUAGCGUAUUUAUCCUGGCCAUCUCAUUUAGCCUUAAAAAAAAAUUUAAUAUGGUUUAGAAACAUAAAGUGCAUGUCGAUCCCUUUAUAUUAUAGGCUUAGACUCAUUUUCCUAGUAGUAAUUUAUUUAGUUAUAAAAAAAAUAGCGUAACUCAUAAAUUUUUACAUGUAUAAUUUCAUUCUUGAUAAUAAAAUAUUUAAUCAUAAAUUUCAUCACUUUAAAAUUAAAUUUAAUUAAAAUUAAUUUUAUUAAUAUUCAUUCCAAACAUGUACAUGUAAAUUUUAGAUAUCUAUUAUUUGAUUUAUUUUUCCUUUUUUAAGAUUGUGUACGUACAUUAAUUGUUGGAUAGAAUCGAGUUUCACAUACAUGCAUUCAUGUCUAUCUAAACUAAGUAGGAAUGUAGGUACUGAAUAAAGACAGCUGUUGUUAAAUGAAUAGAUAUGUCGUGUCUCCAUUCUUCCGAGUGAAUGCCCAUAAGAUCCAAAUUACUUAAACCUUUGUUUGGGCAGGUGGCUGUGAACUAUAGUCCAUCAAAUAUGCUAUUCAACACUCAGGAAGUGAAAAAGAAAAAAAAUAUAGAUGUAAUAAAUUUUAUAAUGUAAUAUUAAAAUAAAAAUAAAAAUAAAUAUAAAAUGCUAAACAUUUUUAAAAAAUACAAAAUGUUAAUGCGAUAUUUAACAUAGAUUAAUAUUUUCAGUGGCUCAAUUUCUUUUUUAUCUGUAUCUCUUCUCUUGAACUUGAGAUCUAUAUUUUGCUGCAGACGAUGACAUGGAGCCCGAAGAAAAGUACCACAAGCAAUUACGUAUACAAACGCAUAUGAAACCGAUUAAUUAAGGUUCUUACAAAUAAAUUAGAGCAAAUAGUCUGGGACACUUUGUUUUUCAUGAACUCAUAUAUAUAUAUAUAUAUAUAUAUAUAUAUAUAUCAAAAGCACAAAUUUUCUUUUAAGUUUACAUACUCAUAUGUAAAAUUGAGCUUAAGUGAAAAGAAAAAACAAACGAUAUAUAGUUAUUGAGGAUCAAAUUUGUGUUAUGUCACAAAAUUCUACAAUAAAAACCACUUAUUUAUCUAUCUGUAUCUAUUAUACAAAUAUUUUGCGUUUCUAUUUAUGAAUUUAUUUAUCAAUAUCUGCAGGUAUAAUUGCAUUUUACGAAGACUUAUUUACAAGAAAAUAAAUGUAUACACUAUUUAUAUUACACUAUUGUUAUACUAUUUUUUAAAAUAAUAUAAUAACACAUUUUAAUUAAAACACAUAUUUUACUUUUACCUUUUUUAAAUUAAAAAAAAAUGAUAACUAUAUUUGUAAAAUCAGAAAAAUGUAAAAAUAAUGGAAAUAUUUAAUGUAAAAAAUAUUGAUUUCCUUAUGGAAAAAUUAAAAUCGACUAAUUGGCAUGAAUAAUAAUUAUUAUUAUUAUUAUUAUAUAUAUAUAUAUAUAUGAUAACAAUAUUAUUAAUAUUGUUAUAUGUAUCUAAAAAAAAAAAGAAAAAACUCUCUUUCUUGGGGGUGUGACACUUUCAAUUUUAGUCUUUCAUGCUCAUCAUGUCCUGCAAUCGCUUCCCAAAGAUAUCAUCGGUCAAGCUACUAUCUCUUAGACCAAUUGUUAUCAACAAUAUUUCCUUAUUUUGUUCUGCAAGAAGGAUAGAAAAGAAUAAAAAGAAAAGAAAAGAGAUUGGACAGAAAAUUUAUUGGAAUUUCUUCUUUUAUUUAUGCUUUUCCCGCAUAGGUACUUGAGUGACUCAUUACACAAGGGUACAUAGUUACUAUACCCGUUAUUCUACACUUAACAAAGGGCAUCUAAGCCUUUGUUUCUUUUAUUCAUUCUUAUUUACUGCUACCAGCACUAGCUAGAGCCCAAAAGGACAAAAGUGUGGUAGCACAUGCAAAAAGGGCUCUCUAAGCCACAGCUCUCCUCUGAGACUCCUGAGGUGGAACCAGGAAGCUGAAAGGGUUGUUGUUCUUCACCUGCCUGGCCUGCUGGCUCUUUAGGUUAAAAGUGUGCUGAAUCACUUCCUCUGGCAAUGCGUUCAACAAUGAGUUUGCCCCUGCAAGGUUUCCGAUCGAGGGUCUAUCAUUGGUCUUGAAUGACACAUACUCAAAGUUAUCGCUCUGGGAUUUUGCAGCCACCGCAAAGUUUUGUGGAACGAUCAGCACCCCUCCCUCUUGCAGCUCUCCAUCAAACACUCUCUCACCAUUGCAAUUCACCACUUGUACCAAUGCCCGCCCAUUCAAUGCGUAUAUUAUGCUGUUCGCGUUCAGGGUGUAGUGUGGCACGAACAUAGCAUUCUGCACCAUACAUCAAUAUCCAUGCAAGUGUACGUUAAUCACAACAUGUUAUUCAUCCAAUAUUUUUAUAAUAUUAUUAUUUUCCUUUUAUCUUUUCAUCAUGAUAUUAAUUAAUUAUCUCACUAUCUUAUACCUUUUCUUCCUAAUCCUAUGGAAAUUAUUAUCAGGUAUUUUAUCACAUGUCAAUAUAUAGUCUCAUAGAAAAAUAUGUUUUUGUGAAUCAGAAUAUUUUUGGCACAAAAAUAUUUUUCUUUUUUUUUAAUCAAAGUAUUUUUUGGUUAAAAGUCAAAAACAAAUUUUUCAAGGUUGAAAAAAAUUUCAUACUCAUGAGUCAUAUAUCUAAAGGACAAAAUUAUCUACUAAUUGUAUCACAUGUAACAAAAAUUAAUAACACAUGCAUAAUUACAUCUCAUGCAGAGAUUAAUUAGAUUAGUAAAAUCGACACAAGAAACUGUGACUACUUAAUAACUUCGGGCAUUUCUAUAUAUAAAAAAAAAGCACAUGAAUAAUGCAUAUGCAAGUGCUAAGAUAACUUUGUCGUCACACAUUUUAAUUACUAUAUAUAACUAUUACCAUUUUUUAACAUUUGUUGAGCUUAAUUUAUAACAUGUAUGAUGUACGUACCUUGCGGAGUGAUCCAUACUGGGCACUGAGUUUGAGAAGCCAGAGGGCUGGGAAGUCAAGGCUGGUGGCGGUUGUGAUGCUACCAGCUUGAGGGUUGUAGAUGUCAGGUGAUGAAUUCUGACCAAUGUUUUGGCGAAGUCUCAUUGUGCAAAUGGUCUCAUCAAUGCCAUUUCUGCUCCUUUUGCUUUGGCGUUGGCAACCUUUGUCUGUCUCCACGCACUGUGGCUGCUCUUCCUCAUCAUCAUCAUCUUCUUCUUGCUGUGGCUUCCUCAUGGCUGGAGCUGUGACUCUUAGACCUCCUUUCACUGUCACAAUGGCUCCACUAUCCUCCUCUUCGUUCUCACCUUGUAGGUUUCUCACUAUCUGCAUGUUCACGCCGAACGCUUCUUUCAAGAAUUCAGGGGCGAAGCCACUCAAUAUGUUGCUUCCUUCGUUUUCUUCUUCUUGUUGCUUUCCUUUCUGGCUUUGGGAACCUCCUUGCUGCUGCUGCUGAUAUUUUAGAAACUCUUGCUCUUGGUUCCCAGCAAGAUAGAAUCUCUGCCAAGAAUUGUCAAAACAAAUAGUUGUCAAUCCGUAACCAGCUAGUAUUAGAACUUAAGAAUUCUAAUCUUAACGUUACAAUGUAGUCCAGUUUCCUUUUUUUAUCAGCUACAAUAUUGUCCAUGUAUUUCAAGACAAGAACCAAAUUGGAUAAAAAAACACAACUAUAAGGAUCCAAUUGGCAUAUUUUAAUCUAUAGGUACUAAAUUAGAAAGUGCAACUCCACGAACUAAAAUGAUAUUUAAACCUUUAAAGAAUUAUAAUAUCUAAUAUUGCUAUGUGGCUCACCCUAGGCAUCUGGUCGAGCUGGUUCUCCAAGCUGUUGGUGUCAAUAAUAGAAACGGCAACAACAGGAGUGUCUUCAUUGUUGUACAUCCACCAUGCAACACCAGUAGGCACUGCGAUCAAAUCACCCUCUCUGAAGCGAUGUACCUUUUGGUGACGGUCUUGGGGCCUCUGGCUUCGUCCUCGUUGCUGAGAUUCUUGCGGCUCUUGAUAAGUGCUAGGACAACCCGGGAAUAUCAUGCCAAAAAUACCAUUACCUAUUCAUAUAUAUUACACAACAACACAAAGAAAAAAAAAACAUUAGCAUAACCAUUUUCUUUUCAAAAUGCAUGGUUUCACAAAACUGAGAAAUUGAAACAAGUUAUUAUUAAUUUGAAUAUAUAAGAUAGGUUGGACGGUUAAGAAGAAAAACAAAAGCCACAGUUUCAAUCAAUUUUACUAACAAAAACUAACCAUUAACAUCUGAUAAAAAAAAAAUUAAACAAGAUUAUGGACCUUGUUGUAUGUAGAUUUCCUGGGGACCGUUGGUGUAGGAAGGUCUACGAAGGGCAUUGCGGUUAAGGGUGCAGCGAGAGAGGGCAACACCGGCACACUGGAAUGGCUUGUUGUUAGGGUUCCAGGUCUCAAUGAACCCACCUUCCGACUCUAUACGGUUAUCCGGUUUGAGGGCAUUCAGCUUUUGGAUCUGGCACUCAUUUUGCUGUGCCUGCUCUCUCAGAGCGAAGCAGCCACUGAAAAGAAGGAAACAAAGGGAAAGAACAAGCUUGGCCAUGGUGAUGAGUGUUCAAAGACAAUGGAGAGAAUGUUUGUGUUGUGAAGCGGAGAACCUGAGGCGUGGUUAUUUAUAGGGAAGAGAGGAAGGUGGGUGAGGGACACGUCACAGGAGUGGGGUGCUGAGCUUGAGACAUUCUUCAGUAUGCAUGGCUAUGGAAGCCUUGUGUGUUACACCUCAUUAAGUUCAUGGGUGUGAGGUGGCUUCGACAGUUCGACAUCAACAUUAUGUGACAAAUACCAAGUGUGUUUGUAUUGCAUGCAAUUGCCAGAAAACGGUGGUGGAGAGGGGGACCAUGGUUUCAUUUCAUGUUCGCGGGUUUAUGACAUAUGAAAUUAUAUGAAUACACCGUGUGACAAUGAUGGGAUCCUCAAAGUGAGAAGAAGGGCCGUCCAAAAAUGACCUCACUCUAGGGAUAGAGAAAUUAUUAGGUGUUAUGAAAUUAUCACUAUUCAUGGUUUUGACAGAUCUUUAUGUGAUACUAGUUACUCAAUUUUUUUUAAUUUAAUUAGGAAAUAAUUAAUCAUACUUUAAUUUACAUAUCAUAAAGAUUAGUGGAGAAUAAUUUGUACUGUAUAUAUAAUAAUUUCUUGGAUAGAGAAAUUAUAUAUUAGGGACAUUUUGUUUUUUGGAUUAUCCUCGUUUUGAUUGUCAAUAUAAAAAAAAAGUAAGCGAAAAUAAGAAGAAAAUGACUAAGUUUUAAACAAUUAUAUUAGUUAAACAAAAAUACUUAUAUGUUUUAGGUCUAUAAUAAAUAUGAUUAAUUUUAUUUUGAGUUCUAAUUUUAAUUUUUUUUUCUUUGUAUUGGAUUCUUAUAUCUUAAAAAAUUUAUUUUGACUCUUUAUCAUAGGUAGGUUAGUAAUGACAUAUCAAUCAAUUAACAAAUUACAAAGUCAGAGUUUAAAAACUGUGGGUAUUUCUGAUAGAAAAUAAUCUGGAUUGUCUCUAACUCAUUAGCCUCUCGAUUUUGUCAGGUUCGGGCUUAGUGAAUGCAACGGAUUCUUGGGUGUGUUCCAAUCUGCGUUGUGGCUUGGUUUCUUUUGCGGCCUCAAACACUUUCUUCUUCUCCGGAGGAAGUUUUUUAAACCCUCAUCCGAAUAAAGUAACCCCAUGUAAGCAAUUUUUAAACCCGUAUAGUCCGAAUAAACAAUUUGAAACCGCCCGAUUGUGUCUUUUUAUUUAUUCCUUUAGUGUGGGUUUGGUUCGAGCUUCUCUCGGGUUUAUGCUCAGCCCUAGCUACUACCAUUAUUCAUUUAAAAAAUAAGUUACAAUUUGUGACAGUUUGAAAGCUGUCAGAAUCAAUUAAAACAAAAAAAAUUAAAAAAUUAAAUGUAUUUUGAUCCUCCUAUUUUAUCAAAUCCAUAAAUUUGGUUUUUUAGUUUUAAGAUUUUAAAAUUGAGACCGUUAAUUCCUCUCUUUUCUAAAAUCAGGAAAUUAAAUUUUUCUGUCAAAUUAGUUGUGUUGACCAAAUGUUGACUGUUAAAAUUUUCUUUCUUCUUUUUCCUUUUGCUUUCACAUAAACCUCAGUCUUAUUUGUUCAAGGAAUUAUGCACAUUUUGUGCCCACUGUCCAUGGCUGCCAAAAGUUUCUUGGUUAUUCGAGUCAAUUAAUGCAACAAUCUGGAUAGAUUAAUUGUAGUUCUAUGCAAUGAUUAAGAACUAUCAAAGCAUUAAGAACUUGUAGCUCCUCACACACGAGAAAUAAGAAAUGGACAAGAAUGAGAAUGAGGACUCGAGCCUAAAAUUUAAGGCCAUGGACACCAAAUAUACGGGAAUGAUUGCACAUUUUGCAGGAAAUAAGUAGUGAGCCACAAACAUAAUUCCAUUUAUUCAAAGAAUAGUUAAGUUAUCAUCUUUAUAUAUUUUAAACACUUAAAUUAGCACCUUUACAUUAAAAGAACGCACACUAAUAUUAUUAAAAAAAGUAUUCAUCAUUUUGUAGGCCAACUUAAAAUAUAAUAUAUUAUAUAUAUAUAUAUAUAUAUAUAUAUAUAUAUAUAUAUAUAUAUAUAUAUAUAUAUAAUAUUAAAAUACUUAAUGUUUCUCACCUUUUUUAUGUUUGUUAUCAUAUAAAAAAACAUAGAUGAAUUUUAAAAAGUAAAUUAUUUACCAUCAAUUUAUAUAUUUGUUAAGCUACACAUAUUUUUUUAUUAGAGUUCUUUUUUUGUGUGUGUAAAAAUAUAUGUGAUGUCCUGUCAUUCUAUGUUUUACACAUUAGCUAUGCGAGAGUGUCUGUGCUCAUAUUGUGUCUGAUGUCCAUGUCGAAUUUCAAGCUUCAAAAUAUCAACUAACUAACUUGUGAGUCAAAUUACCGAUUGGGGGUAAUUUUUUUUAAAAUUUAUCAUUUGAGGAUAGAUUUUAAAUUAAUAUUCGUUUAAGGUUUAUGAAUUGAAAGUCAUGAAAAUGAAAUUAAUAUUUCUUGAAACCAAUAUCUAUUUAGUGUGGACAAUGGACAUCAAGACAUCAUAUGCAACACCAUCCUUGACUCUGUUGAAAAUUAAAAUCCCAGAAAAACACAUUUUUUAGCUCCCAUGUUAAAUUUGGAGCGAUGUUUUAUGUUUGAAGACACAAAGCACAAUGGUCCAAAUACUCUCGAACUUUCCAAGUUGGGUUGAGCUCCAAGUCAUGAAGAACCUGAUAAGACGUCUUCAUUCUUAAAGUUAAUCUUCAACUAUUGGGUCUGCAAUACUUUCAAUUUUAGUCUUCUACAUCAUGUCCUGUCCUGCCAACACUUCCUAAAGAUAUCAUCGAUCAAGCUAACUAUCAUUGGACCAAUCGUUAUUGUUUGCCUUUUGUUUUGCAAGAAGCUCAGAAGAAAGAAAAAAAAAAGAGAGAGAGAGAGAGACAAAAGAAGAUUUGACAGAAAACUCAUUGGAAUUUCUCCUUUUAUUCCCGCAAAAGUUUCGUGACUCAUUAUAGAGAGUACUUACAUUAUUAUUUUACAGUGAACAAAAGGCAAGCUAAAGCCUUUGUUUUCUUAUUCAUUAUUAUUAUUAUUAUUUAUUGGUUGCUAGCACUAUUGCCAAAAAGACAAAAGUGGGGUAGCACAUACAAAAAGGGCUCUAAGCCACAGCUCUCUUCUGAGACUCCUGAGGUGGAACCAGGAACUUGAAAGGGUUGUUGUUCUUUAUCUGCCUGGCCUGCUGGCUUUUUAGGUUGAAAGUGUGCUGAAUCACUUCCUCUGGUAAUGCGUUCAACAAUGAGUUUGCCCCUGCAAGAGUGCCGAUCAUGGGUGUAUCAUUGGUCUUGAAUGACACAUACUCGAAGUUGUCACUCUGUGAUCUUGCAGCCACCACAAAGUUUUGUGGCACGAUCAGCACCCGUCCCUCUUGCAGCUCUCCAUCAAACACUCUCUCACCGUUGCAAUUCACCACUUGUAUCAAUGCCCGUCCAUUCAAUGCGUAUAUUAUGCUGUUCGCGUUCAGGUUGUAGUGUGGCACGAACAUUGCAUUCUGCAUCGUACAUCAAUGCAUGCAAGAGUCACAACAAAUUCAUCCAAUAUUUUUAUAAUAAUACUAUUUUUUGUUUUGCUUUUUUCAUCAAUCUUUUCUUUUUUUUUCUCUCUAUUUCUAUAUAUAAAGACAGAAAAGAUAGAAUCCAUGCAAGUGUUAAGAUAACUCCGUCACACAUUUUAUAGUGUAUCUAAGAUUAUUAUUAAUCAAUAAAUCAUUAGUCUAAGUAUAAAUAAUGUAAUUAAGAUGAAAGACUCCAUUAAAAGUGAUCAAACAAAUUUUCUAAAAAAAUUAAUUAUCAAUAAAAUUAAUAAAUAUUUGGCAACAAAUAUUAGUUUAAUGUAUAAAUGUAUGUUGAUCUUUGAUGAAUGAUGUACGUACCUUGCGGAGAGAUCCAAACUCAGCACUGAGUCUGAGCCACGAGAGGGCUGGGAAGUCAAGGCUGGUGGCGGUUGUGACGCUACCGGCUUGAGGGUUGUAGAUGUCAGGUGAUGAAGUCUGGCCAAUGUUGUGGCGAAGUCUCAUGGUGCAUAUGGUCUCGUCAAUGCCAUUUCUUCUGCUUUUGCUUUGGCUUCCUCGGGGGCGUUGGCAGUGUUUGUCUUUACCCUUGCACUGUGGCUUCUCAUCCUCUUCUUCUUCUUCCUCUUCCUGGGGUCUUUGUUGCUGCUCGUCCGUGGGUGGUUUUAUCACGCUCAGACCUCCUUUCACUGUCACAAUGGCUCCCUUGUCUUCCCCUUCGUUCUCUCCUUGUAGGUUUUUCGCUAUCUGCUUGUCCACGCUGAAUGCAUGUUCCAAGAAUUCCAGGGUGAAGCCACUCAAUAUGCUGCCUCCUUCGUUUUCUUCUUCUUGCUGAUGCUUUCCUUUCUGGCUUUGAUGACCUCCUUGCUCUUGCUGAUAUUUUAGAAACUCUUGCUCUUGGUUCCCAGCAAGAUAGAAUCUCUGCCAAGAAUUGUCAAAACAAAUAGUUGUCAAUCUGUAACCAGCUAGUAUUAGAACUUAAGAAUUCUAAUCUUAACGUUACAAUGUAGUCCAGUUUCCUUUUUUUAUCAGCUACAAUAUUGUCCAUUUAUUUCAAGACAAGAACCAAAUUGGAUAAAAAAACACAACUAUAAGGAUUCAAUUGGCAUAUUUUAAUCUAUAGGUACUAAAUUAGAAAGUGCAACUCCACGAACUAAAAUGAUAUUUAAACCUUUAAAGAAUUAUAAUAUCUAAUAUUGCUAUGUGGCUCACCCUAGGCAUCUGGUCGAGCUGGUUCUCCAAGCUGUUGGUGUCAAUAAUAGAAACGGCAACAACAGGAGUGUCUUCAUUGUUGUACAUCCACCAUGCAACACCAGUAGGCACUGCGAUCAAAUCACCCUCUCUGAAGUUAUAGAUCUUCUGGUGACGGUCUUGUGGUCUGCUGCUUUGUCCUCUUUGUUGAGGUUGUUGAGGCUCUUCAAAUGUGCUAGGACAACCCGGGUAUAUCAUGCCAAAAAUACCCUUACCUAUUCAUAUUACAAAACAACAAACAAACAAAAAUUAGGAACCCAACAUUAUCAAUGAUAUGAUUAUGUUACGUCAUAUGGAAGAAAUCAAAACAAAAAUUUUAAUAUAUAAAAACUCAAAACAAAAAAAAUUAUUAAAAAUCUAAAAUAAAAUUCCCUCAUUUAUCAAACCCUUAAACAUAUUUAAGUCUAUUAUAUAUUUAUAUGUGAAGUUUGGACAAGAUGGACCUUGUUGGAUGUAGAUUUCCUGGGGACCGUUGGUGUAGGAAGGUCUACGAAGGGCGUUGCGGUUGAGGGUGCAGCGAGAGAGGGCAACACCGGCACACUGGAAUGGCUUGUUGUUAGGGUUCCAUGUCUCAAUGAGCCCUCCUUCUGACUCUAUACGGUUAUCCGGUUUGAGGGCAUUGAGUUUUUGGAUCUGGCACUCGUUUUGCUGAGGCUGCUCUCUGGAACUGAAAGCGAAGCAGCAGCCACUGAAAAGCAGAAAACAAAGGGAAAAAACUAGCUUGGCCAUGGUGAUGACUGAUGAGUGUUUAAGGACCAAUGGAGAGAAUGUUUGAGUUGUGAAGCGGAGAACCUGAGGCGUGGUUAUUUAUAGGGAAGAGAGGAAGGUGAAUGAGGGACACGUCACAGAAGUAGGGUGCUGAGCUUGAGACAUUCUUCAGUAUGCAUGGCUAUGGAAGCCUUGGGUGCUACACCUCAUGAAGUUCAUGGUGUGAGGUGGCUUCGGCAUCUCAAUUAAGUGACAAAGAGAAAGGUGUUUCAGUGUUUCUAUUGCAAAUGGCAGAAACUCGUGAUGACGAGGGGACCAUGCAUGGUUUCAUUUCUUUUCUUCCUGGAUUCUUUCUUUCCUUUUAUAUAUGCAGGUUCAUAAUUUAAAAAUUAGACUCGCUUUCAAUUUCUUAAUUUCUCAUUUUCCUCUUAUAUUACUGUACUAAUGUUAACCACGUACACUUAUUUUUUUUUUAGUUUAAUUUUGAUAGAUUGUGUUGAUUUAAACAUAUUAAUAUUUUCAACCAAAUAAAAAUCAUUUUAGUAGAUACGGCUUUUUAAAUAAUUAUUAAAAAUAUUAACUAUUUAUCCUAAAUGGCACAUUUUAAUUAAAAAAAAUCCGGUGUUGUAAGUGUUUUAUUAAUUUGUUUUGGCAUUAUUAAAGCAACUUUUUUUUUAUUUGUUGGCAUUUUGAGUACGUACUUAGGCUACCUCCUAUAUGAAAGUGAUUGAGUUGUUUUUGCUUAUUAAAUGCCAUGCUUAAUAAGAACCUUUUAUGAAAGUUUGUGGUUAUUUUGAUUAAAUUAUAUCACAAUAAUAUUUAUAAAACAGAUAAAAGUUAAUGUCGAUGAAUGUAAGAGUGUCAAGUUACUUGUGGAGUCUAUUUAAUAAAAUUUUAAAGUUGUUGGUUUUGGUGAUAAAAGUUACAUAAUGUAAAAGGUAAGAAAUAAGUUAUAUAUAUAAAGGGUGAGACUACUUAAGAUGUGAAAAAGGUUGAGAGAAAAAAAAUAGAUGUUGAGUUGGAAAAGCUCAUGAUUUACUUCUUUGAAAAUAGAAAAAUAUAUAAAUAAUUAUAAUCGGAUUGAUGAUUAUUUAAAUAAAAUCUAAAAAUUGUGUUUGUGUUUUAUAAGAGAGAAUUCAAAUCCUCAAAGUACUUAUAAGCAUACAGCUACUUUUUCUUUCCUGUCAAUACUUUUUUUUUCUAUUCUUCUGUUUUUUAGUUCUUAUAUAUUAGUUUCUUCUCUCUAUAAAAUAAGGUGGAACUAGAUUGAUGUUUUUUCUAAAUCCCUAAACUUUUUUUCUUUCCUAUUUUGACGAGGUUUGUAAUUUUUGAAUAAUUUCCUUGUUACCAUUUUAUUUAAAGUUUUUGGCUGACAUUUUUCCUUUUAAAACUUGAAGCUUGUGUUGUUGAACCACUUUUAAAAAGAAGAAAAAUUAAUUACAGGUUUUAAGUGUUGUUUGUAUUGUUCUCCAAUUAAAAUUGGAGUUUAAUUUAAUCUACAUAUUUUUUUUUAGUACAAAUCUUGAGAUAAAUUUCAAUUCUAAUAACAGAACAUGACAAACAGCAUGUUAAGAACUAUAUUUAAAUUUUGUCCAAUCAAAAAACCCUUUUCUUGCUUAAUGAUGGAGCUAUAUAUUGUUCUACAUAUUUCAAGUUUCUUAUUCCAUUAUAGUACUACAUUGUUUAUUGAGAGAAGAAAUAUAUAGCACUAUAUAUAUUGUUAACUAAUUAUGAGCUAAAUUUUAAAAAGUGUAGAAUAUAUAACUUGUAGUCACCCUUGCGUGGUUCAAUCUUCAUCACUCCAUGCUCUGCAACUUGAAUCAAGAAACUGGUGAUUGGUGAAUGUUCAUCACUCUAAGCCCAAUCUGACAAACCUAGCUACGUGAUAAACUCACUCCAGCACGUGCUAAGGGAAGGAAGGUACUAUCCACAUUUGCAAGGUAACCUCUAAUGUGGACCCUGCAACUGAGUUUUGUACAUUUAGGACUCGCAGAGCCGGGGUACUUGGUCAGAUAAAAUGUGAGAGUAGUUCUCCAACAGCUGCACAAAGUAAAUUAUUGCUUGCUAUGCAACUUGUAGAUUUACUUGCUAUGCAACUUGUAGAUACAAUGCAGUAAUAUUACGAUAAGAACAAGGCCAAAAUGACAAAUAAUACUCCAAUCAGUUAAUAAUGUGAAGAACGUUACCUUUUUCAGAGUCCAAUGCAUCAUCAAUAUCACCAACCAACACAGAUGCAGAUCCCACAUGAGCAUGGCUGCAUGGCUCCUGCAUGCAUCAUACCACCUGUCACUUAGAAUGCAGCAUCGUGACAGUUGAACCCACCGUUACCCAUGCAACUACUUGGAUAGCAAACAAAAUUAAUUCUACCUUAUAAAAUCAUGGUCAAACAAUGAAAAAGUAGAAGCAAUCAUUUGUUGCUUCACCUUCACCAUGAAUAUAUUCAAAACACCCUAUUAAUUCCCCCUUGACCAUUAUUCCCAACGGAUUCAGUUAUGUGUAGGAGUUAGCUUGUAAGUUGUAACUAGAAAUGUACGUGUAAACCAUCUUGUAUAUAUGCCAUACCAGUACUGAUUUCAACUGACUGAAUGAAUAUACAACUUUUCUCUCCAAAUUUGUUAAUCAUAUUCACCUAAUAUGAGAAGAGGAGAGGGCUUGUGAGGAGCCCCAUUCAGAACUUGCACACGUAACUCCUAGUUGAAAUUUUAAAGUGAAAAUGCUAUCCAAUGAGAGAGUUUUAUAUGUUCUUUUAUUGAAUGCAAAUAAUAUCUGAAGAUGAAUGGGAUCCUUCACUAUAAUUGUACAUCAAUCUGUAUUGAAAACAUGGAAACAACACACAAUAAACUAAUAAAGUGUCCAAAAUGCACAACUACUGUGUCAAAGUAUGCUAAACUCUGUAUCUAUCCCAUCAAUAUUUUAAACCUAUAUUUCAGCUUUGCAACAUCAUAAUAGCAAUUCAAAUUUCCUCCCCUAAACACAAUUUUCAUUUUCAUCACACUCAGAAGGUCUUCACCAAAAAAGGACUCUGCUUCUACAUUCAUUUGUCAAUAUAUACAAGAAAUUCUUACGUGCUUCCAAAGCUAGAAUUUUCUCUUGAUUUAUACUAUUGAAUGUGUAUCACAUCAACAAGGUGGCCAUCACUAUCUGAGUCAAAUGCAUUAGUAGUGCUAUAUCUGAUGUGGUACACGUUUAUAUUAGAAAUACAGAGUAAGCGAUUUUCCUGGCACUUGUAGCACCUGAGAAUUUCUCUAGUCAAAAUAAGAGCAAACUGGAUAUAACUGAUUUUUCUUCAGAUCCAGCCUUUCCCUAUUUAAAUUGUUCAUGGUUUCUCUUGAGCUCAUCAGAGCUAGAAAUCAGAUUUUUGGAUGCAAUGGAUUUCAUCACCCAAUAACAACAUAAAAUUGAUCAAUUAAACCAUUAUAAGAGCCAUGAUUCUUGAAUUUCUGAUACGAAACGCUACACUACAUACUACUGCUAAGGAACUAAGAAGGAAACUAAUGGAGAUAAUUGUUCUGAUUGAUUCUUCAUUCCACUUUAUUUACAUAUUUAUACUAAUAUGCUAAUAGAAUGCAAUUUGUUGUAACAGAAUUAUCACCAUCAACGAUUCUUCAUUCCACUUUAUUUACAUAUUUAUACUAAUAUGCUAAUAGAAUGCAAUUUGUUGUAACAGAAUUAUCACCAUCAACAAACUAGUGGAAUGUUGUAACUAAUUAAUGAAGAUUUCUGCAACCAUUUAGUGCCUUUGUGCAUUUUGGCGCUCAAACGAAGUCCUGUAGGUAAGUGGCUUCUGUAUUGUGACCUGUGUGGUAUUCUACUGAAUUGCUAUCAAUUUCAAUCAUACCAACCAACGUAGCAUGUGAGACGUAAAGUGUAUAUGUUUGGUUUUUUCUCUUGCCCCCAUAAGAAUUUAGAUAUAGGAUUAAUUGUUAACAAUAAAUUUGCAGUUCACUUGUGCACAUGCUGCUUCAUUAUAGGUAGCGCUAAACCUCAAGUUUCAGGUAAAAAACGUGACAUGCAAUCCUCCUUUACAACAAGCAAGUGACAAAACACAAACUAAACAAACAAAGUAGUCAUUUCUAUAUAACUUACAAAACAAAACAUUAUUAUCAUAAAUAAAACUCAAACAAGAGUCCGAUUUUCUAAUCUGUACUCCAAUGUGCGCGAUUAGUUGUCUCCACACUCUAUGCACUAACAACAGUACUAACUUCAUCCCCUUCUCGCAUUAAUAAUAUAAGGAAGCGGAUCAAAAUGUGGGAACCACUUAAUAUUAUGAGAAACUAGCAUGAUCUCACAAGGAUGUUAUCACAAUCCUCGGGAUGGAAACUCCUGCCAAUUACACAUUUGGGCAAUGUAAAUCACCCGCAUAGAAGGACUAUAGCUUAUUACAAGAUAUGAACAAAGACAAGAUAAAAUGCGAAUUAGAAGAUACAUAUGCCAACUAUGCUUUGCUCAUUCGGUAUCUCGCUUGAAACUAGAUUCAGCAUUCUUCUCCUUCGUGCCAUCAUCUACUAUUUUAGUUUCAGCAAGACCAUCCACUAUUUUAGUUUCAGCAAGAUCAUCUCUCUCGCCCUCAGUUGCAUUGACUUCAAGAGUGUUAGACUUUUGGGGAAGCUUUCGAUCCAGAUUCUGAGCAGCUUCAGAUUCUUCAUUUUCGGGUACUUCAUUGGGGUUUUGAACAGCUUUGGCAUCAUGCUUGUCAGUGUCAGCAUUUUGAGGUUGUUGUGCCCCAGAACUUUGAGCAGCAUCUAACUCCUCAUAUUUAGAAACAAUCUGCUGCAGCUCGUCAUUGAGAUAUAAAGCCUCAAAAAGUGUUGCUUCAUCGUUUGUAGUGCUUUCCACUAUCCCCUUGAUGAUAGAGAGAGAUUGCUUGCACUUAUCCAACAAGCUCACGGUUAAAUCUUCCUACAGCCACACAAAAUUAUUGCAAAUUCCAUCAUCAAACAACUAUUCUGUCAGCAAUAUAGAGAAGAAAAUAAAGGGCAAAUACUUCUUCUAUAAACACUUACAAGAAAAGAAACUACAAAACAGAGUAGAUGAACCUUCUGCCAUAAGUUAAAAUCAACUUAUGCAUCUCAACUUUUGGAUAAGUUAAAUGAGAAUUUAUUCUACAGAAGUUGGAACGCAAAAGUUGAUUUUAACUUGUCAGAGAAGUUUAAUAUAUCUUAACUUUUUAUUUUCUUCUUCUCCUACAAGUACUUAUUGAAAAGUCUGUCCGAACAAGGCCAUAUAUAGCAAUUAUCUAACAGUAGUAGAUGGAAAGCAUGGGGAAAAAAAAAAAGAGGAAAAAGAAAGACUGGAUGCAUACAAAAAAACAUCAUGAUGAAGUAGUAUACAAAACACCAAUUUAUUAUUCGGGUAAUGUUGAUUUUCUCUAACAUCAAGAUGUUUACCUUCAAAGUUUUAGGCUCUGCAUCAGAAUUCAAUAUGCUAGAGAGCAAUUCGAGACUGUUUCGAGCAACCACAAGAUGCUCUUUCCUCUCUUCAACUGAUAUGUGUUGGUAAUUAGAAGAGAAAGCUGCUGGAUCAUCAAUAUCAUGUAGUUCAGCUUGAGGAAUUGGGUAUCUUUCAGGGGCAUCUACAUAUGACUCUGAGGCAUACGGAACAUGUGGUGAAUUUCCUCCCGCCAUGUCAACCGGUUCAUCCCUUCCUUUCAAACUCUGCCAUCAAAAAGAUAGGAUGAAGGAUUCAAAUAAAUGUGAAAGAGAAGGAUGCAAGAGAAUCUAUCACAGUAAAAUGUAGAAAUAGAAGGCAUUGCAUAAAGUGCAGAAAAUAAGUGAGAACAUGAAGCCCAAUACAAUUACAUUUCAAAAUCAAUAUUCUGUACAAGAUAAAAAUCCCCAGCGUCACCUGAGAAAUGAGUAUACCCCAUUUUAAUCAAUACUCCCUGAAUAUGCUGGGCGUAUUUAUAGCAGUCCCUGAAUUAGAAAAAUAUCAAAUAAAUUCCUAAAAUUUAAAAAAUUUAUUCGACAUUUAUCUAAUUUCAAGGACUAGUACGAUAGUGUCUCACAAAUUCAGGUACUAAAAUAGGAUUUACUAUGGGAGAAAGCUUCUUCUUUUUUUUUUUUUUUUGUCCAGACCACAGGUAUCAAGACAAGAGUAACAAACAAGUAAUCCAGUUAUGGCAAUAUCCUCAAUCAGUAAAAAUAAAUAAAUAAACAGACCAUAUAAGUUUGACGAAAGACGGGAAGAUAAGCGAGAUCCUCGGACUCGCCCCAGGCCCGAAUCAACUGAAAAGCCCGGCUGCGGGUCUGGUGAUGGGCCUGCGGGUUAUCGAUGAGGCGAAUGAUCUCAUCGAGAACCUUCUCGGAAGCGAUUUCGGAGAAGACCUUGUCGCAAUUCAUGGCGCAGGCUUCGAGGAGGUCAAGGCUGAGGGUCUGAACGACGGGGCUCUUGUGAUUGAUCUUUCUCUUGAUGGCCUUAACGACCUCAGAGCCGUUGAACUGGUCGCUGUUGAUCAUGCCACAGAUUCUGAGAUUCAUGCCCCAAUUGGGUUCUUCCAUGGUCUCCAGCGUGGCCUCGUCCACCAUCUUGGACUCCGGCGUCGGCGCCUGAAGCAUCUCCUUCACUUUUCCGCUCACCAUUCGCCCCAUCUGGGCCCCACCGGUCUUCAGCCUCUCACCCAGUUGCGCCCACUUCAACCGCUCCAUCGUGUAAGGAACCCUAACUAGAUCGGGUGAAAUGUGAGGAAAGUAAAAAGCUGAGCUUUGAAGAUUAUAAAGUGAACAAGUGACGAGAGACAAGAGGGGUGUGUGUGGUGGUGUCAAUAUACUGAUCAAUUGCUUGUGACACGUUUUUUUUAUUUUAAAAAAAAAAAAAUCAAUGCCGUAGACUGGGAUUUGUUUGUGGGUGGGAUUUAAUUAAUGAUAAUAAAUUAUGCAUUUAACUCAUUUUCACGUCUUUUUCUGUCUCGCCCUAAAUAUUUUAAUCAUGAGUUGAAUUUGUCACGGUUUCAACUUAAAAAUUUUCACGUCGAAUCUAACCAAUACAAAGAUUGUGUUAGGUGUCUUCUUAAGAAGAUAUUUUUGACAAAUUGAUGUAGGGAUUAAUAUUUUAUUUAUAUAUAUAUGUCUGAUUUUUAUGUAAUCUUCUUAUAUAAGCAAGACUUAUUUUAAAAAAUAUAGGUAUUUUUGUAUUAAAUGAUUUGUCUUUUGACAUAUAAUAAAUAAAAAUUCUAAAAUAAGUUAAUAUAAUAAAGAAAUUGAGUUAUUAUGUAAUAAAAUAUGUAUUGAUGUUAGAAAUGGGACUCUUAUUAUUAUUUAAGUUUAUUUAAUUUUUUUUUAUAAAUGACUAUAAAUUAUCAAAACAGAUUUAUAAGUUUUCAAUUAUUCAUCACAUGUCCAAAAUAUUUUAUCAAAGAAAAUAUAAAUAAAAUCAAUUUAAUAUAAUGAAAUUGAUAAAUCAUUGAUCAAUUAAGUUAAAUGAACUUAAUUUUUUUAUAGCAACUUUACAUCAUUAAUAUAUGCAAUAACAUAAUGUAUAAUUAAUACAGGAUAUUAUAUAUAUGUAAAAAAAUACGUGAUGAAUUAUAUUUUGAAGUUUAAAAAAAUGAAAUUUUUUGUUGUAAUAUGUUUUUGAUAUGAAAAAUAUCUGAUUAAUUUAAAAUAAUAAAUCAUUAUUAAAGAGUACACAUAUAAAAAAUAAUAUACUAAUAAAUAUCAAAAAAGUAGAUAAGCAAUUCAUAAUAGAAAAUAGAAAAAAUAACUUCCCUUAAAUUUGAAAGACUUUUCGAUAAAUAACAUAUCAAGUCAUAUUUAAAUUAUCUCAGUUAUUAAUAAAAAUAUUUCGGUUAAUAGGUUUUCAUUAAAAAAGAUAUGAAAUAUUUUAUUAUUAACAAAAGUAUUUUCAUUAAUAGGUUUUCAUUGAUAUAUCUUCAUUACCAAAAUAAUUUUUUGUCAAUCAUAUUUUUAGGUUAAAAUAUAUUUUCCGUCUCUAUAAAUAUCAAAAAAUCCAAAAUUCAUCCCUAUAAAAUUGAAAUGUGUGUCUUUUUUUGGUUUGGAAUUAAGCUUUGGUGAAUAUGAGCCUACAUGGUUUAAAACUUAAAUUAUAAGCUAAAAUAUAUUUUUCAUCCCUAUAAAUAUCAAAAGGUUCAAAUCCAUCUUUAUAAAAUUUUGAGUCUUUUUUUCAUCCUUGAAAAAUUGAAAUUUAUUAUUUUUGGUCGGAAGUAGGUUCAGAUUUACUCAGUUUGAUCGACGACAGUGAUUUAUGGGGGUUAAAAUCACCACAAAAUGUAAAAAGAAAAACCCACACAUUUGUAAAUCUCUCCUCCCUAACUUUCUUCAUCUUCUUUGUCCACCAAGCUAAUAUGAGAGAGAUGAAUUUGAGAGUUUGUUGACAAUGUUUGAUUAUGAUAGAACACUUGAAUUGAUAUUUAUAGUGUUAAGUUCGAGAAUGAAGGUGUUAGGCUUUUGGAAGGAAGAAAAAUUUAAAAAAAUUAUUUAUUUAAAUUCGAAGAAGAUAAAGAAAGUUAGAGAAUAAUGAGUUUAAGAAAUAAAAACUUAUAAAUUUGUGUAAUUUUUUUUUUCUGGAUUUUGUGAUUAUUUUUAUUCCCAAAUUUCACUUUUUUGAGAACCAAAAAAAACUCAAUUUUACAAGAAUGAAUUCUAAACAUUUCAAUAUUUAUAAAGAUAAAAAAAUAUAUUUUAGCAUAUAAUUUAAGUUUUAAAAAAUUCUCAAAUUCGUCUUAGAUCCAGACCAAAAAAUAACAUAUUUAAAUUUUAUAAGGAUGAAAAAUAUAUCAUAAAAAUUACACGGAUUUCAAAUUUUCUAAUAUGUAUAAGAACGAAAAAUAUAUUUUAAUAUAUUUUUAUUAAUAUAAUAAUUUUAUUUUAUCAUUAUACUAUAAAGAUACAAUCAAAUUUGUUUAUUUAAACGUAUAUUAUCCAUUAAUACCAUGCCAUUUAUAAUUAUAUUUGUAUACUUAAAUUUUAAAUUUAUUAAUGAUUUUAAUUAUGGUGGAUUAAGACAAAACAUCAAAAAAUAAUUAAAAAAAUGUAAAACAAAAUAAAUACAACAUCCAAAACAAAUUUUCCAAAAAAAAAACAUAUAAAACGGAUUAAAAUCUAAAUAAUAUUAAUGAAUAAAAUAUAAUAUUUUACAGAUUCAUAUUACACACCACGUAAAACAUAAUAAAUUUUUUAAAAGAAUAAUCUUAUCUAAUAGACCCAAUAAUUUUUUAAAACAUGAAUAAAUAAAAGAAAAAGAACUAAUGUGUUAUUAACUACUGAUUGAUUGUAAUAUGAACUCAUUGAUCUUUUGCCAUUUGUGUGUUUAAUCAUGUGAUAAAAUAACAAAAAAAGAAUUAAUGAAAAAACUCAAAUGAAUGUAAAAAAAAAAAAACUUUGAACUUUUCUCCCUGCAAGUACGACACCGAAAACUUUGAAUUUUUCUCCCUAUUUGAACGCCUUUAUCACCUCCUCUUCCAUUUCUGUCUCUUGUAAUGAAUAAUUCACACCAAAACUCAAUGAACAUACCAUUGUUAAGUAUGAUCCUAUAAAAAACCAACAACAAACUCAAUUACCGAUAAAAGCACAUGUUUAAAUAGAAUAAGAAUAAUAUAAUAUUAGAAAUUAUUAUUCUCUAUUCAACUUCUAAAACGUGCAUAUUAGAAUAUAGAAAAUUACCUAAUUAUAUGAAUUAAGAGUGUAUUAAAUGUAUUUUAUGAAUUAAAACUGUUAAUUUUUAUUAUUGAUUAAAACUGCUAAUUAAUAUAUCAUUAAUGUAAAUAACUAAUUUCUCUAUUAAUGUGAAAUUACUCUUCUUUAAAAUAAAAAUAUUUUAUUUACUUUUUUUCCCAUACAAUUAUUAAUUUAACUCCCAUUUAUGAGACAAAAUAAUAUUUACAAAAAUGUCCCCAACUCACUUUCUUUUAUAUAUUAUAUAUAUAAAGAUAUGUAAAAAAAAUCUCAUCCUUCUCCUUUUAUAUAUAUAGAUGCUAACUUCUCAUUUUCAGACACAAUUUUUGAAUAUACUUUUUUAUCUAUUAAAGUCUAUUAAAAUAGUAUAUUUUUAUGAAUCUUAUUUUUUAUUUAACUUUUUUUUUUAAUUUUAUAAAUUUAAAUAAAUUUUUACACGUUAGAAAAAAUGUGUAAUGUUUUCAUAUACUAGUAAUCACAACGGAAAAUAACGCUUCAUUUCAUCAACGGAUAAAAGUUUUGUAGAAAUUGAUUUCCUUUGUAUACACUUAUGGUUUAAUUAUAUUUUUGGUUUUGAAAAUUAAGGGUGCAUUUAAUUUUAGUCUCUUAAAUUUAAAAACAAAUAUUUUGGUCUUUUAAAUUUAAAAAGUUACAAUUUUCAUCCCUCAAAGUUUAUUUUGGGUUUUGUUAUGUCCUAGUGUUAGGUAACUUGUUGUGAGCGAGAGGAUGAAGAUGAACGCAUUGGAUUCGAGGUCAAGGCACCUCCUGAAAUAAACUAAGUUCUACGCAAAUGCUUCUCUGAUUUUAUUCAUGUAUUCGAUAUCCUAUUUAUACACUGCCUUUUGUAACAGAUUAUAACAUAUCAGUAACAAACUUUGUAGGCCAAAAUCACACCAAGUCCUUCAAAUAGGUAGGGCGCGCAGUGUUUCUCUUGGGCCUUCCAGCAUGGGCUUCAGGUAAUGUGUUGAUCUCUUCUACGUUCCUGUUGCUGUUGCUGUUGCUGUUGCUGUUGCUAUCAUAACUCAGGUUUAAGAGGGAAGGUGUGUACCUGCAAAAGGCAUUCUAGUUUUCAACCCUGAAGUUGUAAGGUUUGCACUGGUAUAGUGCAGGCAUCAAAGAUGCAUAGAUGAGUGGUUAAAAGUUAAAACCCUUUAUUUGGCAAUGAGUGGUUGAUCCACUGUUUUACAGUUGUACACGUACUUGCUUUUUCUGUAUUUUUUAGCAAUUUAUUCCAACAUUAGCACUUAAAAUACCCUAGUUGUAACUUGUAAGCCUUUUCAUCUAUAGAUUGGUUUAAUGAUGUGAAACAGAGCUAUAAAGUUGAAGGAUGUCAACUUACAUAUAAAGAGCUAAGCGACUUCAUUUAUAAGACUGUCCUGCUGAGAAAGUUGACUUACUUGCACCGGAGUGAAGGAGACCAGGUGGCUUCUACUAGUAUUGGAAAAACAGAAACUCUUCUUGUUCGGAAAUUACCAAUUGCAGAUCCAAAGUAAUCAUACUCAUUGUGCAACAGUUCUUUGGAUUGUAGAAUUGUUAACUGCUAUUGUGAGUUGGCUGAUAUGGUCCAUUUUAUGCUUAGGAUGUGUCAUUCUCCUGAAAUGCAAUAUUUAUUCCUUGCUUUUCAUAUGAAAAAUCUUUAAACAGAUGCUUUUCUCAUCUUGAUUUCAUAUAUUACAUAAUAAUUGAAUCUAGAGUUUAUAACUGUUGAACUCAGAAAAUAAACACAUUGAAUUCUGAAUAAAUCAUAGAAUCUAUCUGUUUUUUUGGCCAAAUUUAAGUGCAAACAUCAACAAACACAAGGUUUCCCCCUAACAAGUAACAAGGAGUUUUCUCCUUCAAAACACCGUAAAUAACAAUUUGACACCUUAACCGCCACAUCCUAAAACAAAACUGCCAAUACAUAAUUGAAACCAACAUAACUGCCUAAUAACUGUCCUAAUGCAGAAUUAACACAAACACAGCUACCUAAUAACUGGCUGUCAAUUUUUUAUUGUAACAAAAGGAUUGAUUUGUGUUAGCAAGUUAGUAUAUUGAUAUCACAUAUAGAUUUGACUGUUUGUAAGUUACUAAAAGUCUCUCAUUUUGAGAAACUCCUACCAUGUCUUAGUUUGAGCACUAGUUUACUAUGAUUUAUCAGUUCUGAAGUUAAAAUUUAAAACAUAAGGUGGUUCUUGCCUAUGAUGAUUUAUAUUUUAAUCGUUGUAAAGCUCCAUUUGAGGCUUUUGGUCUUGCAGAUGUUACUUUUUUAAAAAAUAUAUAUGGUAGGUGGCACCAACAAUGUGAUAAACUUCAUGCUUAUGCCUGUGUUAUUUGUAGAUUUUUUUAAAAUAGGUUUUCUUUUUACAUUUUGUAAUCUGGUCGGUGAUAUGGUCUAUGGAUGGUAUAAUGAGUUCUGAUAAUCCUCCCCUUCCUCUCCCAAAAAAUGUUGUUGACUGACUAUCAGUUUGCAAAUUUAGAAAUCAUUGCUCACUUCUGUUUUUUAUUUUUAUUUUUAGACUUCCACUAAAAUUAGAGAGAUUUUGACUGACGAUUGAAUUUUUCAAAUGGUGUUCAUCAAUCAAUGCAAUCUCAAAUGCUGUGCAUGUUUCUUUGACAGGCAUGUUUUUGUAGGAGAUUUAGUGGUCUUGAAAAACCCUCUGAAGGCAGAUAACUAUCUUGUCAGGCAAUUAACUGUAUUGAAGGUUAUGAAAUGGUAUCAACUGAUGAAAAGGAUGAACCCUUUUUUUCUUGAGAAGGAUCAGUGUUGGGUAGAUGCUGAAAAUAAAAGUUUAAAACCCAAGGUAAGACUGCUCUAUUUUCCUGGUCUCUCUAUAUAUGGAGCAUAUCAAUUGGCAUUAGCAUUUUAUUGCAAGAGAGAAGCUAAUGCUGAUUAUUUAAGAAGUUUUAUAUAGUAAAAUAUCAUGACACCAAGCAAUAAGUUACCAUUGACGUACAAGUAUACAAGGUUACUUGUUGGAAAAUAAAACAACAGCUUUCUGUUUUUAAAAUAAUUAAAAUUAGGCAUGAUUUGGUAAUUUAAUGAUAUUGAAAACCUCUGGAAUUCCAAAUACUAAUGUUUUUCUUUCUCUCUUUUUAGUUUUCUUCCUUUGUCUCUUUAAUUAUAUUUUUUUUCUCUACUAAUAAGGAUAUUAAAUCUGUGUUACUUCUUUACCAAAAACUCUGUUAAACUCAUGGGGUUUUGUGCAUGUGUCGCUCUUACAUGAUUUAUAAAAGGACAACAUGGUGUCAUUUGAUCUAUGUAGCCAAUCCCCACCUAAUGAAAGAAACUUUUGCUGCUGUUGUUAUUUUGUUUCCUCAACAUCUAGCUGCUUUGAAAUUGUGUAGUAUCUGUAAGCUCUAAAGUCUAAGGUGAAUGUCUCCAUAAAGACUAGUCGAUUAUUUGGUCCAGUUAAUAUGACAGACAUUGUAGGCAGAGUCAUAUAUCGCCUGCGAACCUGUGUAGAGACCAUCACUGUGUACGGAACAGGUGAACUAAAUUAGUAAAUUUCUAUCUUAUUUCUUAUGUAAAAUGGUAUGUGGAAGGUUUUUUUUUUUCUUUAAAAAAAAUAUUGAUAUAAUUUACUCCUUUGCCAGUCAUUCCAGCAUGCUAAAGGAUUGGCCCGUGUUGGCAGUGGAACUUGAUGUUGAGGAGAUGUCAAAGAAUCACAAGGCCUAGGCCUGUUUGGUUUACAUUCCUGUCAACCCAAAUGGGAAAACGUGCUUCCCAUGAAUGCACUUUUCUAUCAAGUGAAUCACAACAUAUACUUAUGUCAAAACAAGCGAAUCUCCUGAUCAUCAUUAACUAGAUAGUUUUGUACGUAUCCCCUGUUUGAGGCAGAGCAAUAAUAGGAUGUUACUUUUUUGCAAGAGAAUGUGAUGGUGGUGUUAUCAGUUGUGUGAUUUCUUUAAUUUAUACAUAUUAGAUGUUUGACUUUUUCUUUAAAGCCCAAGGAUAAAUUGCUUGUUUGAUGUAUAAAUAGUAAUAGUAUAUUUUUCUAUAAUAUAUAUCGUUUUGUUAAGCUUAAUAUUUUAUCAAUAUCAAAUAAAAAAAAUUGUACUUCAUAUCUUAAAAGUAAAAAAGCAUGCGAUUCUUUACUUUUUUAAAUUUUGUAGUGUAUGCUUGGGAGAAUUUAUUUUCAACAAAUAAUGGCUUAUAUUUUGGUUUUUUUUAUUAUAAUAAGUUAUAUUAAACUUGGGAGUAUGAGAUAAAGUUGUGUAUGUAUAAAAAGUUGUCUUUGAAUAAGCGUUACUUUUAGUUGAACGUCAAUCUAGUAUAGGAUUCAGUUGAACGUGCAUUAGAAAGUGUCUUAAGUAAAACAAACACACUAGUGUGUGCUUAGAUUGUUGUGUGAGAGGUACCAAAUGUUCAUUUGUGCAUUUCAAUGCACAAAAGACAAGUAACAACUAACAAUACUAUUAGAUUAAAUGUGAGUUAUAUUCAACUGAAUGGUUAUUCAAACACACCUCAAGCGUCUGUUUGGAAUUAGAGACGAAUGGAUGUUUGCCAAAGGAGUCAUUUGUAUCUUUCUUCCAGCAGGUUUGGAGGUGUGUGAAUGGUUUUUAAAACAUGUUUUUAAAUCAUUUAUUGUUGACUAACUAAAAGAUAUUUCUGACUCAACCACUUAGGGAUUAUAGAUAUUUCAUUUGGUUUAAUUUUUUUUAGACUUAAUUGUCCUUAAAAUGGAAAAUUGAGUUAAUUAGAAUGUUUAAAAACUAUAAACUUUUAAAAAUGUAAUUUUUAAAAGAAUAUAUUUUAAAAAAAUGUUUUUGGAAAAGCCAGUUUCAAGAUUUUUUUUAUACUUUUAUUUCUCCCCUUAUUCGAAAACAUAAAAUCUAAAAGAAAAAUGACUGUAAUUUAACUACUUGAAAGGAUUAAAAUGAAUGUUCCACACUUUCACUCGUUUUUUUAGGCUUAAUGAUAAUAACAAAGAAAAAUAAAAGGUUCCUGCCCGAGCGAGAAUUUCAGUUGGUCCCUGAUGAAAAUAAUGAUUCCCGAGAAUGUCCCUUAUAUAUGACUAUGGGACACGACACGGGUAACUAGCAACAAGAAAAAACCUGCGACUGCUAGUGAGUGCAAAUUGAAGCAAAGGUUGCUGCAACCGCCGUUGAGUGAGGGCGGUUGGGUUACGAUGUUGCAAGCAAUGCAUCUGAUGAUGGCCAACACUUACAACGUUGCCGGUGAGCGUCUUUCUCUGUCACCUUCAUCCUUUGAACCAUACCAUAACCCUUCUUCACUCUCUUCUUUCAUUUUCCUCCACUCUAGCCUUUAGGUUUUUUUUUUUUCCUUAUGUUUCUUUUCAGUUUGCCUCCUAUGAUAGCUAGCUUUUGAGACAUGGAUCGUUUUCAGCUUCUUUUUCCGUCAUGAUUGAAAAAAAAUCAAACUGCUGUUCUGUAAAUAACCACUCUGCAAUUAAAUUGUGCCAUUUUACUGAAGCACUAGUAAUAUAUAUCCUGGAUCAUACUCUCUAUCCGCUACUGAGAUAAACUUGAAAUCAUGAUCAUUUGAAUUCCUAAAACAAUUGUGAUGUAUGUAUCAUUGCUCAAUUCAGAGAUUGAUUACUUAGUGCCUUAUCCUAGGUUUCUAUGAUGGAUUGUGUUGCUUUCUGUCAUACAUAAAUAAGGACAAAACUUAGAUGCAGUUCUACAAGUGUUUUUUGUUGAUGUUGUCCAAUUAGAAUUGGAGUUUCACUUCAGUAAUUCGGGUAUAAAAAGGUUUUCAAUAAAUGUCAAAUAGAUUACCAAGGUGGAACUCCAAUCCUGAUUGAAGAACAACAGCAAAAGUACUCAUGGAAUUGCAUCUAAGUUUUGUCCAAUAAAUAUGGCUAUAUGUUUAUUAUAUUUUUUCUGUUCAUUUUAUUUUACUUCUCUCUUUAUGGUUUUUGAAGUGGUUUUGGUCAUACCGUGGGAUGUGGAGUGGCAGAAGGUAGGUUUCUUCCAUGUUUGGGUGUUUCUGGAAGAACAGCUUCUGUGUUUUCUUGCUCCUCUCAGGGUUACCACAGAAUUCAUUCACAUGUCACAAUUAGAGGGCUAAAGUGUUCUUCUAGGGGUGCAUGUGCAUCUUUUGUGUGUGAAGCGAGGAGGAACCCUGAAUCUUUCUCUAGGCAAAACAAGCAUGGAUUUUCCAGAAGCAGGAAGUGGCUCAAUGUAGACAGAGACAGCUUUGAGAACAUUGAAAAAGACAUGUUAUCAUUGAAAAAUGGUUCAUUGGUAUCUCAUUCUAGCACACUAAAAAACCAUGCCAAUGCCAAUGCUGCCCCUAGGCCUAAAGAGAAGGAGAUUAUUACACUGUUUAAGAAGGUUCAGGCUCGGCUAAGAGAGAGAGCUACUACUAUUAAGGAAAUAAAGAAAGUUGAAGCAUCCCAAGCACAGUCUAAAUAGAAUGGUUCUGUUAAUUCUCUCCUCAAGCUACUGAGGAAACACUCAGUUGAGCAAGUAAAGAGAAGUAGUGGUGUUAACAGAGGGGAAAACGAUAGUUUGGACUGGUUGCAAGAUUGUGGUCAAGACAAUGAAAGUCAAAGCACAAAAUUUCCUGAUUUAAAUGGUACUCCUAAUAAUGAGUCUCAAGAAACUAACAUUUCAUUAGUUAUCAGGCCUCCAUCUAAUUUCCAACGACGGUCUUCUUUUUUUCGGUUAAAGUAUCAACCUGUCUCUAACGACGAUAAGGAUGUGAAUGCAGUCCCCUGAGUAAUGUGGUUACAGAGAAAGAUCAGGAUCAAAUCGGCAUCAAGCUUGAUCCUGAGCCAGAGCAUGACUCUGAACUGGAACUUGAUCCAAAGGAUAAGCCCUUGUUCCCCGAAGUGGGGAUUGCGAUUUCACAUGAUGAUGAUUAUCUUGAUUCUGAACAAAUAUAUAAUGAUGAACAUGGGGAGGACCAACAAGUGGAACAACAUGAGGAUUUGAGUACAAUGAAGCUGUCUGAACUAAUGGCACUUGCGAAGUCUCGUGGCCUCAAAGGGUUUUCAAUAAUGAAGAAGAGUGAGCUCAUGGAGUUGCUAACUGGAAGCUGAUUUGGACCAUAAGUUAGAGAAGCAAAAUCAAGGAACAACAGAUUUUACCAAUAUCUGUUUUUUACCUGUGAAUUUAUCUGGUUUAUUUUUUCAUCGUUUUUAAUUUAAUUCCUUCAAAUACUUGAGGGUUUGUGGAUCAUUAAAUAGAAUAACCAUGCUAUUAUUCAGGCCUCGGAGGAUUUUGAAUUUGUAACUGUAUUCCCACGAUGAGAUUUUUGAAUUUUUUUUUACUGAUUAAAAGUACACCAUUUCAGUAUGAUAAUGCUUCGGGACUAUUAAUCAUUGUUAACCGUAUUGUAUAGCUAUAAUCCUUAUCAGGCCAUUGUUAACCAUUUUGUUUACAUAUCCAGCAAAAAUAAAUAAAUAAAUAAAUGUAGUAAUACUUUUUUUUUUAUCAAUUUUUAUUUUUUGAAAAUAAUUAUAUUCCUUAAACAAAAACGAACAUUGGAUCUGAAAGCUAUAUAGCUUAGCAAAACAGGACCGAACGGACUACAUGGGUAGCAAAAUAUUUAUGACAAAAGGGAUCUAUAUAUGCUAUUCAUAAUCCCUUUUUGCUCUUCACACUCUCCAUUUUCUAUUUUUUGUUUUUUGAUAUUCCUAAAAUAUCACUAUUCCCUCUCACUUUCCUACCCUCACUUUUCAUAUAUAUUACAGAAAUUAGUCUCUCUAAUAUAGUUAUGUUUUAAUAAAUUAUUAUAUUACGAAAAUUAAUUUCCAUAAAAUGUUUUUUGUCAAUUUUUUUAACAGAAAAAUAGGUAGGCAACACAAAAAGCAAAAAAGUGGGGUGUAAAUGACACAAACCCAACAAACAAGGCCGAAACUAUUUCUGAGUAGUUUAUUUUAACAAAGCUCUCUUUUCCCCUGCAUCCCAAAAAUCUCAACCUACAUCCCUUUUCACCCCCUCAUAGUGGAAAGAUUAAUUGGAAUGAAGGUUUUACAUUUCAAAUUACCUAAAAGAUUGUUAGGGUGAAAGAAAAAUAAAUUAGAAAAGCUCACUUACAAAAAAGAUGAUUAAUUAAAAUUAGGAGCUCAUAGUUUUAACUUCCCACUUUGUUUUCCUUCGUUUAAAAAAAGUUGUCCUUCAUCGCCAAAAAAAAAAGAUGUUUUCCUUCUUUUAGGAGACAACAUCACGUUUGGCUUGCCUGCAUAGUGCUUAUGCUUGCUUCCAAUAUAAACAUUUUCCUUAUCACCACUUAAUAUAGCAGUCACCAAGUGCCGCUAAAUAGAAAAGGGAAUAGAAUAUUCACAAUUCACAUGCAAGGGGUCCCCAAUUUGAAAGUUUAGCCGAAGAAGCUUGUGAGUUGGUGGCCGCUGAUUCAGUAACUUGGACAUUAAUUUCUUUAGUUUUUAAUGUGUGUUGUUUUAUCAAAUUUAAUCACUCACAUGGGGGAAGGAAGAGAUGGGGAAACAAAAUCCCUCUAUUAUGCAAACCAUGACGUAUACGGCAAACAAGAUAAGCAAUAGUUAAUAUGUAAUCCAAUCUAAGGCGAGCAAGGAAGAUCUCAUUUGUUUAGCUUGAUACCGAUUGACUUUGAGCUUUUUGAGGGAUAAUGAGGGGAUACAAUUUUAACCCAAAAAAGAAGGGUAUAGCAAAAGCAAAAGAAAAUACGUAUCACACAUCUUUAAAAAUCACAUCUCGUAUCUAGAGUAGGUGGUUCAAUCAAAACGUAAUUAUGUAAAAAUCACGAAGAAAAUGUAUUGAUAACUUUGAGUGUUUUUUUCUCUUAGUCAACACUCUUGCUUAUUGAAAAAAAUAAAGGCUUAUAAAUUAUAGGAGGGGUUGAAAUCUCAUGUCGUCUAAUUCUUUUUUUAUUUUUAUCAACAAAUAAAAAAUAUAUAGAUGUAUAGGAUAUAAAGGGUGUCCAAAACCCAAGCGAGAAUGACCAAUAUCUGAAUCACAUAACACUUUAACAUUAUUUAUUGGAUAGCGAGAAUAAUCAAUAUCUGAAUCACAUGAUAUUUCAACAUUGUUUAUUGGAUAAUAAAAUGAUUACCACAUCAGUUUAGUAUAAUGAUACAGUUAAAAUAUUUUUUUUAUUGGUAAAUAUUAAUUUUUAUUAUAAUACUAAUAGAAGAUUUAAACUUAUAACUUCUCUUUAUUCUUCUUGCUUCAACCCUUAAACCUUUCUUCAUAAUCAUCAAAUCAAUCUUAUAACUUUUAUAUGACUAAAAUAAAGUAUAACUGAAGCGCAAACCUUACCUUAUAAGCCAAUUUUAUAAGGUUUUACAAUCAUAACUCAUAAUUCUAAUAUAGUAUUAGAGUCUAUUCUAAUGAGUAUCAUUAGACAUUCUAUGUUACUUGCUAUCGAACUACUAUUAGACCUGUAUAAGUCUAGUUUAACAAAUUUUAUGAUUGACAUGUCUAAUUCUCGAUAAGAGAAAUUGUGUUGGAAAUCAUACAUCAAUAAUGAUGAGACAAAAAAUAAUAUAUAUACAUGAGUCAGAUGUCUAGUUACUCAUUAAAUAAUUAGUGGAUUAAGUGUUCAUUUAACUAUGAGUUAUAUGUUUUUAAAAUUAAAAAAUUUAAAAAUAGUUUGUGUGUGCUAAGGAAAAUAAUUUUAUCAUUAAUAAUAAUUCUAUUCAAUUGAAAGAGUGUUUAUCGUGAAAAAUAUAUGUAUUCUUAAAAAAAAAAUGUAAGAAUGAUAUAAAAUCCAAUAUAUAAAGUACAUUAUAAUUCUUCCAAGAGUAUGGACUUUGGUGUGACUUUAUGAGGAUGAUAUAACAAAAUAACAAAUAGAUAAAGCUGCUGUACAUCAAUGGUUAUAAUGAAAGGAAUGAUUAUUUACAGCUAUGGGUAAGAUAUACGAAAGAAAAAAGGAAGUCUACGAUUAUUACAGCUAUGACAAUAAAUAAAGCUCGUAAAAACAAAACAAAAGUCCAAGAAUAACCAACGGGUCUAAUUAAGUUGACAUGUAUGACUUUAAUUAAGUUCAUAAACAUUUACUAUGUGCAUAGCGAACAAAGAAAUUGUGUAGCUGAUCACGACGACUGAUACAUAAUACAAUAUUGUUUUGACUUUGGAUAAAAAAAAACAGAUAUGAUACAAGUAGGUUAAUAUCCAAGAAGUGCUACGUACUUUCCAAAUCUUUCUUUGGUAUAGUGUGACAGUGAUGUAAUGAAAAAGGAAGAGAUAAAUAAAAAGAAAAUAAGGUAAAAACGAAAUAGAAGAAAAACAUGAGCGAUAUGUUUAUAACAAUUAGCCCAUUAGUAUAUAUAAAUUGCUGUUAAAAACCCAUUAGUAUAAGUCUUGGAUAAAAAAUCUUAAUUGCAUAGAGCCACUUUGUCCACAAUUUUAAUAAAGUAGUUAUGUAAAUAUCAAACUUUAUUAGCAGUUUUUUCCACGACUUUGACGGUCUUCACAAUUACUACUCAUUGUACUCAAUGUUUCAAAACCACAAUGCUUAUGGUUGGCACUUCCUAAGAAUUUAAUGAGUGAUAGAAACCUUGACUUGGAGUUGGAGCUGGCUAAGCACUGCCUAAGAAUUUAACGUUCUCUAACAGAAUUGAUAUGAAUCAAAUGCAACACAAAAGUUCUCAAGACACAAUAUGAGAAUCAUUAGAAGAUAUAAGGUUAAUUUUGUGGUUAAAAAAAGUAAAAAAAAAAAGAGAAAAAAAUGUUGUAAAUUCAAAUGUCGUAACUAAUAUUUUUAACAAAAUUAAUAAAUUAAUAUUUAUGGAUAAAAAAAUAUUAUGAGUUAUUUUGCCUUAAUUCAAAGCAUAGUGGUUAAAUAAAUCGGAGCGGAACAUAGUCAAGAAAGUUGUUUACGUGGGCCUGUCAAUCUGAUUCAUCUAAUUCAAAGCAAAAGAAAUGGCAUCUUAUUAACAUUGGCAAAUCUUGAAAAUGAUCAAUUGAAGGUUACUGACAGUACUACAAUGACACCCCAUUUGUGAUUUGUGGAGAAAAAGAAAAAUUCAUGUCAUGGAAUGGUGUUGGUGUUGGCUCACAUGCUUACCACAAAUGUCACAGGCACAGCUGAAUGUUUAAAUGUGCUCACGGAGGGAGGGUCAGAUCUUCUAUUGCUAUUGGCUUGGAUCCAAAGGACGAUUUGGUUAUUGGUACAAUUCAAUAUAGCCAGCAAAGAUUGCCCCAAUGCAAGUCCCCAACUAAGUAAGCUAGCAUUGCCACUCAGCUCAAUGGUACUAUUGAUGUUCCCUAACUGCACUAUUGCAUCAAAUGGAAGAGUGUAGACCGGGUAGUAGCCUAGUCCUUUUUUGCUAAUGAAUUCUGAGUUUUAAUGGCUUACCUAACCCUUUUUUUCUUUUGGUAGACCUAGCUAGCCCUUCUAUCCAUAAGGACUUGGCUGAAUGGCUGGUGAUUUUAGGUAGGUCACGCUAGUCACAUGGUUCAAGUGAUGCAAUGAAAAAUGGAAAAAGAUAAAAAUGAGAUGAAUGAUAAUAAAAUAAAGGUUCAAAUAUAUUUUUCGUUUUUAUAAAAUUAUAUAUUUUUAUAAAAUUAUAAGUGUUAUUUUUUUUUUCUGGAUUAAAGUUAGUAUCCAAAUCCAUAAUGAUGAUUUAUACAUAUAAUCAAUGUAAAUGUAAUAUUUUCUAUAUCAAUUAUGUAUGUAAUCAAUCUAAAUAAACAUUUUUUAUAUCACUUAUAUAUAUAACUAAUGUUAAAAAAUUAUACAUAUAAAUUUAGAUAUAUACGAGGAUAAAAAUUAUCUUUUAGUCUAAAAUAAAUUACGAAUUUAAUUUCUUUAGUAUUAUUAUUUAUCUUUAAGUAUUCCUUAAAAGUAAUGAAAUAAUGCAAGUAAUUGUUAAAAUAUUAAAUAUCUAUUAUUUCAUUCCUUAAGUUGAUAUAUUUUAUUAAAGAUCGUGAACUAAUUCGAAAGAUUUUUCAAUACUUAAAAAAUUACUUAUGAUGAUUUUAAAUACCUAAAGGAUAAUGUAAUUUCUUAGGGACUGCUACCAUAAUCUAGAUACAUAUGAUAUUAUCGUCUUUACUUUUGUAAUUUUUUAAUUCAGAAACUUUUAUUUUAAGAGAAGGUAGUAUUUUGUGGGAGAGAUUAUAGUUUAUUCAAAAGAAUACGAAAUGUAUGUUUUUAAGCACUUAAUAGAUGAAUAAUACUUUAGAUAGAUCUGCCUAUAAAUGCACUAUUCUUGACUUAUUUUAUUUUAUUUUUGGGUGAAGUGCGGAGUGAUAUUCUCUAAUGAUGAAUGGCCUAUAUUACAAAUUAUUUUAUAUGUUGUUUGAAUAUUGGUUUUACAAUAUUUUUCACUCUUUGGUAAGAUAAUAAAUAUCCCUUCCUUCAUAGUGUUGAACUUGUUUCUCCUUACACAAAAAUGACACUAUUGGUUUUACAAUAUUUUUAAUACGACUUUAAAGGAAUUAUUAUGAAAUUAAUAAAUAUAUCAUUUAUGGCAGUUUUUUUUAACAUGUUUAGACAAUUUUUUUAAAUUUUAAUUGUUUCUCUUUCAUAACCAGCUAGUUCCCCUCUUUUUGUCACAGGAAUUGAAACUCAAAUUUAUAAAAAGAAAAUAAUUAAAAUAUCUAUCAAUUAUUAAGAGAAUGACUAUCCAAAAAAUAAUGGCAGUCAAACUAAUUUUUUAUAAAAAAAUUUAUAACUACCUUAAUGACGGGAAAUUAAGACAAGGGCUUAUCUUAAUCAUUCAUGAAGGAAAUUUUCAAAUCAACAAUAAAUUAAUUUGCCCAAACUUUUGUCUCAGUUUAGUUAUGCAAUAUUCAUUUUUAAUUUAAAUAUACUAGUAAUGUAUUUUUUUAUACUAUCAUUAUUUAAAUAUUAAUAUGUAUGAUACAUUUAUUAUUAUUUUUUUCUAUAAUUUAUAAUUUAAAUAUACUAGUAAUGUAAUUUAAACAUUUUUUUAUUGAUUAUCGAUAUAAAGUUUUUUAUACUAAAUAAAAACUAAACUCUAUAAAAAUAAUAUACCGAAAAAACUCUAUAAAUAUAUUACAAAAAUUUUAAAUUUUUUCACAUUAUUUUUUUUAAAAUUUUAAAAAAUUGCUUUUUGAAAGCAAUAGAAUAAGACCUUAAUUCGAUUUGUGUGCUAAGAUUGUUAAGGAUCCACCACCUUAACUAUUUUAUGGUUAUUUUAGGUUGUUCUUUACUUAACUUAAUUUGAUGAAAAAUUUCCCUUUAGUUGUUGGACCCUCUGCGUCAGGCUUUCCGGGUAGCAUUGUUGGGAAACAGAGCUAUGCCAUGAACGAAGGAGAAGAACCCCUUUCACUCACCAUCAUCAUCAUGCUAAUUCACAUAUCAUUUCACUUCUUUUAGACAAUCUCGUGCUUUGAAAUUCAUCACCAUUUCUUUCACCACUCUUCCACUUUCAUAACUAUGCAUAUAGGUAUGUCUGCGAAUGCAAUCAUCCAAACCAAACCUGCUACUUUUCCUCACAAAAUGCCUUCUUUUUUAGUUUUCUUAUAAUUUUCCAUGGCUUUCUCAGGUGCCCUUUUGUAGCUUUUGAUCCAUUGGAGGAUCGUCUAUUGUUUCUACUAUUUUGGGUGGUUUCUGGAUUUUGUGCGGUGUUAUACAUUUUAGAAAUUUCUUAAUAAUUGGGUACCCUUUGCUAUGUUUUUGUUGUCGAGGCUCUAUGUAGAGUUGUUUUUAGAUUGGUCAUAGAAAGAUGUGUUAUUUCUAUCUGUGUUCAUUGGAAAAACUUGGGAGAAGUUGUCAAAGAGAGAGUAAAUUGAAGUACUUUACCAAUAUAUGGUUCUGGCAGAUGAAUAAUUCUGUCUGAAAGUUGAAUUAGUAUCAUUUGAGUUGACGAGUGAGGUUACUGAAACCUCUGAAAACCGAAUUUUCUUUUUCCUUCCAUGGACUUUAACGGUUUGUCUUGCAUGCAUCAUUUUCAUUCAGCAAUUGCAUUUGGUCUCUUUUAGUGAAUCAUUGAGUUCCUCUUUGUAAUUUUGUAUAUUAGACCUGCUAUACUUGCAAGUGAAAUCCAUUUGCCUUUUCAUGCAAUGGUGCAAAAUUAUUUUGUGUUAUCUACUUUAGCACGGUUCAAGUGCUUAUGUGUUAGUCUUUAGAUGCUGAUCUGCGUUUUUGCGUGAACACAAACAUGUGGUACUGUUUUUUAGAAUAUUUUUCAACGUUGGACUCUAGUUUAGUCACUAAUUGUUGUUGGACAAUCAGAAAACUAGACAUUUGGAGCUGGAAAUGAAUGAAAAAUAAGUCAAUUGCAAAAAACUACCAUGUGCUUUGAAACUAAUCAAUUUGAUUCCUUGAACUUAGCAAAUCGUGCAUAAUGGCUCCUUUCAAGGGUUUCCUACACAUGCUCAAACGGUUAUGUGUUUGGUAAGUUUAGGGAGCCAUGUUACUGAGUUUUGAACCACAUGAAAUUUUGCUGCAAUUGUCCUGUAACUAGAGGGGGUUUAUAUUCAUUUUAGCGAAAUAUUAACUUAAUUCCCUAGUGCUUGUUACAAAUGUUCUCUUUUAAUUUAUUUUUUGUUGUUUUUGUAACACUGGUUUGCUAUUAUUUUGGUCUAACUGAAGCAGGUCAAAUAAAUACAUCUUCAGUGAAAUGUCUUGUCAACAGCAUUUCGCGAUUCAUACAUCUAGUUUCUUGCCAAGCAGUGAAACCUAUGCCCCUUCAAAAGAACUGUAAUAAUAUGGUUUGUGUGUUGAAGCAUUUGAAACCAGUGCUCGAUGAUAUUGUGGAUUUCAAAAUCCCUUUCGAUGAAAAUCUGCAUAGAGAAUGUGAAGAAUUGGAUAUGCGGGUUAAUGAAGCUAGGGAGUUCAUUGAAAAAUGGGGCCCGAAGAUGAGCAGGAUUCACAGUGUAAUUACUUACAUUCUUAAUUUCUUGUACUUGAACAAAUAUCAUUAUUCGACAACUGUUAUUGAACUUGUUUAAGAUCCUAAACCUCUAUGUUGGCAUUUGAACAAGGUCAAAAGAAACAAUGCACCACCAAUACCUCCCCCAUCUGUCUUUCUUCUCUGGAAGAGAUUGAUCACAACCUCUUAACUAUUUUGUUGGGAAUAUUCUAUUUUCAGGUUCUUCAAAGUGGGGAAUUGUUGAUCAAGUUACAGAACUCUUCAUAUAAGAUUUGUCACAUGAUAGUUAAAUCACUAAAGGGACCUGCAUCUGUUUUGGUUUCGGGUAAUCUUCAGGUAGGUCCAACGUUAAAAGUAAAUUUUUUCCUUAUCAUUAUUCAUUUGUUCUUCACUUCUCCUAUCCCACUCCCCUGUAAAAGUAAAAGGACAGGGUAAAGAAAGUCAAACUACUUCAUUUGGCAGUAAUAGUUAUUGUCUGUUUUGUGGGUGCCUUGCGGCUCAAUAGAAUUAUGGCACUAAUUGCUAGCUACUUUUCAGCAAUAUAUGCAGGAACUUCAGUGUCUUAAGAAGGAACCUGCAAUGAUCUAUAUAGAAGACGCAUUGAGAAAUCAAAGGGAUAAUAUCGAACCUUGCUAUGAUUCUCUAAAGGAAAUUAUACGGUUACUCAUGAUAUCAAACCAGGAGCUACUGAUAGAAAGUAUUGCUGUGGAAAAGGAAAGGUCAAAUGCUGAAGUCAAUAAAACAAAAGGGGACUUGGAUGAAAUUAACCAAAUUGUGAAUCUUGUGUGCAGUUUACGUGAUUAUGUGAUGAAAUUUGAGCGCCCUGAAGUCAAAAGUGGUGUUUCAAUUCCCCCCUAUUUUCGAUGUCCUUUAUCAUUAGAACUCAUGUCAGAUGCUGUUAUUGUGGCUUCAGGUCAGACAUAUGAAAGGCAAUCCAUUCAAAAGUGGCUUGAUCAUGGGCUAACUGUUUGUCCCAACACUCGCCAGAUACUUGUCCAUACAAAUCUCAUUCCCAAUUAUACUGUUAAAGCUAUGAUAGCAAAUUGGUGUGAGGAAAAUAAUGUCAAACUUCCCAGUAACUCUAAGCAAAGUAAUUCCUCUCAUAUUUCAUCCCCCUCAGAUCAUUUAUUACAUCAAGAUUUAGAUCGUCUGUGUAGCUUUGAGUCUUCAGCUAGUAGCGAUUCCAAUUCAAAUCAAAUUGCAAAUGCAUUUGAGAAACCAAAGGAUGAUAACUCUUUCAGAUCAAGCAGGGAAUCUGAUAGAAGCUGGAAUGGAGAGACAGAAAAGUUUGAGCAACAAUCCCCUGCACCUUCAUGUAGUAACAGCAGAAGUGAAUCAUUUUCAAGUUCUAUUUCUAGUACUGAUUAUGUAUUUCCAGUUUUGAAAGAGGUGUCAGGCAUAUCUAAUAAGCAUCAAAAUGUGGAGUUGUCUAGAGAAAUUACUGAUGGGUGUCCUGCUUCUCCUGCAUAUAAAGAAUCAGUGAUUUAUCCUUGGUUAUCUGGAAAGCAAUUUCAUAGCCCUGGAUCAAAAAUUGGAAGGAUGGAGGAUGAAAAUAAGUAUAAUGAGAGUAACAAUAUUAGUAUUACCAGUCAUUCAAAAGUUGCUUCCCAUCCUGUAGGAUCCAAUGAAUUGAUCACCACAUCCCAUGUCAAUGAGUUGAUUGAAGAUCUCCAGAGUCAAUCGAAUGAAACACAAACUGCUGCUGCAGAACAAUUGAGGCUCUGUACCAAGCAUAACAUGGAGAACCGCAUCAGUGUAGGGCGGUGUGGGGCAAUUAUGCCUUUACUCUCACUGCUAUAUUCAGAAAGGAAGAUAAUACAAGAGCAUGCCGUGACAGCUCUACUGAAUUUGUCAAUUAAUGAAGGCAACAAGGCCUUGAUUAUGGAAGCAGGGGCCAUAGAACCACUUAUCCAUGUUUUGAAGACAGGGAAUGAUGGUGCAAAGGAGAAUUCUGCUGCUGCUCUGUUCAGCCUCUCUGUAAUAGAUAACAAUAAGGCAAAAAUUGGCCGUUCUGGUGCAGUCAAAGCUUUGGUGGGUCUUCUAGCCUCAGGAACUCUUAGGGGAAAGAAGGAUUCUGCCACUGCUUUAUUCAACCUAUCAAUAUUCCAUGAGAAUAAAGCUCGUAUAGUUCAAGCUGGAGCCGUGAAGUUUCUGGUUCUGCUAUUGGACCCUACUGAUAAAAUGGUUGACAAGGCUGUUGCUCUUUUGGCAAACCUGUCAACAAUUGCAGAGGGCCGAAUAGAAAUUGCAAGGGAAGGGGGCAUUCCCUCACUAGUUGAAAUUGUUGAAUCAGGUUCUCUGAGGGGAAAGGAAAAUGCUGCUUCCAUCCUCUUGCAACUAUGUCUUCAUAAUCAAAAGUUUUGUACCCUGGUUCUCCAAGAAGGAGCUGUACCUCCCCUAGUUGCAUUAUCUCAGUCUGGUACUCCAAGAGCUAAGGAAAAGGUAUGGAACUAAUCCUCUUGUCUUUGUCAUCUAUUUUGGUGGUCAAAUUUUUAUUUAGUGUGCAUAUACAAUUGUUUUGCUACAUUUUUAUGAGCUGUGUUACUCUUCUCUAGGAAAAUAGUGUUCAAAUCUUGGUGUUCAAUCAUGGUUACAGAAUCAAUUUGUUGAAACAAUGUGCUAAAAAAUCUGGCAUUCUAAUCUAUGUUCUGCAGUGCAUUCUUCCCCCAGCCUUGCCCCCAAAAACAGUGAAGAAGUAAGUUUUGACCCUUUUGUUUGGGAUUGUUGUUGAGAUAUUUUCCCUUUGAUCUGAUAUUUAUCAAGUAGAAAGAUAGGAGAAAGCAUAAUUCAUGCUCAAGAGAAAUAAUAAUUUUCACAAUGGACUUUUUAAGUAACACAAACUUAUGAAAAAGUAUACAAACAUUGAGGGGUGAUUGCAUACAGAGUCUCACAUCAUAAGCAUAAUCUGAAACGUGGAAGAAGUGCUAACAAUAUGUUCGCUUACAUGCAGGCACAACAGCUUCUCAGUCAUUUUCGUAAUCAGCGUGAAGGAGUCAAGGGGAAGGGGAAAUCAUGAAGAUAAGGCAAUUUUGAUCAUUUCAUUGCCCUUUUCACUCUUUCCUCAGUAACUCCCUAAUCUACAUCCACUUGAGGACUUUAGGGCUCCUUUACUCAUUUUUUUAAUUCUUUUUAAAUGUAUCAUUUGUGUUGUAGGCACAAACCUUUUUUUUUGUUUCCUGCAUUAGUAGGGUACCCCCCCACCCCAAUUUGUUUUGUUGGUUUUAAUGGCUUGGUUUCUUUCUAGUAGUGAGAUCUGUUUUGAAGAAAAGGUAAGCUAUUUCUGAAGCUUUAUGCUUUGGCGAGAUGUAAAAACAAAACACUGUUCUGUUGGAGUCAUAAGUCAUAACUGAUGCGGUUGUGAGUCACUGUUGUACAUAUUUGUAAAUAUGGUAUAGAAUCUUGUGAUGUACCAUAAAUUGUUGUACCUCAUUCGGCCAUGUGAGCAUUUUUUUUUUAAUUUAUUCAAUCCUGUUUCAAUCUAUGCUUUCACUUUGACUUGUAUAUAUUAUAAUAUUACUGACCUCACCCGUUCAGAGGUAUACAAAGUUGAUUACAUUCUGAGAGCUUCGAGUUCAAUCCAGGACCUUGUUGGCUAGCAUCAGGUCAUGCAUGUCUUGUUUGUUAAACAAGUAAUGCUCAAAAUUUAAGCUCAUCCAGAAAAUGAUUUAGAAAUGGUGCAUGGUACUAAGGGGUCUAACUCCGUUGAACAUAGUGUGUGAAUUGUUGAAACUCCUUUGAUAUAUACCAAAAAAAAAGACAUGAUGUAUGGCUAUUACUUAUUUUAUAUUGUUACAAUGUGUCUAUUUGAGAAUAAUUUGUCCUUGGGGAUGGUUACAUUAUCAUUAUACGGUUGAUAUUUGUCAAAUACUGGUGAAUAGAAUUUUAUAUGAUCAUGUGGUUCAAGGGUACAUAAUUUCUCCCUAAGACAGGUGCAACUAAUGCACCCAGGUUGGAAUUUGGUGAAAUGGGUCAUGCCCAAAGUUAAACUGAAGCAACCAAUUAUUAUUUCCAAAUUUAUGGGCAUAUUGGUUGUAAAAAACGGUGUGAAAACUAAUUGUAUAUGGGAUUUUUUUUUCCUGCACUUCCAUGCUUGAUUCAUGCACUUCCUAUAUUGCUUUCAGCACAUAGAAAGUGCAGGAAGGAAUUUUCCUAUAUAUCUUUGACAUUAUGUUCUACCUAUGUUUAUUUGGGAUCAAUGAUUGGGUCAUGUUCAUGACCAAAAAUUGAUUGGGCUUGUGAUCUUUUUGUUCUGUAGUGUCUUCCAGCCAUCAAUUUAGCAAAAGGAAACAAACAAAAUUGACACGAUCAAUACUCCGUAGUCAGAAGGGGGUAUGGUUCGUGGCCUACUACCACAUGUGUCUAUCAAUAUUCAAGUACUAACUAGGUAAAAAAGACGUACAAAUUUGUCCCAAAAACUUAAAAGCAAUUCAAUGUGUUCUAUCAAUCCUUCCUUAACGAGGGAGAAAGAAAAAAUGUAAUGGUUAUGUACUCUAAUGCAAAAACUUUACUUAAAUGCCACCGUAAAAAGAAAGUAAAAAAGAGGAAAAGAAAAAGCUAUUAUUUUUUUUUGGAAAAGAAAAAGCUAUUAUACCAUUGUCUAAAUCGCUUUGAUAGGAAAUUAAUGUGUCACUUUGCUUUGACGUGCCCAAAGUUUUCUCAGAUCUUAACCUUAUAACCUUAAUAAUCAUUCAGGAAUAUAUUCCAUUUAUUGUCACUUUGAAAAUCUGCAAGAAACACAUGUUGAAGAAAACCUCAGUUGAAAAACACUACAAACACCAGUAUUAUUCUUUGCUUUUCCUCGAGAAAAGAGAAACAUGAAAAUAACGCGGGCAGAUUUGCCUCAUAUGCACGAUGCCCAGACUUUGAUCGUUCAAUUUGGAUGGGAAUUUACCUAAAUUAUUAUGGGCAAUUUGAAAUUACAAAAUACCCAUUCAGUGCACUUGAACUAACUAUGUUUUGCAAGCAAAGAAGGCAUUUGAUGCCGAAAGAAAAGCAUGAUUUCCCUCUAGUCCAAAGUUAGAAAGACAUUCUCUGAUAUAUAGUUGAAAUAUAUUAAAAAUUAUGAAAGUAGAAAUGAGGUUUUUUAAAUAAGAUGUAAGGCAUUAUUUCACCAACAAAAUCUACCAUAAUUAGUAUAAUUAGGAGAUAGUUAAGUCUUUUUAUUUUUUUUAUGAAUAGAAAUUAAACUCAGAUAUUACAAAUUUAUAAUACUUCACAUACAUUCAAUUAAUUGAGCUAGAUUCUCAUAGUCGAGUCUAUAAAACAUGCUGUAAAAAAUUCAAUACUAAAUAAUUUUUAUAAAAUACUUCAUUAAGAGAGAUAAUACACACUUCAUUUAUCUAUAAAAACUACAAAAACAUCAUUUCAUGUGUUUCAAUAAAUUUUAACUAUUAAUAGCGUGUUUUAAAAAAUAUUAAAAAUUGUGUUACUAAUAUUUUUCUAAAGUUUUACAACUAGUAAUUUUGUUGACAUGCAUAAAUAAAUAAACUUCCACUUAGACUAGUUUUUGGUUAGCAAAUAAAAGUGGAAUCCAUUAUCUUUAUACAUAUCAUUUUCAUCUUUUAUUCUCGCCUACUUUCUUUCUUGAAAAUCUUUUGGUACUUCUUCUUCCAAAACAUUUAUCACAUUUAAAGUUUUAAGGUUUCAAUUUUUUAAAAUUAAGCUGAUAAUUGUUUUUUCUUUCUAACUUUAUCUAGCUUUUACUGAUUAUUUGGUUUAAAAAACAUAAGAAAUAAUUAGGCCAUAUUUAAUAUGAUAUUUUUUAUAUGCAAAUUUUAAAAAGUAAUUAAAAACAUUUUCCUAAACAGAAUAUCACUUAAAAGUUUCCUCAUUACGUUUGAUUAAAAGAAAAUAUUUAUCAGUUUGCUUGGAGAGGAGGAGGAAAGUAAAAGUUAAUUAUUAUUAACAUCUUUUAUGCAUGUCGUCCCUGUAAGGCUUUUUACAUUAUUUUUUUUAUGUAGUCCCUUUUUGUCUUAUGAAAUCAAGAGCAAAUUGGAAGUGAGAAAGUGGUGAUGGAAAGCACUGAUCGGAGUAAUGUUAUUGGUGGAGAUGCUUUGCUUCUUUGGUGAAAUUGAAGGUGCCCUAACUGGGAGACAAAAAUGUGCCUUAGCAUGUUUGUAGUUGAAUGCGUAUUUGUGGGUCGAGACUCCAUUGUCACAAAAGUCGUCAAUACAAAAAAUAAUUAAGAAAGAAAAUGAGGAAACAAUGACAGGGGAAGAGUGUGAUAGCAGGGUACAAGGGGGUCACUUGAAUAAAGAGAUGCGUAAAUGUUGUAAAUUUUAUGUUCAAUUCAUGUAAAAAUAAUAAUAAUAAUAACAAAGUUACCAACGUUUAUCCAACAUUCAAAUGACCCGCUUCACAAAUAAUUUACAGAAAAUAUUAAAUUGUUUAAAAUGUAUCCUUUUAAUGUUUUUUAAAUAUAAAAUUAUUUAUUAAACUGUCAUAACUAAUUUUCAUUUAAUAAUUUUUCAAUUAAUAUUAAUGUUAAUUCAUUUGAUCUUUCUUCACUCUUGAGAGAUGAUUGAUCUUUUGUAAGAUUUUUAUUAUUUCUAACAGUAAGACAACUUUUAUUCUAGUAUUAAAAAAGACAAAUAAAAGGUUGAUAGGUAAUGAAAAUUAAAUGAAGGCCAUUUUAUUAUUAAUUAAUUUAAUUAAAAUUUGGGAAUGUUUACAGACCAAUAAAAAGUGAAACAAGAUUUUUGAAGUUUAUUAUUUAAAGUGCUUGCCUAAAAAAUGUAUAUUUCAAUUAAGAUUAGUACUGUCAAAGAUAUAGAUAAAAUAUAGUUGCUAACUAAUAUAGAAAACGAUAAAAUGUGGCUUAUUUUAAACGAAAAUAAAUACUUUAAGUAUUAAAAGCUAAUUAAAUGUUAUUUAUUUAUUGUUAAAAUAAAACAUAAAUAAAUAACAUGUUCCAGGGUUUUAUUUAUUUGGAGAAAUGGAGGUUAAAAGCAAGUGUUUUAUUUACUUUAGGUCCGUAGGAUAGUCGGAAGAGUUUGGGAGGGUGGAAAAGUUGAAGACAGCUUUUUUUUAAGCAAGCUGAAGACAGGUUAGUCAGCACAAAACACAUAUCUUAAGUCCUUUUUUUCUCUUUUAAAUAUAAUCUCUUUAAUUUUAUGUAAAGAAAAAUUCAUUAACUUUUGGAAGAGGAAAAGAAAAGCAUUCGACUAUUUCUCUCCCCCCCAGGCUCUAGCCUCCAAAACCAACCAAUUUUUUUUUUAUUUUAUAAAAAAUGUGUAUUUUGAUUUUUCCCUUCCUUUUUAUUUCUCUCACCAAAUAAUAGAUUAAUAUCUUCAAUAAGUAAGAUAAAAAGUAUUAAUAAAAUAAGAGAAUAGUAUUGCAAAAAGAACAUAUUUUGAAAUUGAAAAUAUUCAAUACUUUUAAUUGUCAUACAAAAAUAUUAAAUGACAAUCAUUUUAAAUAAUAUUAUAAAUGAAGCAAGGUUUUGAAGAUUCCUUUAUCUUUUUGCAGUGAGGUUGCAAGUUGAAAAGCUCAAGGAUCUGCAGCAACUUGAAGAAUUCAUUAAUUAGACAGCAGUUAAAGUGCUUGUUUCUUCCUUAAAGAUCUCUAUUGAUUGCUUAUGGAACAUGAAUCAACCAGCUGUCUAUGAUCUGUAUUAUUGUUUUGUGGGUACAGAACAGCAGGGCUAAGUCGUAUUUGUAGUUAAGUCCCUGAAUCCUUAGUACCAUUCACAUAACUAAGAUUGGGUCCACUCAAGUGCAUUAGCUUUUCUCAUGAAAGCCUUUCCUUAUCUCCAAAUCAAAUCAAAUUAUUAAGCAUUACAACCCUCUUUUACUUCAGUUAAAUCAUUGACAGUUUAUUAUAUAUGUGGUCCACAAACAGUUGGUAUUGAAUUUUAUAUAAUUAUAAUUAUUUUAUUUUUAAUUAAUAUAUAUCUUAGAAGAAUAUUUUUUUUAAAAAAAAUAAAGGCAAUAUAAAUUGUCGUACUUUAAUUGUAAAAAAAUAUUUAUUAAUAAUUAAUUAUGAUUUCUUCCAAUCCUAAUUUUAGACGACUCUACGUGUUAACUCCUGUUGACACAUUUGGUCAAGUCUUUCGACUACAUUAAUUAACUGUGAUUUGAGUUCUAUUUUAGAUUUUUCUUGUUGGCGGAUUAAUGAUAUAUAAAUUUCAUUGUAAAUAUUAGACGAGAUGGGUUAUCUCUAUUUGGCGUUAGAAGGGCAUGCCUUUUCCUAAUAUAUAUAUUUUUUUAGUAAAAAGAAAAAAAGAGAGUUGACUCUAUGUUGAAUAUAUUAUAUACUAAAUUUAAUGUAUUUUGCAAGAUGAAUGACAUUGAAAUUGUUAGAGGAGCGAAUGACAAAAAUGCAUGUCCUUAAGUUGGAGUUGUACUUCAAGUUCCAUCAUGGGUGUACUGCCAAGUGAAGUGAAAACAUGGCCUUCAUUGUGUUCACUGUUUUCUCAACUUACAACAUUUAUGCAAUCCUGCUUCCCCUCCCAAUUAAUAGUGACAGAACAAACGGCCUGAUUACUUCAAUUAUGAAUUAUCAAUGGUUACUUACCACAGUCUAACACCACUAUUAAUAACUUGAAAGCUCAUUGUCACAUCAUUUACCAGCUUUUUUCCUUCACCUGCUACGUACCACCGACACAUAUUCGGGAUUUGAAAACAAUAUAGCAAUAAAAUUAUAAAUAUAAGAUUAAAGUAUCAAAAUUGUUGUGAUUAUUAUUGUCAUGGGUAUGUAUUAUAUCAAAUACUUUUACUGAGUUUUACAUAUAUAUUUAUAUAUUUGCUUAUUUUUUAAUUUCUAUGACAAUAUAAAUGUGAUAUAAUAUUAAUUAAAUGAAUAAUAAUAUUUCAUUAUAUAGUAAUCAAUAAAGUUGACAUAUAAAACAUUAAAUUUGUGUAAUGGAGUUAAUAAAUAUUAUAUAGAUGUAUGUUGUAUUGAAAUUCACUUUUUUGUUAUUUCUUUUUAAGUUAUUCCUUCAAAACGAUAUCAUUUUGAGAGUUAUGUUAAUAUUUUUAUUGCUUGAAAUAUGACAACUGAAAAGUGAAGUCCAUGUUGUAUUAUAUCUCAGUCAUGUCUCAUCUAUGUUGUGAAUUCUAGCAUUAGUGUUGUAUCCAUACAUAUCACUUGUAUGUGUCCGCGCUUUAUAAUUAAGGGAAGAGCUACAUUUAACGUCCUUUCCCCACGUGAGUUUCUCACCUGAGCACUUCUCCAAUCCUCCGUUGCUGCAAAAAAACUGAGAAACACUGCCAAAAAUUCCAAUGGGAAUCAUGGGAUAUAGGUUAAAGAAGAAGGUAUUGUUGGAUCGGAGGCUUUUUUUUAGAUUCCAGUAAUAUGACUAAAAUGAUGUAUAUAAGAAAAGAUAAUAAUCUUUACAGUUAGUUUUAGGCCGGAGUUGAGUUAGUUCAAAUCUAAAGUUAAAAUAGUGUCACAAACAUCUAUCAACAUGUAGUUCUUGUUCAAUCUAUUGAGUUAUCUGUCAGUUGAUCAGCUAUUAUCUAUUUUUGUAAAUUUCACAUUCUAUAUGUCUAGUUCUUCAUGUGAGAAAGUAUGAUAAAGAUUUAAUAUUGACUAAUAAUAUAACUAAAAUAGUAUAUAUAAGUAUGAGUAAUCGUGGUCACUUCAUAAACUAGAUAAUUUGUAUUUUAGCUUAGUGCUUAUUUUUCAACUUAUAAAGAUGGGAAACAAGGAGAUUCCAAACAGAGGAUGAAUGUGAUUCCCUAUCUAUAUAGGCUUUUAUGGGCUUGAAGCUAUGCUUUAACAAACAAUAAUCUUGAUAACCACAAACAUACAAAGAAGAGUGAAAUUGGCAAACAUAGAAUAGAUGUUACUGUUUAGUUUCUUAGCAUAUUGAUUAUAUAAUUAUAUUUUGGUAAAAAUAUAUUGAUAUAUUUUUCCAACUCGUAACAGCUUCAUGAAAGAACCCUUUUUCAAUCCAGCCUAGGAUAUUGACCACAAGAACUUCAUCCCUUACUCUCCGGGAAAAUUAUUCAUGCGGGGGUUAUCUCCAAUACUUGUAUUAAAACGCAUUCGUGUUGGUUUUUGUGGCUGUGCAAUGACGACUGGUACCAUUCUAAAUAUUAGUAAUUUGACCAUAGAUUCUCGCCCCAUGUGGACUAAAUUUAAAAGUCCGAGUAACAACAGGCUAUAUGAAGUGUUCUAUGGAAUUGAUUAUCUAUUUUUAUGAUGUGAAAGGCACUUCAUGAAUUGUCAAGUACGCUUGAAAGUUACAUUUACUUUGACAUUAAAUAAAAAUGUAUAUAAUUUUAAAAAAAUAAGAUACCAAUUCUUAUUUCAACUAACUAGAAUGGUCCACCCACUAAAGCUUAUUUGGCGGGUGUGAUUGAGAUAAUCUAUGAUCAUGAAACAUGUGGUGUCCCCUCACAUAAUUUUGAAAUAAUGUUUCUUGCUUGUUUUCCUUUUCACAAGGGCAUAAUAACGUCUUGCAUUUGAAAGAUAAGAAUAUACGUAUAUAAGAAGAAAAAAGAAUUCUGAGUACUGUUGUGAUGGAAACAAGAGAAGGAAGAGGAACCAAUACAAUAUUGAAUGGAAGAAUUUAUAUAAUAACACUAAUAAAAUUGUGUGGAAGGCAAGAAAACAGUCUAAGAUCCUAGUACCGGAUUUUGUCAUAGACAACCCAGCAAGAAUUAAUUAAAAAAAUAAUCGAAGACAAAAAAAUUCCCUCUCAAUAUGGAAUAUUUAAUUGCCCCCACUCGGAUGCCUGUCCUGGAAAAACAAAACCAUUUGGUCAUUAAACUAAGAUGAACAGGAGUACAUGCAAAGUAAAGGGUGUAAAAAUAUUAAAGAAGUGGAGAAAGACAUGGAAAAUGAGAAAGAGGCCAGAGUAUGAAUUAUGAAACUAUAUGAAUAUUGCAAAUGUUUUCAUACAAAUGUGUUAAUAAUUUGUAAUUACAUAUGAGUAAACGCUGCAUAUAAUUACGUGCUUCCCUUCAUUUUUUCGUUAAUUUCACCGAAAUCUAACUGCAACAAUAUGUUUGUCCUCCCAUGAUGUUUAUUUUCUAUUUGAUCUUUAAUAUAGGAAAAUGUGCUGAUUUGAUUGUUAAUGAGUUCGGUGUCAACCUAAUUGAGAUUGUCCUUCUCAAUUUGCAGUAACAUAUAUAACUCUGGAUUUUGAUAAAUAAAUAAAAAAAACAAAAAAAAACUGCAACAAUAUGUUGCAUUCAAUGAAUAGUCUAUUAAGUAUCUAGGAGGGUUCCAUGAUUCAAGUAUACUACAUUAAGCUCAUUUUAGUCAAUAAGAAACUCAAAAUGUAUCAAAUAUGUUUUAAACUUUAUGGUAUAUAUCAACAGCAAAUUUAGAAAUAUAUAUUGACUGUGAAAAUAAUAGCAGAUGGUGGUGAAUGGUGAUACAGUUAAGGGUGACCGUGCUGAUGAAGAUGACAAUCUAUAACAGUACACAGUAGUCCCAGCAAGGAUAAUCCAAUCAACUAGCUAUUGGCUUGUUAGUUGGACUGUUUUGUUUCCUUGUUAAUAAGAAAUCAAAAUGGCGAGGAUGGUCAAGUUUGUUGGCUUAAUAUUAUAAUGAGAACUUGAAAAGGGCUAAAAUCUUUAAACAUUAUAGUAUUCUACCAUUACCAGCUGAACAUACCAGUACAAAUGGGGGGUGGGAGAAGAAAAUAAUUACAAUAUUCCUCACCAUGUAUCUAACAAGAAACCAAGACGAUGAUUUGUAUUCAAUAAAAUCACGUAGACUAUACACAAAUCAACUUUACUACAUGAUUGAAAAUGGAAUAGUUAUGCAUCAAUUAGAUGGACCACAAGACACCAAAAUCAAAACAUCAAUUUAGCACGAUUAAGCUUCUUGCCAUGUAGUAAACCAGCAUACUGCAUGCGUACCUUAGAAUAGAGCCCAACAUAUAUAGGAAGCAUACGUAUAUAUUGAUGACUGUCUACGUGUAUAAAAUAAAUGAAUAAAGCAUUCUUUUUGUUUUAAGCAAAGAAUAAAGAAUUCUUGUGACAGCUAAUCAAACAACACAAAAAAACCAAGUACUUAAAGAAGGCAUUAUUCCUAACAAAACGUCUGAUUUUAAAGCAGUAGCUUGAGAAGCAAAAAUAAAAAGCAAUUUAUUUUAACAGAAAAAGCUAAUUUAAUAUGUUUGUUAUUAUUCAUAUCCCCUUCUAAUAACAUUUGAUCCACUUCAUGAAUAUUCAUAAUUGAUGAUUUAUUAUCUUGUGUGCAUGUGUGCGUGUGUGAAAAAUCUUUUCUCUAAAAGUAGUUUUCAUCAAAUUAAUAUUAUUUUAUGAUUAACUUUAAAUGUUAACAAUUUAAAAACUCUAAUACAUAUCAUUAAGGGUAUGUUUGGAAUCACGCUGAGUAAAAAAAUUCCACUUUUCAAAAUAAAAAUGCCAAAAACAACUAUGUUGUAACUUUAGCCUAAAAGUUUGAUGGCUUUAGAUUCAUCUAUUUUCCAAACACACACUAAUUCUAUAUUUACAGUGUGAUCAAAAUAAUAGAAUCGUCAAAGUGAGCAACCUAACUAGCUUGACCAGCAAGCUAUGUUGUGGAAUGUAGACUAAUUUAAAUUUCUUAUAGGCUACACUUUUAUCAACUUAACUUGAUUGUGUGUGUUAGUCCUAGGAGUACUUUAAAUGAGUUAAAUUAUUUGUAAACUAUUACUCAUUAAAUACUCAAUUCUUUAAUUAAAUAAAUAAGUCCAAACUUUAUAUUAUGCUUGCUUAUUUAAAUGAGUCAAAUCUAAAUUUAACAAGUUCGACAUUAAUAGUAUGUGACAAAUAGUUAUAUAUAUCAUGAAAAAAAUUCAAUUACAUAGAUUUGAUAAAAUCAUACUUCUUGUUCAACACAUAUUUUUAUUUGUAGAUUAUUAUCUACUAUUAAAAUGUUUUUAUCAAAUAUCUAAUUGAUAAAGUUAAGAAUAAUUUAUGGAAAAGUUUCUCAAAAUAAAAAUUAAUUUAAGUUAUAAAAUGAACUAAAUAAGUCAGGUUCAAACAUUAGAUUUUUUUUUAAAAAAAAUGCUAAGUUCAAUCGUUUAGUUAGGCUCAUUUAAAUAAUUGAGUUAAAUUUUAAUCAUCCAUUUUUUCACAAACCAAAUCUAAAUUUUAAUUCUUGACUUAGCUCAACUCGUUUACUUUCUUAGUUGAUCCAUUAGAUGGAACCAAAUUGAUCUGAUUUUUCUCUCUUAAUUAUAUUUAAAUUUUAUAAAAAAAAAAAUAUAAUAGUAGUGAAUCAAAUAGAUAUAGUAGUCUUUAGGCCUGUAUUACAAAGGCCCGACCCGUCUAACCCUCCUUUAGUCGGGUCAAUUAAAACCUAGUAUGUUUCAAGCCUAAUAUUUGACAACUCUACACAAGUGACAUGAAUAACUUUUCUCACCUUUGUUCCUUAAGUCCUUUUUAUUUUAUUUUUUAAAAAAAACUUGAUCAAUUAUGUAAAAAAAAUAAAAUUAAAUAAUCGAUGGCAAUAAUACAAAUCAUAAAAAAUUUCUACGUACUCUAUUUUAAAGUUAAAAAAGAAUUGCUUGUUUUAUCAAUAUAAUAAGUUCGUAUCUUUUUUUAUCUUCUCCGCUAGAUAACAUAUCAAAGUUCAGAAUAAUAUUAACUCCCCACAUUUAGGUCGCCUUCAUAAUAACAAAACUUUUUAAUAAGUUUUUUUCGUCUUCUUUUUACUUCCUUUUGAAAAUGUAAUCAACUAGUUUUUUAGCCAUCUUAUAUGGACGUAUAUCAAAAGGUGCAUCUUAGUUGGUUGAGCAAGACUAAUGAAUGUUGUAAAUCAUGUGUGGUAGUAUGUUUAAUUUCUAUGGAUCAUAAAAAAUAUUAAAAAGAUAAGACUAAAAUACAAGUCCUUUUAAUUUUUAUUUGUGACAUUUUAUCUUUCACUUUUAAAAAAUUUGUAAUUUUAGUUUUUUUUAUUUUUUAAUUGAGAUAUUUUAUCUCCUACUUUUAAAAUAUUUGUAAUUUUAGUCUCCUUAGUUAAUUUCAAACUUAUUGACAAUUUCUAUGAAUGAUUAAUGUAUUUAAUAACAACAAAAUAGUUUAAAAUUUAAUUGUUAAAUUAUUUAAUUAUUAUACAAUAUUGGGUCUUGCUAACAAAUACUCUUAGAACAUUGGUUAAGAAAAAAAAAAUUCUUGUGUAAAUUAUGAAAGAACAUAAAAAAAAUAUCAUGAACAAUACAAUUUUUUAUCUCUCAAUAAAAAUAUUUCUAUUUUAAAUUCCUUCAUUAAUAUCCUUAAUUAGGACACUGGUCAGCAUAUGCUACAAUAUUUAAUAUUAAAUUAUUUGUUUCACAAGAUAAGAUAAAAAUGAGUAUAAAACUUUUGUCUCAUAUUAUAUAAUUAUAUUGUUGAGUAUAAUGAAGUAAAAAAAAUUAAAAUAUUUAACUAAUAUAUGGAUUUUUUUUUUAAAAGUUACAGGUUCUAUAUGAGUACGUAAUUUUUUAUUCUUCACAUUAUGGUUGUUUAAUAGAGAUAUUAUAUAUGUCAAAAUAAGAAAACAAAAUUGAACCGUGAAAAUAUAUACUUUAAAUCUUAAAAUAUCAGAGAUUUAAUAGAGGAAAUAAAUUUUCUUUUGUAGGUAAUUAUGAUGUGUUUCUACUUAUUAUAUUAUAAUAAUAAAAAGAAAAUAUUAUUCUUUUCUGUGACAACCGAUGCAAUUUUAAUUAGCUCAAUAGAUUAUAUAAAUUAUCAAAACUCUCACCACUAAACUGACCAAGUGCGUAGGAAGUAUUGUUAUUUGCACACCAAUAAAUGCAUGUCAUUUUAUAGAAAAAAUAGAAAAUAAGAGAAAAAAAUUAAAAGUAAUUCCUUUGCCUAUAAAAAAAUGUCUAAUGAGUGUGAAAUUGGAAUAUAAAAAUCAGUUUUGCAUUAUAUAUUUCACUUUUUUAAUAUUAGAGUUAAAAAAUUAAUCUGUAUUCAAAACGUCAUAAACACUGAAGAGAGCUAAGUCAUUUAAGUAGUCUAUUGAGUAUCUCAUACUUCAUGUGAAACUUAGGCAUCCCGUAAUAUCAAACUCUUCAUCAUAUAUAACAUCACUCUUAUGAGUUAAUAUCCUGAUAGCUAACACUACGACGCUUUACUCGAUCGGUCUGAUUAAUUAACCUUAUUGUAGGUAAUCAUUUCCAAGAAACCAACAAUAAAAUUUGAUACUAAUCGAUAAGCAUCCAAACAUCUGGUGAACUCUUCCUUAAAAUUAAGCUAGGAAUCAAGGAGGAGAACUAACCCAUUUAAGUGCUUCAUCAAACAUUCCACAAAACUCAACGUGAGACUUAAAGAUGGGCAUAAUACCUAGAUCCAUGUUAAAAUAUUUGAAAAGUAAGUAGAAUGACUUAUUUUCAUUUAACUAAUAAAAAAUAAUUUUAAAAUAUAUAAAAACUAAUUAAAAAAAAUAUAUAAAAUAAUUUUAAAAUCAUUCUUGAAAAUAAUUUUUGUCAAUUGAAAACUUUUUUUUAAAUCAGUUCAAUUUUUAUCAAUAAAUAUUAAUAGUAUUUAUUAGAAUAUUCGAAGCUAUUAUUAUCUCUGGUCACUCCUCCCUUCAAUCGUUGAAACUCUCUUCCAAACCAUCGUAUUAACUUUAAAUCUCUUUUAAAUUAGUUCUAUAAAUAUACUAAGAGUGUUUGGAUAAGAAUUUCAAAUACUUCAAUUGGAAUUUUUUUAUUUUUAAAAUUUUGUAUUUGGAUAAAAAAAAUUAAAAUUGUCAGGAUGAAAGAAAAUGGAAUGCAAAGAGAAGAGAAUAUAUGGUUGGUGUGCUUCUAAAAAUAAGAAUACUGAUACGGCAUGGGAAGUCGUAGGGGAAUCGGGAUACGGCGACAUACAUCACCUCACCCGACCACAACAUUCCGUCAGCGAUCCAAGGAAUGAUCGAGAUCCUCCGCGCCGGCAAGCACCUCCGUCACGUGAUGGAUAGCGACAACUGCUCCCAUGACUGGCAGGUGCAAUUCUAUGUGUCCCCCUACGCCCGCACCCGAUCGACGCUCGCAAGUUCAGACGGCGUUUCUUGAAGAAGAUGAUCAUCGACGUGAGGGAAGAGUCACGAGUUUGAGAACAAGAUUUUGGAAACUUUUAGGUUGAAGAAGAGAGAAGGAAGGUUAUAAAAGAAAUACAUAAAUAUUUUGAAAAGCUUUUCUAUCAAUAAGAGAAUUUCAAUUUAUCACAUUUUAAAAGAAAAUUAAAAUUUCACAUUUUUAGUUGUUUAAAAUUCCAAAAAUUUAAAUUCUUCAUAAGAAAAACAUUUAAACAAUAAAUUUUAGAUUAAAAAAAUUUAAAUUCUCUAAUAAAUUACUUUUCUCGAUUAAAAUUUUGUAUCCAAACGCACUUUAAGUGCAAAUUUAAUUGUAAAACAAAAUAAUUGAGCCAAGCACAUGUAACUAUUGUUGGAAUGCAUUUUUGUGGCCUAAAAAACGUGAAUUUUGUGUCAACCAAAUAGGAUAUGCUUGAUUCAUAGUAAAAUAGCUCGACUUUAAAUUUAAAAUAUUUUUUUAUACAAAAAUUCCUUUGAAUUUUAUUUCUUUUUUUUUUCAUUUUCAUAAAAUGAGGGUGGGAAGUGGACAAAGGUGGUGUCAGAAAUUAAAGUUUCAUCUUUCUCUUAAGAGAAAGAAAAGGUUAAAAAGGAUAAACUUGUAGGGGCAUUUGGGUCAAUUCAAAAGGAACUGUCAUUCAAGGCUACAGGGUCAAGAAACAGAAUCAUGUUAUUCCCUCAUUUUUACCCCUUCAAACUUUUUCCUGUCUCCAUCGAAACCUACUGUCCAACCUUUCUUUCCUAUUUCCUCCAAAGCCCUAGUCCCCUCCCUUCCUCUCUUUCUCUCUCCUUCCUAACAUACAGCACUGCACAAACACAAGGAAGAAUAUUAAUACGACCAUUAACAAGCGACGAUGAAAAUUUGAGUUUGCUCCACCUUUUUAAGGAAAAAACCCAAUCCCUUAUCAAUCUCGGAAAUCAAAGCUACUAAAAAAAACACCAACAGUUACCCUUGUGAGAGAUUUCUAGUAUUGCUCAACAAAUACUCACAACUUUGCUGAAUAGAGCAAACGACGAACUGGCCACUCACUCUCCCAUCAAUCUCAUCACAUUCUCAACAUCAAUAAAAUCUUCUUUUGCUUCACCAUUUCCAGGUACAGUACAUGUGUGUUCCAAUAUUUCUAUCUCCAAUAAAAUUAAAAUAAAAAAGAUAAAAAGCCAUCAAGUCUCCAAGACAAAUCAACAAUUAAUCAGACUUUGUUUCCUUUCCUUCUUUUUUUUUUUAAAAAAAAAAUUAUUUUUUCCCUUUAAGGUUGUUGUUUUCAUUUACAGUAACUUCUAAAAGCAAAAAAAAACAUUAAAAAAAAUUAUUCAAACAAUAGGACAUUUCCUCAACUGUUAUCCAAACUAUAAGUAUAGUAAUUCUUUAUCUCAAUUAACCUUCAUCUCUCUCACACACUCCUCUCACCAGCUCUGGUCACUGUCUUAGGAACCCUAGAACAGCAACCCAGAUAAACUAUUCCAAGACACACAACACACAGAAAGAGAGAAUCAAAACAAUUAAGCCUUGGAUCUGCAUAGCAAAGCAAAGAACAAGGGCCAUGGAUUCAAAUAUUCAAGACUUUAUAGACACAUGUAACUCCGACAACACCUGCAACCUCAUCACAAAUAGCAUCACCACCGCCAACUUAACAGCUAGUGCUGCCUCUUCCUCUCCUGCUUCCACCUCCAUCACCAGCAGCAGCCGCUACGAGAACCAGAAGCGCCGUGACUGGAACACCUUCGGUCAAUACCUCAAGAACCACCGUCCCCCUCUCUCCCUCUCCAGGUGCAGCGGUGCACACGUCCUUGAAUUUCUAAGGUACACACACACCCUCUUAAUUAGUCUUGCACACCAUGCACCUCUUCUCUCUCUAUAUAUUUUUUAUAAAACCCACAUGUAUCUUUUAUCAGAACCACCAGAUAAUAUCUGGAUGACAGAGCUCUCCUUCUGAUACUUGGAAAGAGAGCCUGUUGUCACUAUCUAUCUGACUCUCGAGUAAAAUUAUUUUCUUUUCAACAUACAUACAUUGGGUCUUUGUUAUGUAUGUAUGAAUUUUUUUUUGUUGUUAUUGUUAUGUGUGUGUAUAGGUACCUGGAUCAAUUUGGGAAGACCAAAGUGCACACACCGAUCUGCCCUUUUUACGGGCACCCGAACCCUCCGGCGCCAUGUCCAUGUCCUCUUAGGCAAGCUUGGGGGAGCCUUGACGCACUCAUAGGGCGUUUGCGUGCAGCUUUUGAGGAAAAUGGAGGGAAGCCAGAGGCAAACCCUUUUGGAGCCCGAGCUGUGAGACUCUACCUUCGUGAGGUUCGUGAUCUGCAGUCCAAAGCCAGAGGAAUUAGCUAUGAGAAGAAGAAAAGAAAGCGUCCACCACCUCAGCAACAACCCAUGCCAAUACCUCAUCACCCUCUUCCUCCUCCAGGUGCAAGUGCAACUCAUUAGAGGAAUUCAAUUCUCACACUCCAUGCCAAAUUCUACCACCUUCCUCUCUCACUCAAUCUUUUUCCUUUGUGUCCAAACUCAAAAAACCUUCAUCUCCAAGUGGGAUCUCUUCUUUUAAUCCCAAUAUGCUUUUAGAGUUAUGAUCUAGCUAAUUUAGUAUCAUGAUAUUUAGGGUUUUUUUAUUUUAUUUUUCUUUGUUAAUUUUUUUAAGUUGGUGAAAGCUGCUAUAUCUCUGGUCCAUAUAGACUGUUUGUCUUUGGAUCCUGUUUGGUCAGGGAGAAGCAAAAGUCUAAAAUUAAAUUCUGGGAUAUAUCAUGCAUCUCUCUGCUUUAAAAGCAGACAGUGCGGUACUGGUAGUAGACUGAUAGUGCGUGGGAAGUACUGAAAAGUGGAAGUGAGACUGUGAGAGAGUGAAUGGAUAUACAUGGAAGCCAUGAUCCUUGUGAUGAGGAAACCAAAAGUAUGGUAUUAUCAUUCAUAGUUCUAUAUAAUAUAUGUACUUUUCCUUUUCUCUAUGUCAAGCUUAGACUUGUUGGGGAUUAAUUAUGUGCCUUACCUUAAUUUAUAUAUAUAUUAUUUUAAUUUUCUGAUUUAAAAGGGUGUUGAAUUUUAUUAUAAUUGCUUGCAAAUUCGAACUUGAUAACUAUAGGUAACAAGUCACUUCCGUACAUGGUGAUGUUGGAUAACAUCUUCGAAUAUUGAUUAUCAUUAUUAUUUUCUUAUACCUAUAAAUGAUUAGUACUCUUUCUUAGCUUCUUUUUUUCCUCGUAGUUGCCACUUAUGUGCUUUACUGUCUCCCCCAAACCCAAAUGUAUUUUGUGUGAAAAACAAUGAUAGUGCUUCUAAAGCUUAAUCAUAGCAACUUCUGUAUGUUUCAAACUGACAAGUUUUAUUCUCUCUCAAAUUCGACUAACGGCUGACUGUUAAGUAAAUCAUUUUGAUUGGUGAUUCUGAUUCAUAUUAUAAAUGCUGUAGUGCUGUCAUUUCAAAUGAAGUGAAAUUAUAAAAGCCAACGAAAAUUAAUGGCAGACGAUGUAAUUAAUUCCUAUAUAUGUGACCAAACCUUUUGUUCAAAAAAAUGACCAAACCUUUAUUAUUAAUUAGCUUAAUAUAUUGUUUAAUUAUGAUCCUAGACCUUAUAUAUGCUUUUCUUCUAUACUACCUUAUACGGACAUAUAUGCCGACUAACAAUUAAUCAAAAUCUCCUUGUAGAUCAUGAUGCAUAUCAUUAAUUCACAAGUUUUCAUUUGAAUUAGGUCAUGUCUGCCAAAUGGUUGGUGCCGAUAUAAAAAAUGUUUGUCAAAUGUCGAAAUGAGAGCUAUAGGCUCUUUAAUCUGCACUCGCUUGAAAAGAUAAUAUGAUAUGGUGGCAAGGUAUUUUUUCACCAUAGUAGGAAGUAGCACAGAAAGCCAAAUUAUGCAAACUUGUCUUAAGAGUAAAGAGACUACAAAUAGGUCAGCAAAAAAGAAAAGCAAAAAGUUACUUUGGUAAUUUAUAUAUUUUGAAAAUAAUUAUUUUUUUUGACGAGAAAUUAUUUUUUUAUAUACAAAAAUGAAAAAAAGAAAUUAGAUGAGGAGAAUAAUUGAGAAAUCUGCAUAAUAAGCUUAUAAAUUAGUUUAUUCUAUAUCCAACCUUCAAUACUUUUUUAAUUGUUGAAAUAACUAUAAAAAAUUUCUACAACUUAUUCAAAUUAAACCAGAUGUUCUAAAAGAGUCAGUAAGAAAUUCUCAGAAUCAAUUUGGCCGACAAAUCUGUCUGUAAAAAUUUUGGGUCAUCCAUUCCUUUUGUAUUAUGUUAUUAUUAUGGCUCAAAAAGAAGAAAUUUCCCAAUCCCUCUGAUCAUGAAGAGGCGCCUAUUGUACCUCCAUUUGCUAAAGCGAAACCCAAUAAGACAUUGGAUAUAUGCUGGAAAGAUAAGCUAAGCUUCUUAUUUUCCCUUUUGAAGUGAUUCUAGUGGGGCAUAUAUGAGACUACCACUUCAAGACAUAGAGGAUCUAUUCUUUCCUCUAAUGAUUUAGGUAUAAAUUUCAUAAGUACUUUAGGCUGUAUAUGAGGGUCAUACGAUUAGAGCACUAUAUAGCCUUAUGAUGCCAUUUUUAAAAUAAUCAGUGGUUAAUGCAGUUAACAUCGUACUAAAUUAAGAAGUAGGCAUUUGAUAUUUUUAUUUUUAUUUUUUGUGGUGUAAAGGAUUUUGAAUGUCAAAAUAUUUUUAUGAUAUAAUACAAAAGUAUAAUGAAAAAUAUGAUUUUAAUAUUUCCCAAUUAGUAAAUCAUUAAUUUUUAAUCUAGAUCACAUGUAUUUUUUAACGGAGAUAACUUAAGUAAAAAAUGAUUAUUAUGGAUAAGAAUUUUAUUUCUUCUAAAUUUUUAAAAUAGAUGCAUACUAAAGUACGUCAUCUUAUUCUAAUUUUUAAUAAUAAAAAAAUGGAGAAGAUGAACUAUUGUGUAAUGGUGGAAGUUUUUGUUGCAUUCACUUAUGAUGGCAAUAGAAUCCAUGUUCAAUGUUCAAUUCACUAUUCGUGAAAAAAAAAUGGACCAAUGACAAUUAAGUAUCAUGGAUGAAAUUAGUUUUAGUGGAUUAAAAAAAUUAUCAUGAUUUUUGACCUAAGACAAAAGUAAAAUAUAAAGUAUUUAUCGAUUCUAUCAAUAAUUAAUAUUGGUUGAAAAAAUUGACCAAAAACUUUCAAAAAAUAUUCUUUUAGUUAUGUUUGUUCAUUCACAAAAAUUCGAAUAUGAAACCUUAUUUAUAAAUUGUCUAUUUAAGAUUGUAAGAAAUCAACCUACCCAAAUAACUAAAACAGAUGGGAAAAUACUAAUUAAGGAAUUAAAUUUGGGAACAUGUAAUUUUUGAGCAAAUAUUUAAAAAUUUAAUAUUCUAAUAAUUUAAAAUAUAAUUAUUAGUAAAUUACAUUAUUGCUCCAUUCAUAUUAAAAAAAUAUUUUUUAAAUAAGAAUACGAAUCUUCAUUUAUUGAGUUCAAAUAAUAAUUUUAAGGAAUUUUUAAUUCAAAUAAUAAUAAUAAUAAUAAUAAUAAUAAUAAUAAUAAUAAUUUACUGAUCAUUUCUAUAUUUUUUUUAGUCAUGCCUAUGAAUAUUCUAAAAGUAUUAGUUAAAGAAUUAUCAAUAGAAUAAAUUUUUUAUUAAAAAUAUAAUAGAGAUGUAUUGAUGACAUUAAAUAUUAUAAUUUUCAUAAAAAUCAUUUUUAAUCCUUUAAUUAAUGUGAAGAAAUGUCUAAUUUAAUUAGCAUGAAUUUGACAAUAUAUUUGAGUUAUCUUUUAAUUUUUUUUAACGAACUGACAAAAUUGUUUGAUGGUUUGAUAAAUAUUGUUUGACGGUUUGAUAAAUAUUUUUUUGAUAGAUUUUAGUAUUUUUUUGAAAUAUUAUUUGAAGUAACAUAAAACAUACUUCUAACUUUUAGUUUUUUAGUUUUUUUAUAUUUAUUUUCUUUUUAUCCUUGAAUAGUUAUUACAUUUUCCUUUUAAUUUCUUCUAUUUAAGAUAAUUUUUUUUUUUUACAUAUGAUAGGAUUUUCUCAUUUUUAUAUUUUUAUUAUAUAUGAUAUUGAUAGUGAUAUAUAACGAGUUUAUGUAGUUUUUUUUAUUUGGAUAUUAUAUAAAUAAAAAGCUACAAUUGCUUAAAAUUAAUUUAAUACUAAAACUAUAAAUACUACAAAAUAUAUAUUUAUCAAGAAAAUUAAAUUAAAAUUUGUAUAAAAAUAAUACAUAAAUAUAUUCAUUUAUAUAAUUUUAUAUUUUUCAGUCAUUUUAAUAAAUAAUUUUUUCAAAUAUAUGAUUUAAUAAAUAAUUUUUUUAACUUUCAACCAUCAAUUAAUUUUUAACUUCCCUCUAAUUUUUCAGCUUUAAAUUAAAUUUUCAAUUAAUUUUCAUCAUAGCCUUAAUUUAUAAUACUAAACUUAUACUAACUUUCUAACCUUAAUCACCACAGCUAUAAAAUUGAAAGGUUCAUUACUUUUUAAAUAAAAUAAAUUUCGUUGUCAUCAAAAGAGUUACAAUGACCCAACCAACUGCUAUCCACAACUUUUGCCAUAAAAAAUUGUCUUUUUCUUUUAUUUUCAGAACACAGCCCACGUUGUUAUAGAUAUGUUCUAAAAUACUUACAGGAAAAACUGCAUAAUAUCCUAACUAAGCAUAAAAAAUAGACCAAAUACUAUGCAAUUCUACCGUUUAGCAACAAGACUGAUUAUAAAGAGAUGAGAUCCUAUUCCCUUUGAUUAAGUUCUGCCGGAUAAGAAUUUUCUCCCAAAAAAAUGUCCCAUGCAAAUGCAAUUAACUAUUAAGUGUGUAGAGUGGUAUGUAUUUAUAUAUGUGGGCGCGUGCACAAAUGAUGUGGGUGUUUAAAAAAUCAUUACAUCUUUGAAAAGGAGAUAGGAGAUUAAUUAAAAGGGUAUAAAAAAAUAUGAAAAUAUAGAUAUAUGUAAUUUUUAUUAGCAUAUGGAAAAAUGUGCAGCAUAACUGUCUAGUUAUAGAUAACUUAUGUUUAUAUAUAUAUAUAUAUAUAUACACUUCCAUGGAAUUUAAGUUUUUAUAAGAAAAAUUAAAUGAGUGAUAGACGACAAUAUUAAAAUCCGUUGGUGGAAAGGUUUUAUGGGCAAAAUUGUACAUGCACAUGUACAUAAUUAGCAGCACCUAAUUCAAUUUAGUUUGAUUUGAUUGUAGUUAUCAUUGAUCAUUGAUAUCAUAUUAUUUCUUUAGAGAGAAUUGAUAUCAUAUUCUUAUUGACCUUUACAUAAAAAAAUUAUUCUUAUUGCACGACAUAAAAUUUUCAAGGAACCUACCUUUUCACGCAAUAAAUGUACAAUUAAACCCUACGAAUCUUUUUGAAUGACAUGGGUUUUGUAACUAUGAACAUGAUCUUAACUUAAGCUUUGUUAUUCAUAAAUCGUUAAUGAAAUCUUUGACCACAAUCAGAGAAGAGAUUGGUACGUAUUUCCCUCUUACCAAUCAAUGACAUGGGGUUUGUCAGUAUGCUAAAAACAGGUAGUGUUGUGUGCUCUACGCUGAUUAAAAAAAAAAGUGUUGUGUGGCCAUGAAAGAAUAAUUGCGUAGAAUCAGUACACAUAUAUGAUCAUUUGAAUGGAAGUCACUGAUAAAGUGAAUUGCACGUAUGUUCAAUCGGAACUGUACGUAAGAACCCAUUUUUUUCUAACAAAAUGGGGCGUUGCCGGUAGAUAAUAUCUUAAUUACUUGGCCACUUUCUCUAAAAAAUAGUGUACAGUUGCACAGUUGGUUUUUGUUUUUCGGCAUAUAAUGUGAAUUUAAUCAAUCAAACUACUGUAAAGUUUGUGAUUCUAUAUCAUUUUAUUAUUAUUAUUAUAAUUAUUAUUAUCAUUGGUGCUUACUUGUCACUCAAUUAUUAGUAUUUUUUUCAGAUAUAUAUGUCAUCUUUUUAUCAAGUAAUUGAACAGGGAAAGGACGGGUAAAAACAUAUAUUAAUUUUUAUCACCUAAUUUAUUGAUCACGAUUACCUCUACAAAGCCUAUGCGUGUGCAUUGCGUAAAUUCAGAAACCUCGCUGCUCAUUCAUCCAUUUACUUAUCGUCCUAUAUAUCUUCUAGAUCUACAUCUUGUAGAACUAAUAAAACUCAAGUCCCCAACCAAAUUUGUGACUACCUGCAACACUAAUUUACAACAAGGUCUUGUUAAUUUGAGACACCAUUGCCGGAUUCUAUAGUGAGAUCAAGCUACAAUGGUGAGUAGUAAUUAAUAUUAAUUUCCUACAAACUGCAAAAAAAUCAAAUGUCAAACCAAUCGAAAUAAACCUGAAAAAUUUAGAGCUAUUGUUUACUCGCGGAGUUGAGUUUAAAGAGGUGAAGAGUGGACAGAAAGAUUGGUCCUCUUUGUCAUAAAUAAGCUACAUCAUCUACAUGCAGCUAGAAGGUAGAAGGUGGCCAUAUUGCUGCACAACUCUGAAACCACGGUACGUGAGAACCGUUUUUAAUUUAUCUAACGCUAACAGAAGUAAAAAUUAAAAUUAAAAAUGGCUUUUUUUACCAACAGGGUGCAAUUUUUUUUUUUUUGGCUUCUUUUCAAAUGGGGACAGUUUUUACAUUAUUUCCCAAAGAAGGUAAAUUGAUGUAAUGAUGUAACACCUGUUUAUACUUUACUUUCUUUUAACUAAAGUUAUAAAUAAUUUUAUGAUUUUAGUGUAAUUUUCUUUUUUACAAUUUUAAAGUUGUAAGUUUUUUUUUUAUGACUUUAAAGUCGUAAGAUUUUUUUUAAAAAUGAAUUAUGACUUUAAAGUUGUAAUUCUUUUUUUUUAUGUUAUUUUUUUGUUUAUAUUUUAUUUUCUUUUUAAUUUUCUAAAAAUUGUAAAAAAAAUUAUUUAAUUAAUUAUUAAAUACAUAUUUAUAAUUAUAUUUGUUAUUAGUUUUAUUUAAUAUGUUAUUUAUUUUUUAUGGUUUUAUUUAAUAUGCUAUUUAUUUUUUUAAUGUUAUUUAUUUAAAAUAUAUUAUAUUUUUUUACUUAAUAUAUUUUGUAUAUUUAAAAUUUAGAUAAUCUUUUAAUAAUGUUAUUGAAAUUUAUCUUUUUAAAUGAAAUAUAAAAGUAACUUAAUGACAUUUUAUUUUUUUUAAUAUUUAUUUUAUUUUAAAUACUUAAAUUUUAAAAAGUAAAAUUUGAAACCAAAUAUUAAAAAAAAAUUAUUACUAAUAUUAAGUUAUAAUUUAUGAUGCUGAAUUAUUUAUUUUGUGUAAAAGAAUUUACUAUUAACAACAUGUAAUAAUUUAAUAAUAGAAGUAGUUGUUAAAUUAAAAACAACAUAAUACAUUAAUAUAAAAUGAACAAUACAGAUUAAAGAGAAAUAUAAAAAAUAGAAACUAUAUUGUUCAUUUUGUAGGAGUGAAUGACAUAAUCGUAGUAACUGUUUAUACAAAUAAGUAGAUAACUAAUAUAAUUUUUACUUUUUAUGUUUCUCUUUUAAGUUGUAUUGUUCAUUUUAUAUUAAUGUAUUAUGUUGUUUUUAACUUAACAACUACUCUUAUUACUAAAUUAUUACAUAUUGUUAAUAGUAAAUUCCUAUUUACACAAAAUAAAUAUUUCAACAUCAUAAAUUAUAACUUAAUAUUAGUAAUAAAUUUUUUAAUAUUUGGUUUCAAAUUUUAGUUUUUAAAAUAAAAAAAUUCAAAAAAAUAUAUUAAAUGUCAUUAAGUUACUUUUAUAUUUCAUUUAAAAUAAAUAAAUUUCAAUAAAAUUAUUAAAAUAUUAUCUAAAUUUUAAAUAUACAAAAUAUAUUAAAUAAAACAAUAUUAAAAAGAUAUAUUAUAUUUUAAAUAAAAAAAUUUAAAAAACAUAUAACAUGUUAAAUAAAACCAUAAAAAAUAAACAACAUAUUAAAUAAAACUAAUAACAAGUAAAACUAUAAAUAUUUAUUUAAUAAUUAAAUAAAUAAAAUUGUUUACAAUUUUUAAAAAAUUGAAAACAAAACAAAAUAUAAACAAAAAAAAUAACGUGAAAAAAAAGAAUUACAACUUUGAAGUCGUAAUCCACUAAAAGAAAUCUUACUACUUCCAAGUCGUAAAAAAAAAAAACUUAUGACUUUGAAGUUGUAAAAAAAAAGUUAUACUGAAGUCAUAAAAUUAUACAUGACUCAAGUUAAAAAAAUUAAAGUUGUAAUAGGUGUUAUAACACGAAUGAAUCUGGGUUUUUUAACUACGGGUCUAGCAAACGAAAAAUUGAAAUAGAACCCAAUCCAAUAAGAUCUCCCCCUCUCAAGAUCGGGCGUGAAGGUUUCCUUUC
rnacentral:lncRNA from 1 species